AGGAUCCAAAAUGAAAGACGAAGCAAAUGAAAGUGUUUCGGCUGGUCUCUCCUACAGCAUUGAAAUCAAGGAUGCUUACAUUCCUCCGUGGAUAAUAUCCAGUAUAUGUGCAACCAUGGGUUCUGAAGGGAGGAGCUUUGAGGCAAGGCAUGACAAAUUUUGGAUAUUACAUGACCUUUCAGUUUUCCUUGCUUAGACAUGUAUGGAGUUGUCAUGUCUCAUUCUACAUCAAAGGAUGCUAGUUACGAAUACAUCAUGCUGAAGAAUUAGCACACCCUGUUAAAAAAUAAGUGCAUCGGAUCAACAUCAAGGUGGGGAUCACUCUACUAAAUGGACGCAAAUCUGGCUUCAAGAAUGGCAGUGCAGUGGUUCUCAUGGUGGUUAGAAGGGCAGCAGGGUGCUCCAGAGUCCAGCCAUGGUGGUGCUAAGUCAACAUUGAUUCUUCAGUUGUUGUAACCUGUACAUAGAAUGAUGGUUUUGGAUUGUCUCAAGAUUUUACUAAGAAGAAGAAGCAGAAGAUAAGACAUUGAAGGUACAGUAAAGAAUUUAAGCAACAACUCCAAUCCCUUUGUUAUAUAGACUUGAAGGAGAAAUGAAGAUGACUUACAAUUACGACUGUAAGGAAACCCUGCAUUUGAAGACAUCCUUCCUAGGUAGAGCUUUUAAAUGAUUAAAAACAUGAACAACUCUAUGCUUGAAAUAUGCAAAUCAAAAUCAACAAUAAAUAGAAAUAAGAAGCUGAAAAAACUGUCACGUGAUGCUAUUGUCAUUCUAGGAACAAAUCCCUCACUUUAAGACUCUUUUACUUUUAGAAUAUUCUACCAUCAACCCAUGAUCAGCCAUAUUUCCAUAAGGAUUCAUAUUAAUUUAAGAUGGAUUUAUUAUAGAACUAAAAUGAGAAAACAUUUUAAAAUGUUUAUUGGGAGUAAUUCAAUUAUAUUUCAAUAUAUUUGAAAAAUAACACUACUAAGAAAUUUAAGAUACUUUCCAUAAUUGAUGAUAAAAAUAUGAAAAUAAUUUUAGACAAAAGUUUUGAUCUAGAAAAAUCAACAAUUUUAAUUUUGUUGUUGUCUUAUAUAUAGUAGCUUAAUUUUGUUGUUGUCCUAUAUAUAGUAGCUUGAGAUAUAUACUUCAAUCCGAAUGCAUUCCAAAUUUGAGUUAUAGAUGGAUAUGUUCUUCACUAUUUAAGUUUAAUCGAUAAUUUGUUCCAAAUAUGAAUUUCUGAAACUAAGUGUUUAGCUAAUCUAAAAGAAAGAAAGUCAAGUUUUAGGCAUUAGGGUUCGGAUUUCCAAACUCAAUAAAGUUAUAAAAUGGCUAAUAUUUAAGGUGAACUAUGUUGAAAAUUAAGUGUCUCAAAUUCCUAAUUUUUUAUGUAUUCUAUUUUGUAGAAAUGAUAUUAUAUAGAGAAUUUUCAAAGUUCAUAUGUGAUUGUAAUUAAAUUCUUUAUAGAAUAAAAAACUUAGUAAGAAUAUCUCUCUAAAUAUUCUACGUCAUGAGAGGAAAAAUAUUAUAAUAUAAGAUAGAGAUAGAGAUAAGAAGAAAAGUAAGAGAUAAUUGAUGGAGUAAGAAUGCUUAAAACUGAAGUUGAAGACAUAAAGACUAGGAAAACGAUGGAUGUUUAGGGACCCAAAAGUUGUUUAUGUUUUGUUAUCUGUAAUAUUUUUUUAUUAUAUAGUGAAAUGUUAUCUCUUAUUUGUAGGUGUAGACAUACAUGUUGACUAAACCAUGCAUUUUAAAGCUUUGACACCUUUAUAUGUGGAUUAUCUUUACUUUAUGCGUUCUUUCAUUCAUAUAUUUACAUUGAAACUUUUGCUAGCCCAAUAAAUGGUAUUAGAGCUUUUGUUGGCCUAACAAACUUAAUGUUGUCCUUUCAAGAUGUAGUGAAAAGGCCUUUUAAAGGAUUUGUAUUUUAUCAUAAAAUAGAAAAGAAAGAAAAGAAACAUUAGAGAAUUUCGACUCCUUCUAACCACUUGGCAAUAUAUUUAUCUUAUAUUGAAGAUAAAUAACUAGUCCAAAUUUUAUGGUGUUAUAUAGUCCACACAUAGAUUAAAGUAAUUAAGGAGGAAGAUGGCUUACCAGUAAGUUUCCAUGAGGGCUUGAAUGAACAAAUAAAAUAGAGAGAUGGUGGAAUAUAAGGACUUAGCUAGCAAGCGCACCUGGCAAUGGAGCUUAAAGCUUGAGAUCAGUGCUGGAUGCUCUCAAUCUUUUACGGCAUGGUUCCCGAUCAUCUGCUUGGUUUUUCCCGGCAUCAUCAUGGCCUCUUUGAUGAUCCAACAACAUAGGCACACUGCUGUUUAGAGAAUCACGGGUGUACAUCAGCUGAACCCCGCACCUCUUGAUAUUGGGAUGAGUAACCUCACCAUUAAUCCGGGUAGAAAAAUCAAACGCAGCCAGAAAGUGCCAUGGUUGAUUGCGGUGGUACUUAUUUGGAAUAGCAUUCUUAGGAUAGAGAGUCACCCACAAUUCAUCUGAUACAUCACCAUUAAUCUCGUGACAUUUACACAAAGAAUCCAUGGAGAGGUGAUCCACAACUUCAUCCGAAUCACCGUGCAAUGUCAGAUCAAAAUAAUAUGGAACCUCAAAAUGAUUCCCUUUAUGAUAAAGAAAGAAGAAAGCCAAUCCCAGAAAGUGGUCAUCCUAGCUCGUACCAAUUCAAAGGAAGCUCUAUUCUUACUUGGCUUCCAAUCUCCUGAUGCAACACCCACCCUGGAAUUCCACCGUUUCCCGGAAUAAUAAUUACCUUGCCUUUCUUCCAAUUCCGAUUCAUGUACUGCAUAUACAAUCAAAGCUAAUAUGUAAUUGGAGUACUACUGGGUGGAUGAAAAGUUUUAAGUGUCGUUAUUAAAUAAAAAUCAUACCUCAUUACUUGUUGGAUUGAACCAUUUGAACCAUUUGAGGAAAGGACAGAGUAGAGAUGAUGGACUUGAUAACAUUUCCAGCUUCGUGCAGCCGUGGGCAUCUAUUUGUGGUAGACUUGAUGAAAGCUCUGGAAUUUCUUGGAGCAUCUUGCAGUGACUGAUAUCAAGGAGACGAAGUCUACAAAGUUGAGUGAUGCCAGAUGGUAUGCUAACCAUAUGGUUUCCACUUAGAUUUAAUGUACACAAGGAAUAUAGACCCCAGAUAUCAGUGGGUAUCGACCCUUCCAUUAGAUUGCAGUGACUCAAAUCUAGUUCUACCAAGGUGCAUAAGCCUUCCAGAUUCUUGGGAAACUUCUCCAAGUUUGAACAACCAGGGAGUAUCAAUCGUUUAAGACAUCUCAAAUCAUUAAUGCUGUCUGGAAUAGUCACAAGGUUCUUGCAAUUGCUCAAAUACAACAUUUGGAGGCUUUUCAGAUUUUGAAUUGAUGAUGGCAGUUCUUUUAUAGCUGUUCCUUCCAAACCAAGCACCUCUAAGUAUUUCAUACCCUCCAUGAUUUCGGGAAAGUUCCGUAGGCUUGAGCACCCAUUGAGAAAGAGUCGGCAAAAAGAUUUAAACCUACGAAUGCUGCUUAGAAGACUCCUCAAGUUCUUGCAAUCACUCAAAAACAAUGAAUUAAUAUUAAGAUGUUCCAUUGAUGAUGGUAGCUCUUUUAUACCUGUUCUUAAAUCAAGAAAUUCUUUCAUAUCCUCCAUGAUUUCUGGAAAAGCAUCUAGAUUUGAACAAACAAAGAGUUGGAGGUCUUCAAGGAGAUAUUCUAUUGCGGAGGGUAAUUCCUUAAUAGCAGAUCGAUCAAAGUGAAGAUAAGUUAAAGCUUCCAUAGAACUCUCCUCUAUCUCCAGAAAUUUCUCCAAGUUUGAGCAAUUAUUCAAGUAAAUAGUUUCAAGAGAGUCCAAGUAUUGAAUGCUACUUGGUAAGCUCGUAAGGUUUUCACACCCACUCAAACUCAACAAAGUUAGCUUCUUGAGAACUCCAAUAGAUGGAUCAACGAUAUUCAAACUUGUACAAUAUCCAAGUUCUAACUCCUCUAGAUUUGGCAUAUUUGAAAAGUUUGAUAUUUCAGUGAGCUGCUUUGAUCCUAGUAAAUUUAAGAACUUUAACUUUCCCAAACACUGUGACAAAAGGAAUUUUGAUUUAGUACAAAAUGAAUUUUCAUGAACAAAAAAUUAAUCUCAAACAAAAUAAUAUGAUGAAAUACUAAUUAUACCUUAUUUCCUUGCCAAAGUUGUUUUAUUUUGCUAUCCAUCAUGUUGAGUACAAUAAGGUUCUCUCCAUGAAAAUUUGACGGCAAUGAUUUCAAAGGGUAUCCUUUCCAAUGAAGAUAUCUCAACUCUUGUGAAGGAAAUUGAAAAUCUUCAGAAAGAAUAAUUUUAUACUCCUUUUUCAUGAAACCACAACAAUCCAUCCCAUAAAUCUUGAGCAAUCUAAGUCGUUUCAUCUUUGCAAAAACCUUUGUACUAAAUUGUAGUUGUUUUGAUCUAGACAAGUUUAAGAAUAUGGCCUCAACAUUUUUCAUCCCCUACAAACAAUAACACAGGAUUAGGCAAACAUAAAAAAGAUAAAGCUAGCUAAAAUUGUAUGGAUAUGUAACUUAGACAAAAAUGAUAUUGCUCACAUUUACGUAUUUUAAUGAAGCUUAAGAAAGUUCAUGAGUUUGAUGGUUACCUUCUUCAUUGUAAAUGCACGAUACACAUCACUCGGAUCCCACAAUCUGCUCCAUUUUCCAGGAUUAUCAAGAAAUUCACUACGAAUAAUGUUCCAUCCCAUUUCUUGUACCAAAUCAUGCAUAAGUAUCUUAUUUUCAGAAAGAGAUAUAAGACACUUAUCAUAGAGGACUUUUAUUCCUAUCUCUGCAUACAAAUCACAACUAUCCAAUAUCCUUGAAACAAAGUCUUUGUCUUCCCCUUUAAAAAAACAUGCAAUAUCAAGAAAUAUUUUCUUCUGUGUAUGAUCUAAUCCGUCAAAGCUUACUUUAAGCACAUUUUGAAUUUUCACUUCAGGUUCUCUUUCCAAUUUACACAAUUCACUUUCCCAUUGGAGUAUUGUCUUGUUAAACAAGAGAGAACCGAGGACUUUUAGAGCUAAAGGAAGGCCAUGACAAUAAUAGAUUACACGAUUCGAGAGGUGGAUAAAGUCUUGUUUAGGAAGAUUUUGUCUAAAAGCAUAGAGACUAAAAAGCUAACGAGCUUGUUCAAAAUUUAAUUCCUCAACCUCAUAUACGUCAUCCAUUUCUUGUAACAAAUGUUUACUUCUAGUUGUUAUGAUGACUCUGCUUCCUCUUCCAAGCCAAUCACAAUUUCUGAGUAAAUAUUCUAAUUGAUCUGAAUCAUCAAUGUCAUCAAGAACAAUAAAAACUCUUUUAAAUCGGAGAAUAUUUUUUAUCAUAUUGGCUCCUUGGCUAACAUUGCUUACAUUUUGAUUUCUCUCCACUUGUAGUAGAUCACAAAGAAGUUGAUUUUGUAAAUGAUGCAAACCCAUAGUAUUGCCAACUUCUCUAACAUUUUCGAGAAAACUCAUAUACUCAAAUUCAUGAGAAAAUUUAUUAUAUAUAACUUUGGCGAUACUCGUCUUACCCAUUCCACCUAUUCCACAUAUACCAAUUAUACGAACAUCAUUCAAUUGAUCAACACAUAGCUGCCGAAUUAUCUCAUUUACAUGGGAAUCCAUACCAACCAAGUUGGCACCAACAUCAAACAUUCUACAAUUCAAUCUCAUGAAUAUGUUGUUGACGAUUUUCUUAAUAUGCUCAGACUCAUACCUGCCAAUUGUAAAGUACAUGUGAUGAUUAAUUAGGCUAUAGCUGAUUAAAAAACAAAUACAUGUUAAGCUUCUUCAUGAAAAAUGAGUUAUAGUAAAAAAAAUUAUAUCAAAAGUAUUAAGUUUUAGAACUCAAAUUACAUUUUUAGGACAUUUUUAUUGUAUCAAGUAUAUAAGACAAUGAAAAUAAAAUAUGUAGUGAGACAUUGUCAAAUUGAUUUUUUUUUUUGGGAACAUUUAUAGGCUGCUAAGCAUGGAGCAAAUUUAUAUCAAACAAAAUCAUAUUGUAAUGACCCACUCUCUUGUGCAUAUAUAGAUAUCAUUUGCAGCUCUCUCUCUCUCUCUCUCUAUGUUAUAUGUGACAUUAUAAUUACCCAAUCCCCUAUUCACAAUGGAGACACAAGGUCCUCAUCAUAUCUCAUAAUAUCAUGGGUUUGCAGGUCUUCAGUGACUUUCUUGAUAUACUUUGAUUCAUGAGUUGCAAUCAUAAAUGACCUUCAAAUCUAUUCAAGUAUUACACUGUAAUUAUAAAAAUGCCUGAUUCCUGUAGCAGUAAAUAAAACCUAACUUAUAAAAGAAAGUUGAAUGGAAAUUAAUAAAGCUUUACCCAUCCUUCACAUGCUCUCCAGAUAUAUUGGUUGCUUCUGUCAAUGCGCUCCUCCAACUUCGCACCUUCUCUUUCAUCUCUUCUGAAUCUUCUUUGUAAUUAGAAAAUGCCUCUCCAAACUUUCCUGUCUGGUUUCGUACAUGGGAUGGAUCCACAUGGUAGAAAAUCGGUACCACAGUUUGUUUCAUUUCUUUCCUGCACUUCAUGAUCUUCACCAGCUCAUCUAAACACCAUCUGGAACCAGCAUAGUUUUCCGAGAAAACUAUUAGGGAAAACCUUGAUUCUUCAAUAGCUUUUAGGAGUUCAGGUUCAAUCUCUUCCCCUCUCUCAAGUGAAUCAUCUCUAAAGGUAUGAAUACCUCUUCGAAUCAAGUUUUCAUACAAAUGAUCAGUGAAAUUGAAUCGGGUGUCUUCACCUCUAAAACUCAAGAAAACAUCAAAAUUCCUUUGUGGGAUGAAAGUAGAAAUAGAAGUAGAAGUAGAAGUAGAACUUGUGGAAGCCAUAAGAAACUUGUGCCAAAAUCAGAACUUAGAAGGGAUUUUGCAGAAUUGUGAAUGUAGAUUGUGCAGAUUUUUUAGCAAAAAUUUGCUGAUGAAGGAUUAUGUGUCAAUGUAAUGUAUACAGAAAGAAAAAGAAAAAAAAAAAAAAAAAGUAGGUAGCGCCUAGGGGUACCGAGUACGACUUGUCUGGGAGAGUACACAACUACAGCUGGUCCUUGGUAGGUCUUAAAAAGCCCCCUCUUCUUCUCUUUCCAGCGCCCUAUGAGAAUCUCCCCCGCUUGCCUUCCACCAAACAUUGCGAGUCUGCUUAAAUCUCCCCUACUCCCUCUCUUCUUCUGCCACCUUUCUAAAUUUUUCUCCUCGGCUUAUGUUUGGUUCUCCGAAAAUAUGAAAAAAGAUAUCAUACAAAAUAUAUUAAAAAAAAUCAAAUAUAAUUAAAAUUGGUUGAUAAUUUAUAUAUUUUAAAAUUAUUUAAGUUUUAUAUAAUAAAAAAUAAAAUAAAUUUUAAAUAUAUAUGUAUAAAUAAUUUAUUCAUUUUAAAUAUAUUUUUUAUUUUACUUCAUAUUUUAUUUUUAUUUUCUUUCAAUUUUUUUUUAAAUCGAACAUAGUUUAAACUUUUUUUUAAAUGCAUGAAACCAUGUCAAAUAAAUAUUAUUUAUUUAUUUAUUUUUUAUCUUUUCUUUGAAAUUACUAAAAUUAAGUGAUUAAGAAUUAUUCCUAACAUUUUACGAUUGUAAAUUUGUGAUAUUAUUGAAAAAUAUUUCUACAAUUUUUAUAUAUAUAAAAAAAAGAAAUCAAUUAUUAGAACAACCUAAACACUACUUUCUUCAAGAUAAAUAAAUGUAUUUUUAAAAAAUUAUAGUUAUUUAUGAAAAUUUUAAGUAUUUUAAGGACUAAAUUGACACUAACUAAAUGAAGAAGUCGAAUAAAUUGGAAAAUUUAAAAAAAGACACUAAAAAAAAAUUUGUUAUUAGAAAUUAGGAAAUAAUUAUCAUGGGAAUUAAAAAACACAUUUAAUAUGCAAAAAUUCAAGGACAAUGAAACAGUGACCGAAGAGAGUGAAUACACGGGCUGCUGCAGACGAGAUUACGGAGAUAGAGCAUCUUACUUUGGGUGAUGUCAGUGCCAGCUGGACGGUGCAAUCGCACUAUGCGAUGCCGCUCUUUCUUUUUCUUUUUUUUUUUUGAUUCGCUUCUUUUUAAAGUUAGAAACUUUAAUUUGAAAAAAAGAUGGGAAAAAAAUAGCCCGGCGUCUGUUCUUUAAAAUUUGUUUUUAAAAUAAAGAAAAAAAAUAGUUUUUAGAAUUUUUUUUAAAAAAUAGAAUGUUUGACGGACGUUUUGAAAAUUAUUAUUAUUUUUAAAUAAAAAGCAUAUUUUUAUGAAAGAAUUUAUAUUACCUUCAAAUAAUUUGUAUUAUUUUUAAAGACAAUGUAUCACGCCCCAAAACCCCCGUUGACAUGACGAUCAUUUGACAUGACGAUCAUUUUACACUUCAAAUAUAAGAUUUUAAGUGAAAACGAUAUAAACAUUUAUUUUGUAAUUAAAAAAUAUCAAUUACCAAAUUUAUAUUAUUGUACAAAUAAUUUCAAUUUCAAAUAAUUUAAAUGAAAAUUAAAUUUUAACAUCUAAGUAAUGUCCAAAAUAAAUUUUGAACCAAAACUUAAUGAAGAAAAAUUCCCUAACUUAGUCAUUACUCCUCACCGGAACUAAAGUGAUGUUUGUUUUUUUUACUUAAUUCUAAAUAGAUCUUUAAUGUUUAAUAGUAUUAAUUAUUAGGUUGUUUGUUUUUGUAGUAUUUUAUUUUUAUUAAGUAUUAAAAAGUAAAAAGACCAAUAUAUUAUUUUUUCUAUUUAGAAAAAGUUAUAUAUUUUGACCUUUUCUAUUUAGUAAAAAGUUUAUAAUUAGUCAUGAAAAAAUAGAAAAACAAAUAACCUAAAUUCUGAAAACAAAUUACUUUUAACAAAAAACUAAAAAAACAAACACUACCUAAGAGUGCUUGAAAAAUUAUCAACGGAAAGAUAUGAUCUUAAAGUUCGAUAAAGAAUAUCAAUACAGUUUCAUGGAUCAAACAUUUUCAAUUAUAAUUAUAAACAUGAGAUAUAUCGUAUAAUUAUUUUCAUAAAAAUUUUUAAGUUCAAAUGCUAAUACAAUCAAACUUUUCAACAAAACUUUCUUAUAUCAAUUUCUAAAUAAUUUCUCAUCAAAACUAAAUCAAAUACAUUCAAAAUAUCUUUACUAUAGUUAUCAAAUAACAAAUGAUACUCAAUUAUGUGAGACUUUACAAAUGAGUGACUAGUUUCAAAUUUAUUUCAUUUAAGGUGAACAAAAUCAAAUGUUAACAAUUAUAACCUAUUGAUUAUAGUUAUAGAAACUAGAAUCAAACACUUUAUUUCGUUAAUUCGAAUUUACUAAACGAAAUAUCAUAUCUCUACAAUUUUUAUUUUUCAUAAACAAGAAAAUGUUCAAACAUAUUUUCUAUGCAAAACAUAAAUUUGAUCCAUGCACAGAAAUAAAAACAAUAUUUUUACACGUUUCAAAACACAAUAUAAAAAGAAAAUUAUUAUUUUUUUAAAAAAUAUGCAUUAAUUUUCCUUACUUUGAAAAAACACUUAAAAUCUUAAAGAAUUUAAUUUGAAGAAAAUUAUUUUCACAAUCUUAAAAAUAUUUAAUUUAGUAUUAAGGAUUCUAAUUAAUUUCUUAUGUUAAUAUUAUUACUACCUAAUAUUAUUUUCAACUUCUUACAUAAUAAUAACAGUAAUAUAAAUUUAAUAAAGUUCCAAAUUUUUAUAAAAUUUAUAUUCAUUCCUAAUUUUACCCCAAUUAAUUUUUUUUCUUUCUUUAUAUACUUAAAUUAAAUUUAAACUUGUAUAAAAAAACUAUUAUUAUUAUUCUUGUCAACCAACUGACACUAUAUAUAUUUAUUUAUUAUUACUUUUGAUUACCUGCAACACCACCAUUACUCCAUGCGACCGACUAUAUCUAUUAUUAUUAUUAUUAUUUUAACCUCUUCCACCCCUCUGACUUACAAACCACCACUCUAGUGCUUCUCACGAUUACAAAUUGAUUUGACUAUAUCUAUUAUUAUAUUAUUAUUAUUUUAACCUAUUCCACCCUCUAACUUACAAACCACCACCUAGUGCUUCUCACCAUUACAUAUUGAUUUUUUUUUUUUGACUCAACAAUUCGUACGUAUUCGUUCUUCUUUUCUUUAUUAUUAUUUUUUAUUUUUUCAAAUUGCCACCUCGAUAUAUAGUUCCUCAAAUUCCAAAAUCCAAAAAUAUGCUAUUCUUCUUCUUAUUAAUUUAAUUUAUUUAUUAUUAUUAUUUUUUCCAACCUAAAGCCUCUACAAAUAAUUUAUUUAUUUAUUUUCUAAAUCUAAAAUUUCUCACUUCCACUAAUUUUUUAUUUAUUUAAUUUCUAUUUAAUUGAAAAUUUUCUAUUUUCAUCAAUAAAUUAAUCUACAUUCAUAAAAUUCCAAUAUUUUGAUCUAAAAAAUUAAAUAAACAAACUUUAAUUUAGAUUGUGAUUUUUUAAUGUGUUUAAAGCUAAUUAACGGAUCUAAAAUAUUAAUCUAGGGGUCAAAAUCUUACAUGAAAAAUCGAUCUUCAACCCUAAACUUCCAAAUCUUAUGUUUCCCUAUGCUAUCUGAUCUUUCUAAUCCCUAUGUAAAAGUGUUUUUUGAAUAAAGAAGAUGGAGGAAAAUUAAUUUAUACCUACGGCUUUUAAAAGCAAAAAGACUUUUCUAUCCUUAUAAAAAUAAUUUAAUUAAUUAAUUAUUUUAAAUUAUGAUUUUACCCCUAAAUUGGUUGUGAGGAAUUACACAAUGUAUUAUUUUUAUUUUAUAAAAAAAUUAUAAAUUAAUUUAUAAUAAUAUGAAAUCAAAUUCAAGUUAAGUCUUAUUCAAAAAUAAAAAUUAAAUUACAAUUAUAUAUGUGUUAUAUAUAUAUAUAUUUUAAAUUAUGAAACAAUUUUUUUAUUUUAGUAAAAUAAAAAUUUCUAUAAGAUAAAAAUAAUUUUAAUAUUCAUUUUAAAUAUAAGUCAAAUAAGUACUUUAAUUAUUAUUUUUUAAAAUUUUUUGUGUUGAUCAUGAUUUCUUAUGCUUUUUUUUUUUAAUAAACUUCUUUGAAGUUAAAGAAUACAAAAAAAGUUUUUAAUGUUUUAUAAAAUUAAGGAUAUUGGGUAAAUUAUUUUUUUUUAAAGAACUUUAAAAAUAAAAAAACAAAAAGACUUGUUUGGAUAAAUUUUUUUUUUUAAAAAAAUUGUUUUGAUUUUGUAAAAACAUUUUAAAUUCAAUUUAUAUAAUAUUAAUUAAUUAAAUUUAAUUGAAGUCUUAUUGAAAAUGAAAAUAAAUUUUUAAUUAUAAAUAAAUUAAAAAAUAUAUAGUUUUUAGUAAAACAUAAAUAUUAAUAUUAUAAUAAAAUCAUAAAUUAUAUUUUUAGUAGAAAAUAUACUAUUUUAUUAUAUGUUAGAAAAAUGAUAAUUAUAUUUAUAAAUUUAUGGUAUAAUGAAUUUAUUAUUUAAGUUUUAAAUUAUUUUUAAAAAUUAAUAGACUUGUUAACAAAUAUAAUACAUUAAAUCUUGUUUAAUUUACCUAACAAUAAAAAAUAUUGAAAAAUAAUAAUUUUAUGUAAAAAAGAAAUAAUAAAGUGUAUAUGUUUUUUUUUUUAUUGUUUUUAAAAACUAGUGAAAAUAAUUUUUACUUAUUUUUUAAAAGUUAUUUUUUAUUUUACUUUGUUUUUAAAAAAUUAAAAAUAGAGAAUGAUAACCAAACAAUAUUAUGAAUUUUUAAAAACUAUUUUCUAUUUUUUAAAAAUAAAAAACUGUUAAAAACUCCGUCAAACUAGCUUUACGCCCAUGAGUUCCCUCCGUCCAAACACUAAUUCUGAUUGGGAUUGCACUUUUAAAGCUAAAUAGAAAAAUUACCAUAACUUGCUAGGGAGGGCUUGGAACCAAACACCUUGAGCAAGGGAUGAUAACCACUCACCACCAAACUACAUGUGCUUUGGUGCUAUAAAGCCACAUAAAUUCUGUGCAUACAUAUUAUAUCUUUUAUGUAUUAUAAAUUAGUUAAAAAAAAUUUAUUUUAAAUAAAUUAAUUUUAAUUAUCUUAUUAUUUAUUUUACAUAAUAAUUAAAUACAAGACAAAUAUAAAAUUAUAAAUAAAAUUAUCAACAUUUUUAAAUAAAAAAUACUUACUUAUAUUAUUUGUUUUAUAUCCUUCAAUAUAUAUUAAUUUGUUUGUUAAAAUUAAAACAACUUCAUUAUAUGUAUUAUUAAUUUUAUUAUUUGGAGUUUUUUCCCAAUAUUUCUAUGAUUUGUUUUUUUUGUUUUUUUUCAUCAAUUUUCAUUUCACCAAUAUUUCCCACUGAUAUUUCCCUAUACAUAUAUAUAUAUAUUUGCAUUUUUCUUAACAUUUUCAUGAGUUUUGAUCCAUUUUCAUUUCAUAGAGAUUUCAUGUCAGGAUAUCCAUCGAUAUUUUUUGAUAUAUCUUGAUAUAUCCGUAAAAUCAAGUUAUUGAUACAUCCAUUAACACUGAUAUUUUCAUCAUUGGUUUUCGAUGAGUCCGAAAACAUGGAAUCUCAACCUAAUAUUAAAAAAUUGUAGUUAAAUGUGGUUUCUGACCAUCCUUCAAAUCUAAUAUUCAAUACCAAUAAUUGAACUUUUGGGUUAUAGUUAUGCUUUUAACCUAAUGUUCAAUUACAACAACCAAAAACUUUGACCAAUUGUUAGUGUUGGAUUUCUUAUUGUCCGAUUUUCGUGUUUACAAAUCAAUAUUUAUUAUUGAUUAUGAAAGGAAAUUUUUUAGCAAAAUCAAUUUUUAGUUGAAAAUGUAUAACAUAUGAUAUGGAACACAAUUGGACUAUCAAGGGAUGUCUAUUCAUAGAUAAAUUUGUCCCAAAUUACCAAAGAUUAAUAGUUUCUUAAUUAGAUAUUUGAAAUGUAGGGUAGGAAGACAAAUAAAAAGCUAGAGCUGAGUAGAAUUUUCUUGAAAGAAGGAAAUCAAGCAUUUCAUACAAUAGUCCAUUUUUUCACAAGGCAAUAACAUUAGAAGAAUAUUGUGAAUUUAGUGAAAUAUGGAUAGAAUAAAUGACUAAAACAUAUAUUAUUUCAUACAAUUGUUGAAGGAAAUAUAAAAUUUUCUUGAAAGAAGGAAACAACUGAAAUAUUUGGAAAACUCCAUUCCAAGUCUUAGAUCGAUGAGGUGCAUGCAGUACAAUCGUAAGGAUAUUGGAUCUAAGCAACAAAAUCAAUAAUAAUAAAACGACUAUAGAUAUAGGUGCUCUAAAAACAAUUAUUGUUCCUAGAUUAGUUCCAACUGAUAUAUGAAAAGGAUGAUAUGGAUCUUGAAUAUCUUAUGAUAUUUCGCUUGAUGACUCUCUUUUGGAUCUUAGCCCUUAAGAAUGGUGAACUUUUCUAUAGGGAUGAAGGCUAGGGAUCUCUCUCUUUGGAAGAUAGAAUGAGUCAAGUAUCUAAUCCUAAUCCUUUAAGGGGGUUUAUAUAGAUUUCCUUGUAAGCUUAAGUAACUUGAGCCCAUCUAGCGCUGGGGUUCCUUAAUUGAAUUCACUAGGUCCUAAUUAAUUAAUUAACCUUGUUAGGCUUCAAUCAAUUAAUUAACUCAACCCAAAAAGAUCAUUCAUAAGCUUUUGAAUAACCUAGGAUAUUUACUAAAAUGCCCUUAUGCACAUAUAUGAAUAAGAAACCCAAAUAUCUCUAAAACAAUGUGCCACUAAGGAAUAUGAGUUUAAGCGAGAACCAUUGAGACCCAUAAGAAAAUACCAACUCCCUUAGCAUCUAAUUUUGAAGUUGCUAUAACAUUUCAUUGUAGAGGGUUAAUUGCACUUCUAUAUCCUAUGAUAUUAAAUCGAGAUAAAAAAAAAAAACUUGGGUCUAUGAUAUACUAAUGAUUGUUUGCAAGCUUUCUAUAACUAGUGUCCAUAAUCUAAUAAGAUGAAUGUUAUCAAUGUUUCAAAAUUACCUUUACUAUCCUUGAAUUUAAGAUCCUCCUAUUAUAUGCAACUGAUAUAAUCCAAUUCUUUAAAAGCAAAUAUCAAAUUUCACUUAAAAAAUAAUUAUGGUAAUUGCAAAUCUCUAUUGUAAUUAAAAUAAUAAAACCUAAGUAUGUGACAACCCUAGGCAAGAAAAAUCAAAGAUUGAAUCAUUACAACUUUGUAGUAUUUCAAGUUAUCGUUCUUUAGGAUCAACUUAAUGUGUCUAAUUGUUUUUAGAUUAGAAGGAUUAAUUAUUUGGUAAAGUUAAUGAAUUCCUAAUUUAUAUAAAUAGAAUAAAAUAUGGAUGGUAAAAUAUCUAAUAAACUUAAAUAAAAUAAAAGAAAAAAAAAACUAUCUAAUGAAGAUCACAUGUUUGAUUUUAAAUCCAAUAAGAAAAUUAAAGUGAUAAGAUUUUUCCUACUUUGGGGAUCAAAGAGUCAAUCCAAGAUUAAACCACAUCUUAAGAUCAAUUUAAGCCAAAAACUUUGAUUUAACAACUUAAUCUAGAUCUCUAAAGUAUUUUGAAGUAACUUUAACCUUUAUUUCUUGUUUUGACAUUCAAGCCCUAGAUUCAUCAGUGAGGUUUAUCUUGAUCUUAUGCAUGAUCAAUCAAAAUGAGUUAUCCAAUGAUUAAGAGGCGAAAAAGCAUAAUUGGAACUAAGUUAAACAUUGAUCAUCUCUUAAUUGAGAGGAACUACCUAGAUGAUUCAUUCAAUCAUAAUGAAAAUAAAAAAAUUAAAAAGUGUAGGUUUAGAGUUUAUUUCCCUUCCACACAUUCCUCAUAUUAUUUCUCCAUCUCCCUUGCUUCAUUCUCUAGAUUAAUCUGCCUUCAUAUGUUCUGUAUCUCAUAAACCCUAAAACAAAGCAUAUAUAUACAUAACCUAAACCUAAAUGAGGCAUGUUACAUACAUAUUCUAAUUGGCCACUUAUUCCCAAAUACUACUUAAAAAUAACUAAAAAUUACUAAAGUCAUCAUUGAAAACAUAUGGGCCCCACUUUGGGCUAGAAAAGUAUUAAAAUAUCCAAUGUUCAAGGAUUUGUAGCUUAUGUCAAAUUGGAAUAGACCAUGAUUUCUACAUGAAAAGUUGCAUUUCGAUAUGGAGGGUUGAAUUUUGACAUGGAGGGUUGCAUUUUGACAUGAACUCAUAAUCAAUAUGUCAAAUGAAAAUUUUUCAAAUUUCAACAUUGUGGUCAAAAUUCAUUUUGACUUAGAAGAUUUCCGAUUGAAAUUUUUGAUAUGCAUUUCAACUUGGCAUUCUACCAUUGUGCAACUUGCUUUAAUUAGUCAUAACUUUUUCAUUUUAACUUCAAAUUUGCAUAUUGUUUAAAGAGUUGGACUCUUCACUUUCUAAGCUUCAAAAGAUAGAUAGUUUGCUUUAAAAUAAUCUUGAGAAGUUCUCUAAAAUUCACCUUAAAGUGAAGGUAUGUGUUGCUAUCAGAUUUUAAAUUCCAAUUUCCAUAUGUUAGGAUAGAGCCUUUAAAAACAUGCCAUGAUAUAAUAAAUUUGGAAUUCAUUAUUUAUUUAAUGAUAUUCUAGGUUCACUUUCAUUUAUCCUUAUUCCAUGUAUUAUACUUUAUGAUCAUUCUUGCUUGCAUUUUUUGCAUUGUACGUGACUUAGGUGCAUUAGGAGUUGCACAAAAGAUCUAAAUCAUGGGUUCCUUGCAAAUAGAUGACUUGUUUAUAAUCAGUUCAUGUGUCUAAGCAACUCAUUAGAGAUUGUACUGCACCACCUCCUAAUUGGAGGGAUGGUUGGUGAUUACUACUCAAAAAGAGUAUAUUUUAGAUAAUAAUUCUCAUGAGUUUCACAUCUUUUGAGUAGUAAUUAUGCCUAAAACACUCAAUUAACAUGUUUUUGCCCUUGCAAGAGUUACUAACAAGUUUUAUGAAGUUUUGGAGUCAUUUCAAGGUAUGAUUUUGAUAAAUUUGUGCCAAAAGAGAUGAAUCAAAUUAAAGAAAACAAAUAAAGUUGAUGAUGAUCCAAAUACACAAUGAAAGAAGUAAUGUAAUUGGUUUGGACCAAGCUUUGGAGCUGAAUUGAAGGUGGUGGAGGUGGAUUAAAAAUGAAGAAAUGGGAGAAAUUGCAAAGAGGAGUCGAAAAAACAUGUUUUUCAAUUUCGCAUGACCAUGCGAAAUGAAACAGAAUGGGUGUUGGUUGCAACAUACAAGGGAAAUGUGAAAAGUGAUUUUGCAUGACCAUGCGAAAUUUUCGCACAAUCAUGCGAAACGCUCCAGGAAGACGAAAAUGAAGCUAAUGGACUUUCCACUUCGCACCAUCAUGCGAAAUUGCUGGGGGCUCGUGCGAAAAUGUAUUUUCUCCAGAUUCCUUGAUGAAGAAGCCUCCGAAAGACCUCUUAGAUGAUGCCAAGUGUCCACUUAACCUUGGCCUAUAAAUAGAAACGUGAUUGACUCAUUUAAAGACUUUUGAUAUUUCUUAAUUAUAGAACUUUCUAGAUUUUUUCUCUCUAUAUAAUUCUCUACUUUCCUUCAUUUUCUCGGUAGCCAAACAUGUCUUGUGAGACCAAAUCUCCAAGCAUGAGUGGCUAAAUCUCAUUUUUCUCGGAGGAGGGAGGAUUUAGAGACAAAAUCUAUGGUGAAUUAGAGAAUUGAGCUUGAAUUGCAAAGGUAAUUUGAUCCAAUUGAUUGAUUAAUUGAAAUUUGGGGAUUUUUCUCUUCAAAUUGUCUUGGAUGAUUACUACAAUGCAAGCUAGGUAGAUUCAUCAAAUUUGUAAUGCUAAAUUUGAUGAGAUUGAAUAGUUGCAUUGUGUGAAUCAUUGGAAGAUAAUUUCAGAUGAAUUGAAUAUAUGAUUUGAAUUGAUCUAUUGGAUUAAAUGACCUAAUUUGAAGAUAAAUUAGAUCUAGACCUAAAGCUAAAUAAAAAAUCAGUUUAGAUGAAAAUUUAGGUUUUCAAUCUAACUUGAUAAAAAUUAGAUCUUAACAUCUAUUUACCAUAGAAAUUGUUUUCUAGAAAAUCCUAACUUCGAGAAUUUCAUCUCCUAUUAAUUUUCUUUUAUUUUACAUUUUAUUUUUCUUUUCAAUUUUAGACCAUAGUCAAAUUGAUUUUUCAUCAUGAAUUUUCAAAUCAAUUUCACUUGAUCACAAUUAUUUCUUAUCCUCUCAUUCAAGCUUUAAUUACCGAGAAUAAUCCAUCCUAGUGGACGAUACCUAAAAACCACUAUACUACGGCAGUUUGUACUAAAACCAUUUUUGAUCGAGUACAAGCUACUUUAGGAUAGUGAAUUAGGUUAUAAAUUUUGUUUUGAUCAAAUAAACAACAAAAAUCUGAGCGAUCAGUUGGUCUUGGUAAUUGGGAUGAGUUUCCCAUGGUGAGUGCAUUAGUAUAUAUGGUUACACAUUGGAAAAGACCUACGACGAGUCAUGGCUUAAGGCUACCAAGUAGUCAUGGCCUCACCAAGUUGUUUCAUUAUGUUGUCUCUCAACCUUGAGGGAAUACUGAGUUCAUGAUAAAGUUAACAAUGACUUUGACCUAUGGGUGAGAUCGUAAGUUGAUCAUAUAUUCCCUAUAAAUUGGGUCAUUGUUGAUGGAAGUCGAUAGUAAUAAGUAUUCUCAAUAGAGACACUAUGAUAUCUCAUGAGAUUGAGGCAGUAUGUCCCCUUGGGUGAUCCUAAGGAGGUGUGUUCAUGAAAAUUAUGACUAUAGUUGUUCUUUAAGUGAAACUUGACAUAGGCUAUUUAAGAGUUAAAACAUGUUAGUUGAAUACACAAUAAGAUGAUCUGUAACUGAAGGAUGGUAGAGGUAGUAUUGAAAGUCUGAUAGCUUUCACCUUGUUAGACUACAAACGUUGGUUUAUGGGGAGACUAAACAUAAUGGAUAGUAGGUUAUGGACCCGAGCACGUAAUGUCUUGUUAUUUACAUAGGAUAAUGGAGUUUAAUUGAUUAUCUAUAGUGGGAUGUUAAAUCAACUUCAGAAUUGGAUUAUGAGGAAACCAGUACUCCUUUGGGUCCCGGUGGUCCUUGCUCUAGGCUCAUAAGAGUUUAAUUACUACUAAGUUCACUUUUGUGCAUAAAGGCGUUUUGGUAAUUACGCAAGGUUGCAUAGGAGUAAGUGAACAAGGUCUCUGGAUUGAAUUAAUUGAUUAAUUAGUAGGCCUUAUUGGGUUAAUUAAUAAAUUAUAACCCAUUUUAGGCUAGAUUAAGUGACCCAAGCCCAUGUGGGCUCAGGUCACUUAAGCUCACUUAGAAAUCCUAUAAAUACCCCUUAGGGGUUAGGGUUUCCAUAACUUUUAUCUUUCACCAUCCACAAAGAGAGAGUCAUAGCCUCCACCCUCAAUUCCUUCCCAUCGGAAGUGUGACAAGAACAAGGUUGAGUCAUUGGACGGAAAUCGUGAGUUUACGAGACUUCCAACAACUUCAAGGUCAUCUUCAAUACUUGGAAUUUAAGGUUUGGGAACAUCCAAACCUAAAGGUUAGUACUUUAGCCCUAAAAGAUCAAUUUUUAAAAAAUAGUAUUGCUUCCGUUGCUUAGAUCUAAGAUGCCAACACCAUAUUGAAUUUCAAGCUAUGACCUUCAACUUUCAUUUUCAUGUUUGAUUGUUCUCUAACUCCUUCCAUAACAUUUGUUGCUUAUCUUCCAUGUCCAUGACUCUCUCAUUUUUAAUUUUUUUUUUUUUGUUUAGAUAUCCUCUGCUUUUUUUGCAUGUUUACAAUUUGCUAUCCUAUGAAACUCAUAUGGACAAACUCCAUUAAAAAUACUAUAUAAAGCCUUAUCAUUGGCUUCACUACCUUCAUUAUCAAUUUUGUCUCAUUCAUAUUUAGGUUUCUAUUCUCUUGUUGAUCUUCCUUCAGUAUCAAAGAUCAAUCAUGGUCCUUAACUAUAUUCAAUUGAAUGUCAUACCUUUUUACCUUGCAUUUUAAGGAAAAACGUCAUACGUACUUUCCAAUGGGAAUAGUUACUCCCAUUAAAAUAGGGUGGACUAUUUAAAAGAGCACCACUUUUUGAUUGUUCUAUAUUGGACUUACAGGAUCAAUAAAAAUUUGAUUUUUAUCCUAUAUGAUUGAUAAAAAUUUGAUUUUUAAACAAUAUAAAUAAUAAAAAUUGAAUUUUUAAUCAAUGUGAUAAAGAAUUGAUUUUUUAUCUUGCUCUGAUACUAAUUGAAAAUGGGUACUACUCUGAAUGCCACUUGAAUAAUAGUCAAAAGUCCAAUAGGGAACACCCAAAUGAGGGGUGAAUGAGUGAUUUAAAAAUUUAAAACAAUAUUAUUAAAUUAUAAUCAAUUUUCUUAUCCUAAGAUAUUAUAGGGAUAUUCAGGAUAUCCAAAUAAAAAUUCACCUCAAAUAAAAAUAUAAUUUUUAUGGUUAAUUUAUAUCCAAAGAUUAUUUAGGGAUGGAAUAAAACAAAUACUAAUAUCCAAAAGAUAUCUUGAAGGGUGUUAAGGAUAACAAAAAUUAGUUAUAGGGAUAACCUCUAUAACCACCUAAAUAACCAACACAACAACCUCUAGAGUAAUCUCAACAAAUCAAUCGAACCAAGAUAUUCAAUAUCAUCAACCAAAACAUAAGUAGGAAUAAAUAGAUAUGUAUUUUUAGGAAAGUCCUUCAAGAUAUUAAGGAUAAUCAAUUUAACCAGUUAUAUGCAAUUCAAACAAAAUAUCAAAUAUAAAAUAUAUAGACAAUGAGACACAAUAAUUUUUAUGUGGAAAACCUCCACAAAUUGUGGAGAUAAAAAACCAUAAGGUCUAAGACUUAUCAAUCUAAAUCCACUAUUUAAAAUCAAGCUACACAUAUUUAGCUGACCGCUUUACCCUAAAGGUUUAGAAUGUGUUUAGAAGUGAUUCUAGAAAAUAUUUAUACCAUUUUUAACACUUGAAUGAUAAAAAAUUUCAAGUACUAGAAAUAUUAAAAGUGUUUCUUAGAAUCACUGCCAAAUAGGCUCUUACUCUCCAAUACUUAUAACUUGAUCUACGUCCGCAAUGCAACAACUAUUUAUUGCUCACUAGUAGGACCUUUGAUCCUUCUAAAGGAUUACAAUCUUCAACUAACAAUUUAAAGAAUUGAAUCCUUGAAUGAGAGAUCAGAAAUGGUGUGGUAAUAAGGCUUUCUUUUAAUGAGGUCCCUCUCUAAGGAACAAGAAGUCUCAACAAAGUAUUUUUAUCUUCCUAGAACUCUCCACACAAUCAUUCUAGGAUCUCUUAACUUGAACCUCUAAGCCUAAAUCUCUAACCCUCAAAGGUUUAUAAGGGAGGUAUUUAUAGGCACAAGUCAAAAGAGUCAUAGUAUCUUAAGUUUCCAAAUUAGAGUUUGAGUGAAAAUCAUCCAAAAUACUUUUCUAAACUCGGUAGAAUUGACAUGACCGUUUGAGCGAGCUUGGACCACAUGAGCAGUCCAUUUAAGCAGUCCUUAUCGCUUGAGCAACCCUUGCUUCUUUUGAAAAAAUAUUUUAAAACAUUUUAAGUCCAAAAAUGAUACUGAACGUUUUAUACCUCAAAUAAACCUUAUAUGCCACAAGCCAAACCUUUUUAGAUGUACCAGUGACUUCUCGAUUGGACGAAUAACAACCUUUGAUCUUCAGUGGAGUGUAAGUCACUAUCUAAAAGACUUCUAUGGUCAAACAUAAAUUGGAACAAAAUUGUCAACAUAUGAACAAGACUCAAUAUCUUAACAUUAGGUGCCUUAUUUUUGCUUCAACAAAAUUUGAAAAAGAAAUUAAAUUUAUAUUUCAUUAAGUUUAGUUAGGAAAUAAAUGAAUGAUUUAUUAUAAUGAAAAAUGUCAACUAUUAAGAUUAUAUGGUCAUAAUAUGUUAACUAUUAUAAGAAUGAAACUAAUUUAAAAAAAAUAUAAUCAAUACACACUUCUAAUUUGUAGAUGAAUUUUUAAAUCAAUCCUACCCAAUCAAUUUUUUUUUAUCAAUUUAAUAUUUUUUUUAAUGUUUUUUGAAAUUAUUUUUAUUAAUAAUUUUUCUUUAAUGUUAGGGUAAGUCCAUCCAAGUGUUUGAUGAUUUUUUUAUUUUUAUUAUUUUACAACAAUUUUUAUGAUUUUUUUUUUCAAAAAUUGAUGGUAAAUCAAUUUUUAUUUUUUUGAAAUGUUAUAAUUUUUUAUGUAAAUAUUAUGUUAUUCCCUAUUUAUUUUUAGUAUUUUUUUGUAUAAUUAAUUAAUGUGAUAAUUGGUAAAUUAUUGUGGAUGCAAUUUAGGAAAGACGUAGACCUUGAUUGUUUGACUUUUUAUAGGUUACAACUAAUUAAUUAUUUUGAAUAAUUUUAUUUAAAAUUUUUGGAUUAAUUUUGUAUAAUAUAUUGUCAUGAUAUUGUGAUAUAUUAAUUAUUAAAAUAUAAUCUUAGUUUGCUUUGAUUUUGUUAUUUUAAUCAAUGGAUAGACCAUAUUAAUUCAAUAAAGUUAAUUUAAUAGUCAAAACAUAGAAAAUAUAAUCUCAAUUUAAAACAUUAAUGUACAUAUUUUUCUAAAUAAUUUAUAAUGAAAUUGUUUUUCGUAACAAUAUAUUUAUUUUCCUUUAAUAUACACUUAUUUUUCUAAGAAAUGUACUUUUUUUUAAAAAUGUAAUUGUUUUUCCUAAGGAUGUACUUAUUUAUAUUAUUACAAAUUUAUCAUAAAUUUAAUUAUCAAUAAAUGACCAUUUUGGUAUUUUCAUUAACCAAAAAUUCAUAAAUCCUCAAGAAGUAAAAUGAUAUAUCAAAUCACAGACAAAAAUCACAUGUACAAAUAGAUCUAUCUCGCAACAAGAUCUAUAAUUUUUUUCUUCUAACAUAUAUUAAAUAAAAUUUUUAGGGAUAAUUCACCUUACCAAAAUCCAACCCUUAACUUUAAAAUCAGACUCCAUAACAAUAUUCCCCACGUGAAAUAAAAUAGCAUCCUAGAAUUUCAUACCAAACGAACUACGUUUGGUCUAUCAAACAACCUUUUGAGGACUAAUGCUACAUGUUUUUUUAUUUUUUUUUAUUUUCUGUUUCCUUUUUUAUUUUUUGUUUUUCUCAUUUCUCUCUACUGUCAUCCAACUCUUUUUCUCUCUCAUUUCCCAUUUGUUUGACUUUUUCUUUUCUUUUCCUUUUUAAUUCUUCAUCGUGACGUCCAUACCGGCUUCUUUUAUUAUUAUUUUUACUAUUAUUACAACUUUGCUAUAUUAUUUUUUAUACAUAUCCUUAAAAAUAUUUAAUUCUUCCUAAAUUAAUUUUUUUUUAUGAUAUACAUACUUUUUUUUUUCAAAACUAUCAUUUUAUGUGGACCACAUGUAUAUUAUUAUGUGAUAUUUAUUUAAAUAUUAAAUUAAGUAUUAUGGUUUAAUAAAUAAUAAAGCUAAAAUCCUAUUAGUCAGUUUUCGAGAAGUUAGUUUCUUAAAUUAAAGACACUUUGAUGGAAAGUGCACUUAUAAUUAUAUAAGGAAACUGGUCCUCUCUCCACCCUAUAAAUAAAUGUUCUAUUCCAUCAAUAAUACGCAUAAGAGAAAACCUAAGGGUGAAGGGGUUAAGGGAGAGAAACAUAGUUUCUAUUAUACUUAUUGUUUGGUCUCUUCAAAAAUUCCCUAGGGAUUAAAGACAUGUUUUUUGUUUUUCUCUCAAUAAUAGAAUUGUGAAAAUCAUAUUAUUUUAGAAUCCUUGGUUAUUAUGACUAUUCUGCAAGAAUUAAAGUUAUGGUUGUUCUGCAGGAAUUAGGGUUAUUAUUAUUCUGCAUAAAUAAAGAAAACCUAACAUGUGGUAUUAGAGUAAUGGUUCAAGAACUUAUGAUUUUCCUUUAAAGAUUAUUUUAUAUCUCUCUUAUGAUAUCAAAUUUUGAUGAGAGAAUUAAAUUUAUUGAUUGUAUUUUUCUGCUGCAAUCAACAUAUUUUGUUGAUAUUUUUGUAUUCAAUUUCUUCCUGAAAUGAAUUAUGGUGGCUUCAAGUUAUUAUAUGAAUUAUGAUUUUAUGUCAAUUAUGAUUUGUUGCCACAUAAUUGUUUAUUGCUAUUAAUGCACAAUUUGAAUAAAUCAAAUUCUUUAUGACUUUAUGUUAAACUUGAUCCUUUUAUGAAGAAAUUGCAUAUUAUGCAACUUGAGAUCAUAAGUUAUUUUUGGCAAAUUGUCUUUUAUGCUUCCGUAAUAGUAUUAUGAAGGUUUAACAUGAUUGAGAUUUUGUUUAAUUUGAUAUUCAUAUUAUUUUUGUUUGCAGUCACCAAAGUGACCAAACUUUAAUGUUUUGAAUAUCAAAUUAUAUAAUAAUUAUUUAUAUUAUAUAAUUUGAAAUUCGCUUAUGAACGGUUUGUUAGUCACCAAAGUGGCCAAAUCUUAAAGUUUUGUGUCUAUCAAGUUGUAUAAUAUUAUUAUUGAUUACCUAUUAUGUAUGAGGUAAUAUAAGAAUGAUUGAAUAGUUAUGGGUUAAAGAUCAUUUGGCUGAAGGUCUUAUUAUGGGUGAUUAUUUAUAUGAAUUAUACAUUAUGGAUAUUGUUGUCAAUGUAAUGCAAAUUGACACUUUUGAGAUUUUGAGGUAUAAUUCACAUAAAUAUAAAUGGAGCUAAUUAUGUGGGAAUUUCUCAUAUUGUAGACUCUCAAUUUUGUCUCCUUAGCAUAUUCCUUAGGUGUUAUUUCAGUACUGUGUAACAGUUCCCUAAUGGCCCAUUGCUACUCAUACAACCUACCUUUUUGAGCCACCUUAGAGACUCUGAUUGAGGGAUUUAUCUCUCCCCAUUGUGACCCUUGGCAGCCCCGAAUUAGACUUAGGAUUUUUCUUCUUUUUUUAGGAUAGCUCAUUUAGGUACAUUUUUAGGAUAACAUACUUAGGCAUGUUUAAGCACACUUUUUAUAUCACUUAGGUUCACUUAAACACUUCUUACGCACACCUAGGCACCUUUUAGCUUGCACACACUCACCCAAGGUCACCUAGGCACUUUCCAAAUUACACACACUCACCUUAGGUCACUUAGGCACCUUGUUGAUCCUCAUAGGUCACUUAGGACCACUAAGUCACACCUUAGGUCACUUAGGCUAACCUUAGGUCACUUAGGCACAUUAUAAUUCAACUAGAUUCACCUUGGCACAUUACACUUUACCUAGAUUCACCUAGGGCACAUUUAGGUACACCCUAACCCAUCUAGGCACACUCAAGCCCACUUAGGCACGCCUUGAUCCAUUGAGGCACACCUUAUCCCAUUUAGGUAUACUCUAGGUCACUUAGGCACCUUUCUAAUCACCUUAGGCAUAUGUAGACAUUUUUUAGAUCACCCUAGGUCACUUAGGCACGUUUCAGGCUCAUCUAGGCCCACCUAGAUUCACUUUGGCCCAUUUAGAUUCACCUAGGCCUAUUUAGGUGCAUCUAGGCUCGAUUAGGUUAGCUAGGUCCACUUAGACACAUCUUUGGCCCACUUAGGAAUGUCUUGGCCCUUGCAGGUACACCUGACCCACUUAGGCACACUCAAGCCCACCAAGGAUCACUUCAUAUGGAUUGUUUCACUUUAAGUUGGACUUUGGUUUUGAUUGCUUGAUUUUUGAGAUUAGGUAAGUAUGUGGUUUGAUUUAGAUUUUUUUGAUUGCUUGAGGUGAAUUUUCAUUAUUUAAUUAUGUUAAUUCGAUAUUUCAUUUUUCAAUUUUAUCUAUUCCUUUAGUUUAAUAUUAAGUAUUUCAUUUUUCAAUUUUAUCUAUUCCUUUAGUUUAAUAUUAGGAUUUGUGAUCGCAUGUGUUUAGUAUUUAUGUAUUUAUUCAUUUAUUUUUGUUUUAUUUAGUUAUUUAUUUAUUUUUGCUUACUUGUUCAUUUUUUUUAGGAAAGUUACAUAAGGUCGCUUCUACUUAUUUUUCUAAUUGCAUGAAUUAAUUACUAUUACUAUUAUUAUUAUUGAUUUUCCUAUAUAAGUAUGUGAUUGAUUUCUUUUAUUUUAUUUUUACUUUUCAUGAUUUUUGAUUCUACCAUUUUUAUUUUAUUUAUUUCUUCAUUUAUUUAUUUUUGCAUGAAUCCUGUGGCUAUGCGUUGGAGAAUCUACAUUAGAGAAGACUCUUAGGAAGACGAAUUUGGAAGGUUUUAGAAAAGGAAAGGGGUUGUUAGCUAUUCGGGAGAAAAAGGAAGGUUGAAAACGUGUUUUAGGAAGGAUAUUUGGGCAAAAGUCUUUUGGGGAAAUAAAGGAGAUUCAAUCAUAAAGGAAAAAAAAAAAAAGGAAUUUUCGUGUGUGGUGAUGGAAAGGAAAGAUUGAGCGGGUUUAAGAAUGAAUUCAAGGUGUUUUGAAGAAGGGAGAACAUGUGUGAGGAAUAAGAGGAUUCAAUGACUUUUAGAAGAAAGGGUUGUCAUGUAUAGAGUGUUGUAUUUAAGGGUAUGGAAACAAAGGACUAGUCCAAAACAGACAAACAAAGAACAAAAUGAAUAACAAGGAAACUUGGUGCACUGUCCUUGAAAUAGAUCCACCCUCCUCGAAGACGAACUCGGUGCAUUAGGGUACCAUUGGUCUACCUCUAGGAUUUAACAGCCAGAAAAUCUCAUCUUUGGUGCACUCUAUAAGCGAGACGUAUACAGCUCGGGUUCUGAAAUAUUCCUUCAGAUAGAUGUAUGAAAGGCUCUCUGAAAAACUCUUUGAAAAAUUGGGUGUGUAGAGAGUGAAGGGUGACCUGCUUUUAUAGGCCACAAACACAGUCCAAAUGAGACUCUACUUGUAAUCUAAACAGAACUUUACUUGUAAUUUGAACAGAACUUUACUAUUCUACAUGUAAGCAGAAUGGGACACUACUAGCAUAAUCCUAGUGGGACUCUUCCCAAAGAUAAAAGACUAAGUCAAACGGAAUAAAAAUUUAAAUUAAAAUAAAAUAUUUUGAAUUUUGUAAAAAUUAGUUGAAUUCGCUAAAACACUUUUUCACAUUUACACUCUUCCUACAAUCUCCCACAGAGUGUAGAUGUGAAAGAAAAAAAUGGAGGAAAAAAGAAUCCAAUACAUCAGUACUAGUGCCCAAAGGCUAUGAACCAAUCUUAGGACAAAUAAGUAUUGAAUCACAAAACACGAUGAAAAUAAAUUUCUAUGAACCAAUGUUUCUUGAUGUAACUCAAGGAACUUUUAUCCACAUUCAUUUUCUCAACUACAUUACAAGCUGUUCAAAACGGGUUGGCACAAAUAAGCCAUGUGCCCUGCUUGGAUAUUCAUGAGAGUUCUAGAGAACCUGCCUAAGUUCUCAUAGGAAGCGGUCUCACCUCCACUCUCAUAUAGGUGAAUCCAUCAGGUAUGUUCUACAUUUAAACAUACCAUCCAUAAGGAAUAUGGUAUUCAUUAAGAGUAAACACUCAACCUUAGUUAAUGCAAAAUAUACUCUAUUUACACCAUAGGGAUAGACUCUCAUACAAUUAAAGUCAAUAGAGUACUUUAAGUCAACAAGUGAUUUGUUAUUACCCAUAUGAACCUACUUCAUGGAAUUUCCAUUCUAAUAGCUUGGGUUACCACCACUCUUGACUUCUGUAAUAGGCAUAAGCCCCAUCCCCCGUGAUGUUUCUUCCACUAGUUUCUUAUUUAGUGAUUUGGUCAAAGGAUCAACCAAGUUCAAAUCUGACAUCACAAAUUCUAGGGAUAUAAUCCCUGUUUCAAGCAACUGUCGCACAAUAUUGUGCCUUAUGAGUAUAUGCCUAUUCUUCCCAUUAAAUAUUUUACUCUUGGCCUUAGCAAUUGCAACUUGGCUAUCACAAUGCAUAAACACAGGUGGGGCUGAUCUCGUCCAUAAAAAGAUAUUUGCUAAGAGGUUUCUAAACCACUUAGCCUUAGAACUUGCCUUUACUAAGGCAAUAAGCUCAACCUUCAUAGUAGACCGAGUAAUGCAAGUUUGCUUGGUGGACUUCCAAGAAACUGCAUUUUCACCAAGGAUGAAAACAUGUACACUAGUGAAUUUCAUCUCAUCUAAAUCUGAGAUCCAAUUUGCAUUACUAAAUCUUUCAAGGACACUUGGAAAUCCACUAUAGCACAAACCAUAGUUAAUGGUGCCUCUUAAAUACUUAAGGACUCUACGAACAACAUUCCAAUGGUCCUGAUUAGGACUUUGGGUGUACCGACUCAAUCUACCUACUGCAUAAGCAAUGUCAAGUCUGGUAUAGUUCAUUAAGUACAUUAGGCUCCCUAUGAUCUGAGCAUACUCUAUUUGGGCAACACUGUGUUUUCUAUUUUUCUUCAACUGUGAGCUGGGAUAAUAAGGAGUUGACACUAGUUUACAAUCAAAGUGUUCAAACUUCCUUAGGAUCUUCUCAAUAUAGUGCUCUUGAUAAAGUUUAAACCUAUUAGGUGUUCUAGUUAUUUUAAUUCCUAGAAUUACUUUUGUCUCUUCUAGGUCUUUCAUAUCAGACUUAGAACCUAGGAAUUUCUUAGUCUCACACACAACCUCUAGGCUAGGUCCAAAGAUCAGCAUGUCAUCAACAUAAAGGCAGAUGACUACACGUGUUAUCCUCAUACUUGUUGUAGACACACUUAUCAACAUCAUUAAUGGAAUAUCCAUUAGUUACUAACACAUGAUCAAACUUCUUGUGUCACUAUUUGGGAGCUUGUUUUAGCCCAUAUAAUGAUUUAACUAGCUUACACACCUUUUUCUCAUUCCUUGGUUGUUUUAAAUUUCUUUUAAAGAUCCACUUACAACCAAUAGUCAUUGCACCAGGAGGUAUAUCUACUAACUGUCAUGUAUGGUUAUACAUGAUUGAUUCGAUUUCACUGUUUAUGGUCUCCUUCUAGAAUGGUGUAUCAGGAUAAGUUAUAGUUUUUUUGUAGGAUCUAGGGUCCUUAUCUAUUAGGAAGGUGUAGAAACCAUCUCCAAGGUUUGUUUCCUUCCUAUCUCUUUUACUUCUUCUAAGUUCAAAUUUAGAAGGUUCAAUAGACUCGUCUCUACUUGUUUUCUGAACUUGUUUUGCAACGACCCACACCCAACUAUGUAGAUAUUGUCCGCUUUGGGCCCAAGAGGGCCCUCACGGCUUUAAAACGUGUCUACAGGGUUAAGAAAAGUCCAUACUUAAAUAGCGUCAGGAAUUUUCCCCCCUAUCCGAUGUGGGAUGUCAUAAACACCCCCCUUAUCCAGACACAAUGUCCUCGUUGUGUCCCACGGGAUUGCGGGGCCAAACAGAUGAACACCCCUAUGGGGCCAAACAAAUCCCCAUAUCGAGGUUGGAGAUCGGCUCUGAUACCAUUUGUAACAACCCACACCCAACCAUGUAGAUAUUGUCCGCUUUGGGCCCAAGGGGACCCUCACGGCUUUAAAACGCAUCUACAGGGUUAAGAGAAGUCCAUACUUAUAUAGUGUCAGGGACUUUCCCCCCUAUCCGAUGUGGGAUGUCACAAAAGUUCACCAUUUAGUUUCAUAGGAAAGAUGUUUUCAAAGAAAUCCGCAUUCUUUGUUUCUAUUAUGGUAUUGACAUCUAUAAGACUAUUUUCUGACUUAGUAACAAGAAACCUAUAUGCCGCACUAUUCUCAGCAUAGCCAAUGAACAUUGCAUCAAAGGUUUUAGGAUCUAGUUUUUGUUUUUUAGGUUCAGGGAAAAGGAUUUUGGCUAAACACCCUCACACUUUAAAGUAUGCUAUAUUAGGUGCAUAACCUUUCCAUAACUCAUAAGGAGUUGUACUGGUUUUCUUGUAAGGUAUUCUAUUUUGAAUAUGACAAGUGGAGAUGAUAGUUUCCUCCCACAAGUUCAAGGGUGCUCCUGAACUUACCAACAUUGGAUUCAUAAUUUCUUUUAAGGUCCUAUUUUUCGUUUCUGUUACUCCAUUAGACUCAGGGGAAUAAGGAGGAGUAGUUUCAUGAACGAUCCCAUGAUCUUCACAAAAAAGUUAAAGGGGUUGGACUCAUACUCUCCUUCCCUAUCGAUUCUAUGCCUUUUAAUUUUCUUACUUAGUUGAUUUUCCACUUCAUUUUUGUACUUGAUGAAAACAUCUCUUGCUUCAUCUUUGUUUGUCAAAAGAUAUACCCUUGUAUACCUUGAGUAGUCAUCUAUGAAAGUUAUGUAGUAUCGUUUACCACCUCUAGUCAUUGUAUUUUUUAGGUCUCUUAAGUCACUGUGUAUUAAACUUAGUAGAUCUGAUUUUCUUUCAAUUGUUUUGCAAGAUUUUUUUGUGGUUUUAGAUUUUACACAAGAUUCACAUUUUCCAUGGUUUUCUAAGGAUAGUUUAGGGAUUAAAUUCAAUUCAACCAUUUUCUUCAUAUAUGAAAAGUUCAUAUGUCCUAGUCUACCAUGCCAAAUAUUGCAAGAAUCAACAAUGUAAGCAGAAGAAGAAGAUGCAUUAUUAUUGAUAAUAUCAUAAACAUUCAACAUAAAUAAACCCUAAUUACAAUAGCCCUUUCCCACAAAUGCAUCAUUCUUGGUUAAAACUAUUUUAUCAGAGUCAAACAAGAUCCUCACUCCUACUUUCCCAAGCAGAGAUACUAACACCAAGAUCUAGCGGAUAUCUGGCACAUUAAGAACAUCACUGAAGGCAAACACUUUUCUAGAGGUUAGCUUGAUGAGAACUUUCUCUUUACCAAUCACUAAAGUAGAUCUAGAAUCACCCAAGAAGACUUGUUCCUCUCCGUCCUUUACAGUAGUAUAGGAAGUAAAUGCACUUUUGUUCCCACAGAUGUGCGUGGUAACCCUAGAGUUUGUCAUCUAGUCCUUCACAUUGGUGACCAUGCUCACCUCAGAGGAGAUUACUACUAUGAUCUCCUCUGUCUCCAUAUUUGCCUUUGAAUUGGACUUCUCAGUUAUCUUCCUAUGGCAACAUUGAGCUGCAUGGUGUCCAGACUUGCCACAGACAAAGCAAUUACCUCGUUUUUUAAUAGUUGGAUUUUGGACCUUGUUUGAUGCAUUGGGCUUGGUUCUAGAGUUUUGUUUUCUGGACCUAUCUUUUUUUUUUUUUUUUUGGUUUGAGUUUUUUUUUUUUUACUACAUUAGCCUUAGAAGACAAUUCCUUAGCUUUCUCAACAUCGUCCUUAUUUCGAUUUUGUUCCUCAAUCCUAAUAUGGAUUAUGACAUCUUCUAGGGACAUUUGUUUUCUUUUAUGUUUCAUGUUACUUUUGUGGUCUUUCCAAAACUUUGGAAGAGUCUCUACUAAAUAACCAACCACAAAAGAUUUGGGUAAUUUAAUGUCUUCAAUAACUAAGUUAUUAAUCAACAAGUGAUAGUCAUGGAUUUGAGAUGAUACAUCUCUAUCCUCGGUCAUUAGGAAAUUUCUAAAAUUUCCUAUGACAUAUUUCUGAGUUCCUGCAUCUUUCAAGAUAUAUUUUUUAUUCAUUGCAUCUCAAAUUUCUUUUGUAACUUUAAAUUGACAAUAAAUAUAAAAAAGUUCAUUAGAAAGGGUACUUAGAAUAGUAUGCCUAACUUGUUUAUUUCAUGUUUCCCAUGUAGGCAACUAUAGACCCCGUAUUUUUGGCUCGAUGCGUUCCCACUCAUUUGGCGAGACUCGCUUUUGAUUAAAAUGAAAAACUGAUUUUUUAUAAAAAGUUGGAGUCGCUACUGACUUUUAUUUAUUUUUUAAGGGGAAAACAAGUAAGAAUAAAACCCUUAAAAGGACUCCUGAUUUUUGUGGAAAAGUUGUCUACGAAAAACUUGAGUCUGGGUUCGGGGAUAAGGUUACUUAUUGGGAAGGUACGGUAAAGACUGUAACACCCUUCUAAGCCCCUAAAAAAUGGGUCUCUACUAAAUAAGAUGAAACAGAUAUGACAAUUAACUAGGAGGUCAAUGGAUACAAAAAUUAUCAUUGUUCAAAAACAAGUCAUGAUAAUGAAAUAAUAAACAAAAUGAGGGUGAGAGCGUACCUAUGUAGCAAAGAAUAAAACGUUGUCAUGAAAACAAGGUUAGUGUAUAAUGACAAGUGUAAAAAAAUCUCACACAAAACCAAAUCAAAAUCAAACAAAAUCAAUCGCACAGUUCAUUUGAAUUAUUUUCGAAAUAAAUGUUAUGAAUGUUGGGCCCCCACCAAAACCCAAUUUAUUUUGUUAUGAAUUAAUUCUCAUAAAUUCCAUUAUUUUGGAAUUAUGAAAACUUAUUCAUUCUUUUAUUUUUAAAAUAAAAAAAAUUGAAAAUGAGUUUUUUGAAAAUAAAAUUUGGAAUUUAGGAACUUUUGGAAAUGGAAUUUUAAGAAUUAAAUUUGGGAUAUUGGAAUUUUGAAAAUUUUGGGGAAUGGAAACUUAAAAAUUAAAUUUGGAAUUUUGGAAGUUUUGGAAAUUUUGGAAAUGGAAACUUAAAAAAAAAUUUGGAAAUUUGGAAGUUUUGGGAAAUUUUGGAAAUGGAAACUUAAAAUUAAAUUUGAAAUUUUGGAAAUUUUGGAAAUAACAAUUUUUUUUUUUAAAAAAAAUUAAGUUUGGAAUUUUGGAAAAUUGGAAGAUUUAUAUGAAGAUGAUAUCUUUAAAAAAAAUAAGUUUGUGAUUUUGGAAAAUUGGAAGAUUUGUUUGAAGAUGAUAUCUUUUUUUUUUUAAAAAAAAAAAUAAAUUUAGGAUUUUGGAAAAUUGGGAAAUUUAGAAAAUUAUUUGAGAAUUUUAGUUAGUGUGCUUAGAGAAUAGCCAUCAACAACCAUGUACACAUGGGAGGUUUAAGUGCAAAGGUAGGUCUGCUUUGUGAGUGCCACUUACUCUCCUUAAAAAAAAACAUAUUCUAAAAAAACUUGCCAACCUAGGACGUAUUAUACCCAGUUUUAUCCACACCUAUAUAUAAAGGAUUUGAAUCAUGCAAGUCAUGCGCCAAUCGAACCCACUCAAUAUCUCAAAAUGAUAACUGUCUGACACGGGAAAUGAAACCAUGUUUAUGCAUUUUCUUUCACAUGGGCCGGUGCUAGCGGCAGUGGGAAAUGAGGUCUGGAUUGAUAGGAGCUGAGGAACAAAGCUAGACGAUGUUCCGGGGGUGAUUGGUGGGCAUUGUGAGUGGGAUAAGCUGGCGGUGGCUGUGUGUGUGUGUGUUCAUAAUGGCAACUUGGUGGUCUGAUGGUGUGAUCAUGUGCUUGUUGCUUUUCUCCUCACAAUCAUGAAAACACGCACUAAAGUGACUGAAAUCCCUCCAAAAAUCAAGCAUCAACACAACACCAAUGUGGUAAAAUGGAGCAGCAUUUAUGGAUCCAUGAAUCCUUCAUGAAUUUACCAUAAAAAAAAUUAAUAACCAAAGCCACUACACAUUCAUGAAUUCUUUAUGGAUUGUCAUGAAAAUACUCCAUUCACGGUGACAAAACUAACGACCACAAUGUUCCAUAAUUCAGUCGUGAGAGGAACACUCUAUACACGGCCACGAUAUCCCCAUUGUUUCAUUUUUAAAAAGCAUUAAAUAUCAAAGCCACUAGCAUGAUCUCCACGGUUGCUGCAUAUAAAUUCAACCAUUCAUUUUAUUUUUAAUUCCAUCCACCAUGUCAUUGUCUUGUGAAUCUUCAUUAAAUUCUCUAAAUAUUCGACCACUGCAUUCACACUUUCAUUUUUUUUUCUUUAUUUAUUUAUUUUAAAGAAUCAAUAAACAUUGAAGCCACUAAUAUGAUAUCCACUCAAACACCAACACGACAUGAAUUUUAGCCACAUGACGACCAAUUUCACUUGUAUUUCUUUUCUCCAUUAGCGCAACAAAGUGGGUUCACAUGAAAGUGGUGGUAUUCUCUAUUAGAUCUUCACAUGAAAACAAUUGCAUCUUCCAUUAAAUAUUUACUCAAUGUGCCGCCAUUUUUAGCCAUAAAAAAUUAAAAAUCUAUUAACCUACACGCAUGGUUUCUAGUAAAUCAACAUUAUUGAAUCAUCUAUUUUCCUUGUCGAAUUCAACCACGAGAACACACAGCUGUAACUUUCCGAAAAUUCAUUUCUUCAUUAACAGAAAGUAUUUCCACCAAAAUCAUCCAAACACACUCAUAACCCAUUGUACCCAGAAGAAACGCAUGGUGGUAAACCACUUGAUGCACACUACGGGAUGGACACCAAAACUAAAGGAAAACAACAAUAAUAUUGCAACAAAAGAAACAGAUUAUAAACACAAAUCAUUAAGCCAUUAAAUGAAGAUUUAUCUCAUGGAAUACUAGUAAGCUUACAAGCUAGGUGAAAAAGACCAUGAAUUCUAAGAAAAAAAUGUAAUAAUAAAAAUAUGAUCUUUAAGCAUCACACAACGAAACUAGACCAAAUCUGUAUUAUUUAUCCAUCAUAAACAAAGAAACAGUUGUUGGAAAAAAUGGCAACCAACUUGCAAAUGUCUCAGACAUUAAUAAACAGCAUAAGGCCAUCUACUACUCAUACCUCAAAUUGACAAAUAAACAUCCAAGAACAUCAUACAAUGAACGAGGAACAUGGUAAUAAUGAAAAUAAACAAGAAAUCUGCAAUAGUCAUACCUCAAGGUGUUCCUCUGUUUUGCUUCUUCUUUGUUUUACUUCUCAAAACCCACUUUACCGGAACGUCUCUUUCUACCCAGAAAAUAAAAAAAUCUCUUCCCCAUGACAGCCUUUUCUUCCUUCCUGUGUUGUUUCUCUCUCUGCCUUUCUCCCACUCUCGUCUCCUAUCCAGUUCUCUCUCUCUCUCAAAACCUACUUUUUUCUUUUUCUUCUUUUUCUCUACUCUAACAACUCUCCCAUCUCUCCUACUUUUUCUCUCAAUCCCUUGCUCGGUUUUCCUUCUCUCUCAGUUCCUUCUUCAAACCAGUUUUCUGCCACUCCUUACUCUAUUUUUCUCUCUCAUCUCUCUGUUUUCUCCUCUUUCCAUUUGAAUCCCCUCCACCCUCUGUUUUUUCUUUCUUUAAAUCUCAAUGCUCUCCAUCAAAAACCUCUUCCCCUUCCUCCAGACUUCCUUGGCCUCCCUCAUCUUUUCCUCUUCUUUAAAUCUCAAUGCUCUCCAUCAAAAACUUCCCUCAUUUCCUCCAGACUUCCUUGGCCUCCCUCCUCUUUUCUUCUUCUUUAAAUCUCAAUUCUCUCCAUCAAAAACCUCUCACUUUUCCUCUAGACUUCCUUCACUUUUGAUUUUCUUUCUUCCCUUUUAAGAUACCCCACAUGACUCCAUUUUCCACAACCUCCCUCAGAAAGCCCCAGCCUCCCUCUUUUUCUUUUUAAAAAAUCCUUUUUCCAUGCAUUUUUUUUCCAUUAAUUGUUUUUGGAACUUCACUUUCCUAUGCAUUUUUUUUUAUGGUGCAACUUUAGUCCUCUAGUAGCGUUCUCUCUUUACAUCUCUUAACUUAACAACCAUCUUGUUGCAUUUUUGAGAGUUCUCGAACUCCCAUGCAAAAUAAAUAAAUAAAAGAGCUACAAAUUAAAAACCUUAUAAUAGAAAAUGAAUAAAUAAAUAAAUAACACUACUACAAAAAUAGUUUAUGGUGUCACUAUUUACGGUGUCACUUUUAAAAUAAUGACACCAUAGGAUUUAUAAUUAAUAAAGGUGACACAUCAUAUAAAAAAUCCUCAAUUGAGGUAGUUAGAUGAUAUUAAUUUUAUAUUUAUAGUGUCAUUUUUUGGGAAGUGACAUCAUAUAAAAUAAUUUUUUUAAAGUAUUAUAACCCAUUUUUAGAAUUAAUAAUGAUGGAUACUAUAUAAAAAUCCCAUUGUUUCCAUAUCUCACCCACAAUCCAAAAAAUCUCAAUAUAUAAAUCCUAUAUAUAAAAUCAUGAUCUUCUUCAACCUUUUCUCUCACCCAUAGUCAACACGCUCACAACUGAUAUUCUUCACUUUGUGGACUUCCAGGUAACUCAAAAUCUCUUGGAUCUAUCAUUUUUUUUUCUUUUAUUAAUGUCAUUAUAUUAAUUGUUUCAACAUCUUUGUAUUAUGGUUUUUGUGAAUUGUGUAUUCUUGAGUUGUAGGGAAGAAAAAUUUAGGUUUAAUCUUCUAGCAUAGAAGAAAAAACUGUAGAUUAAUUGAUUUUUUAAUCUAAACCAAACACAUGAUCAAAUCCUUAAAAAAAGUGAAAAACAGGAAAAAAAAUGAAUGAUUUUUAAUAUCUAUUUGUGUGAGAAUGACAGGUACAGAAUUUUUUUGAGAUAUACUAUCACAUAAUCUUCAUCCUUUCUAAAAAACGAGAGAGGAAAAAAAAAUGAUUUUUCUGUUUGUAUCUAAGUGGGAAUGAGAUAUAGAAUUUCGUUAAGAGUAUCCAACCCCAAAAGGACCAAUUCGGGAAGGCAUGUGUGGUAUUGACGGGAGAUGAUAAGAUGGAAAUCAUAACCAUAGCCAUGUUCGAUCUCUCUAUGUCUUUCUAUCCUCUUUAAUUAAUUCAUGGACAUAGAUAUUUUAUUUAGUUUUUAUAUUUAGUUUAUUUAUAGUUUAUUUAGUUUCUAAAAUCCAAUUAGCUAGAUAUUUUAUUUGAUUUUAUUUUUAUAUUUAAGUAGUUGAGUUUUGGAAAGUUUUUAUAUUUUGUUAAUAGAAAUAGAAAUUUUUAUAUUUUUUAUUAUUAGGAAUUUCUAUUUUGUUAAAUUGUAAGUAUCUAUCUCAAUAAGAGAUUAUUAAUAUUCAAAUGAAAGUGAUGAAAGAGAGUAAAUAUUUUAAUGCUCAAUUAUAUUUUAAAGUUUUUUUUUUUUUUUUACAUAAGGGUUUAUUUAUGUUUUCAAUUUUGAAGUUCCCUUUCCAAGUCCAUCAACAAAAGUAGUGUCCAACCUUAAAAUGGGCAUGUGUGGUAUUGACGGGAGAUGAUAAGAUGGAAAUCAUAACCAUAGCCAUGUUCUCUCUGUGUCUUUCUAUUCCCUUCAAUUAAUUCAUGGGCAUAGAUAUUUUAUUUAGUUUUUAUAUUUAGUUUAUUUAUAGUUUAUUUAGUUUCUAAAAUCCAAUUAGCUACAUAUUUUAUUUGAUCUUGUUUUUAUAUUUAAGUAGUUGAGUUUUGGAAAGUUCUUAUAUUUUGUUAAUAAAAAUAGAUAUGAGGACUUAAAGAGUUUAUAUUUAGGUAGUGCUUGAGCCAAGGAAAAUGAUAGUCCACUAUCUUGACCCUAUGCAUCACAAACCAUGUGAGGACUUAAAGGAUAUCGUAAACAUGUAAGUUCUUCCUAUUAUUUUUCAUAGUAUUAUUUUUAAAUAAAAAAAAUACAUUCACCUCAAACACAUUUUUUUAUUAUUUAUAUAUAUUAAAACAUAUAACAUUUACCUAUUUUUAAAAUGUACCCAUUGAACUUAUUUACAUAGGACUCUUCGAAUAUCUGCAAAGAAAACAUCUAAGAGGGAGUCAUCUUAGCAACUAGUGCAAGUGACAUCCAAAAAUUUUUCUUUACACAUUAGCUUAUGCAUUUGCACCAUUUAUAUAUGUGAGUACUAAUGUUAUUUUAUAAUUGAUCGAUUAGUGUCCAAGAGGGUUCGAAUGUGGCUACUUUGUUAUGAGAUUCAUUCAAGAGAUAAUUUUUUAUCCUACAAUUAUUGCUUCAAAGGUAUUACUUAUUUAAUGAAUUGUACAUAGUUUUAGGCUUCCAAAUGUUAUGCAUUUUAAUGUUAUUUUCUUAUUUGAUUUCAGUUUUGUGAUAAAAAAAAAACCAUAUUCUCAAGUAGAAUCAUAUUUCCAUUUAUUCAUCAGAAGAAGCGUCCUUCGAUGAAAUUAGAGGAGAAUGGGCUACUUUUGUGCUACAACUAAUCAUGAAUCAUGUUAAUGCAUCAUGAUCACCAUGCAUGGUGAGUCCCUUAGCUACUACAUGAAUUUUUCCAUAGGUAUUGUAUAGUAAUGCUUAUUCUUUGAAUAAUGUUUCUAUUUGAAAAAAAAAAUAGUUCUUAGAUUUGUUCAUUUAUGAUAACAUCGAUCCAUGUUUAUUUUCUUCAAUAAAAAUCUCUAAAACUCAUUAAAUUUUGAAAUGCAGGUAUACACUCUUGGGAUGGUGAAAUGGAGAAUAAAAAGAAAGAAGAAGGCAACAAGAUUUUGGGUUUUUAAAUGCAACUCUUAUGUUAUACGUUGUAGGACAUAAACGUUAUUUUAAUUGCAACUGAGAAAUUUAGAUUUUUAGAUGGGACUUUUAUGUCAUUUUAUGGUUAGCCGGUUUUAUGCUUAGAAAAUGGAGGUAUACAUGAAUCUUGGGAUCUUUAACAUUUCUAAAUCAUGUUUUGGUAUGUAUUCACUCUUCUUUUUUAGUUUUGAUGGGUUUGAUAUGUUGGACGUACUAUCAUUUUGUGAACAUUUGAUAUACAAAUAUUAUUAGAUGAUCAAUGUAUUAUGAGUUAUUCCAGAAACAUUACAGAAAAAUGAGUUAAAUAUAAUAUGAUUGUUAUAUUUAUGGACAAAAUAUAAAUAGGUUAAUCUUAUUAAUUCAUAAGCAUUACAAAAAUCAACAACUAAAACCAAUCAUAUCUUCCACAAUAAUUUACAAUGAUGUGAUACCAUAACUUAAAGGUGAUGCAUUUAAUGUGACAUCAUAACUCAAAGAUGAUGUAUUUAAUGUGACACCUUAUCAUCACUAGAAAUAUAUGGUGUCACUUCCGAAUGGGUCAUCAUUUAUCUACUUUGGUGUCACUUCCAAAUACGUCACCAAUUGGUACCCUCUAUGGUGUCAGUGGAGAAGGUGAUGCUAUGUUGUAGUGACACCCUAUGUUUAUGGUGACUCAUUAUAAAUGUCACCAUAUACCUUUUUCCUUGUAGUGUAAAUAAUCAUGCCAAUUUGGAAAAGAAAAAUGAAAAAUAUCAAUACAGGCAUAUAUGAGAAAAAUCUAAGAAUUAAUUCAUGAAAUAAUAAUAAUGAUAAUAAUGAUGAUAAUAAUGAUAAUAAUAAUAAUAAUAAUAGUAAUAAUAAUAAUAAUAAUAAUAAUAAUAAUAAUAAUAAUAAUAAUAAUAAUAAUAAUAAUAAUAAUAAUAAUAAUAAUAAUAAGAUAAGAUCACUAAUCACAUGCAAUUUUUUGAAAAUAAAUAAUUAGAAGAAUAAAUAAAUAAAACAAGGAAACAAAUAAAUAUCAAAUGCAUAUAAUUAAUAACCCAAAUAUUAAACUAAAACACAAUAAAUUAAAAAAUUAAAUUGAAAAAAUACAAAAUACCAAAUUGACACAAUUAAAUAUCGAAAAUUCAUCUCAAGCAAUCAAAAUCAAAAUCAAGCCAAAUACUCACCUAAUCUAAAAAAUCAAGCAAUAAAAAAAAAAAAAAAAAAAUCAAUCUAAGGGAAUUAAGCCCAAAAAAACAUCUGAGUGACCUAGGUGAAAAGUGCCCAAGUGACCUAAGUGGGAAUUGCCAAGGUGAACUAGGUGGAAAUUAAACUGAGGAGGUGUCUAAGUGAGCCUAAAUUAAGCUCAAAAGAUAGCCAAGGUCAUAAUGGGAGUCCAAAUGAGCCUAAAUGGAUUAGGUGUACCUAAAUGGGUCAAGAAUACCUAAAUGGACCGAAGUGAUAAAAAAUGUGCUAAGUGACCUAGAAGGUUGAGAAAAGUGCCUAAGUGAUAUGGGGUGAUCAGAAACGUGUCAAGUGACCUAGGAGUGUACCUAAUGGACCAAGUGCAACUAAAUGGGCCUAGUGUGCCUAAUGGGCCAGAUGUAUCUAAGUGAGCCUAAAUUAAGCUCAAAAGGCAGCCAAGAGAUGACUACGAGUCAAAAGAGAAGUAUGAAAAGACACUUGGUGUUACACCUGUUAAGAGGACAAAAUGGAGGGUCUACAACAACAAAUCAGAAUCAUCUUCUGGUUUUGGGUUAGUCAAAAUGUGUUCCAAGUUCACUACAUCAAUUGCAGAGAAAACCCUUUCCUGCCAUCUCUUGAAGAAUGUCUCGUUUAAGGGAUCAAUCUUAGAGGUGUCGAACAGGUGUGAACUAGGGAAGCUUCCAUCUGGGAUAUAUUUCAAGAUUGUUGUUUUUAAGGGUAUGGAAACAAAGGACUAGCCUAAAACAGACAAAUAAAGAAUAGAAUGAAUAACAAAGAAACUUAUUGGCCAAGGUGUUACAAAUACUGUCCUUGAAAUAGAUCCACCCUCCUUGAAGACGAACUCAGUGCACUAGGGUAUCAGUGGUUUACCUCCAGGAUUCAACAGUUAGAGAAUAUCGUCUUGGGUGCACUUUGUAAGCAAGAUGUGUACAACUCGAGUUCUGAAAUAUUCCUCCAAAUAGAUGUAUGAAAGGCUCUUUGAAAAACUCUGAAAAUUUGGGUGUGUAGAGAGUGAAGGGUGAUUUUCUUUUAUAGGCCACUAACACAGUCCAAAUGAGACUCUACUUGUAAUCAAAACGAAACUCUACUUGUAAGUGGAACAGGAUUCUACUUGUAAGCGGAACAGGACUCUACUAACACAAUCCCAAUGAGACUCUUCCCAAAGAUAAAAGACUAAGUCAAACAAAAUAAAAAUAAAAAUUAAAAAAAUAUUUUGAAUUUUGUAAAAAUUAACCAAAUUUGCUAAAACUCUUUUUCACAUUUAGACUCUUCCUACACAAAGGAUUUAUUAAAAUUAGCCGAAUUAUCUGAAUUCAAUCUACACACUUUUCACCGAAUUAACGUUUGUUUUAUUAUUAUUUAUCUGUUUUGCCAAUUUGGUUAGCUUAAAUCUUGAGUUCAUUAACAUUUGGUGAUGUUUUUAUUUGUUUUAGAGGAUUAGAUAGCUUGAAUAAAAUAAUUGUCUAGAUUGAAUCCCAUUUAUUUGUUUUAGAAAUAGAAUAGUUCAAAUAAAAUAAUUUUUUUGAUUGAAUCUUGUUUAUUUGUAUUAAAAAAUAAAUAAAUAACUCAAUAGAAUAUUUGUUUGAGUUGUAAUGCUUUUAAAAUUAUCUAAUUUUUUUUUUGGAUUGAGUAGAAAAUUUUUUCUUUUGUCAAAAAUGAAUUUUCUCCAUCAUGGAUGUAGCUCCUUGAUUCCAAAUGAAAGGUAGCCGAAAAGGGGAUCUAAGUUAGUUUUUCUCUUUUUUCCUUCAAUCUUGUAAGUUAGAAAAUAAAAAUCUUCAUUUUGUGUAUUGAUUGAGGUUUAUUAAUUUGUUUGGUCUCUUUUGCUUCCCUUAAAAUCAUUUUCAAAAGUAUUUAAAUCAUCAAAAGGCUUUGAAAAAAAAUAUUCAUUCUAGAUUAGGCAAAGAAUACAUUUUCUUUAAUUUAAAAAUUAUGCAACUCUAUUUUAUCGAGGUUGCAUUCUUUUUUUUCUUUUUCUUUUUUCAAAUUUUGUUUUUAUUCACAUAGGUAUGGACUUAUGCUCCCAAACUAGUGGGAGUACACAAGUAAAACUUAUGGAUAUUGAAUGGGGACUUGAUGGGACCCCAACAUUUUCCAAACUCAUCUUUGUUGCCACUUUUGUUACUUGUUGUAAUCAUAACCAUCAAUUUUUUAGAAAUUAUUUACAAGAUGUAUGCGAUAAUUGAUGAUUCUGUAUACUCUAAUCAUUUUGCUAUGCUAUUUAAAUACCAAACAUGCUAUGAAUUUUUUUUUAAAUUUUAAAUUUAUUAUUUAUUACUAUAAUUUUGAUCUAACCUCCUGUGUCUUGUGGAAGCACAUUAUAAGUUACCUAUGUUAUUCAUGCACGCUUCUUACCUUUGUAUUUUAAUUUCAUAAAUUAUGUAUUGCUUAAUAUAGGAUUGUUAUGUAUUGCUUCAUAUGUGAUUAUCAACCUGUUUAGCACAUAUUUUUUAUUGUUUGUUUGGCUUGUCAUGUUGAUUGAGAGACUAGGGUAAAAUGCAAACUAACCAUUGAUAUCCUAUAAUAACACUUAAGUUACGAUUCAGGUACGCACACUAUCAUUUUAUUAUGCUUAUGUUUUGACUUCUUGUUUGACAUGUUAGUGCUAAUAGAGUUUUGAAAUCACCUUAGCUUAUCCAGUUACUCUCAUUCAAUUGAUUAAUUUUCAUACUUCCCUCAACUUGGCUAAUAGAGACAUCUUUAGGGCUUAGGGGGUGCUACCUCUUUGAGGUACCUUCCCAGUAGAUAACCUGAUCUCUCGGACCAAGACUCAGGUUUUUCAAGACACGCUUUUUCAAAACUAUGGAGUCACUUCUUUAAAGUUUUCUUUCUUGUUUUAUUUUCCCUUUUAAAAUAAAAUAAAUUAUGUGGUGACUCCGACUUUUCCAAAACUAAUUUUUCACCAUUAAAAAGUGAGUCUUGCCGACGAGUGGGGACGCACCUGAAAAAUGCAGGUCCACACAUAUACUCUCAAAUUCUUGCUAUAGUAACAUGUCUUACAUGUUUAUAAUUUUGUAUUAUUAUUGAUUUAUAUAAAGCCUUUGAUAUUUGCCCUAUUUACAAAGUCUCAUUUAAGUUUUCUCAUCAUGUUUGACAAUUCUGGUUAUGAUUGUUGUAAUAUUAUGGUUUUCCAAUAAACUUGUAUGUUUAACUAUUAUAUAAUGUUUAUAAUAAUAGUUAAUAUUGAUUUAUUACAAAGUAAUGUUUUUAUGGUAAUUAUAUUAUCACGUAAGAGUUCAUAUUAUUUAGUGUGUUAGUCACCAUAGUGGCCGAACUUGAAAGUUUCAUGAAUUUCAUAUUAAGUAAUACAUACUUACGUUAUUCAAUUACUCAUUACUUAUGGAUGCUUGCAAUAUAUUUAAAUACUUGUUGAAUAAGUAUAUUGAAAGAUAUUUAAGGAUUUAUUUAACCACUUUAUGAAUGAGGAAUAUGAUGAGAUAAAUCAUAUGUUUUAGUUAGAUUAUAUUUGUACAUCCAAAGAUUGCAAAUGUAUUUUAACAUGGGCUAUGAAGUUAUCCAUUAAAAUAUGUAUUAAAAACAUCAUAAAGGUAUUAUAUAUUGUAAUAUCUACCUAAAGGAGAGUUGUAGUAUAUAUGUAUUGUUUUUCUAAAUUAGUUGUUUGAAUCUGAUUGUGUUUUUGCUUAUAGCUUACCAAGUUUAAUCAUGAAAACAUGAUAUUUUAUGUUACAUUGUUGUCCUCAAAUUUGCUAAUUAUUUUGCAAUAUUAAGUUUAUUAUUGUUCCUCUAAAUAAGGAAUAUCCAUGAUUGAAGACUAAUUAAUAUCAUCAUGAAUUUUGAUAAUAUGUAAGAAAUGAGACUAACGAUCUUGGAAAUAAUUGAUGAAUUUUCAUAUUAUGCAAUCUUGUUUUAGUAUAGACCACUUCAAAUCUAUCCAAAACACUAUUAAGAAUGAGUGUGAUAUGAUUGAAUUGGUCAUCAUAUUUCUUUGAAAGGAAACAAGACUACUUGAUGAAAAUUCAUUCCCUUUGAAGAUUUAUGAAACUUAUAGGAGGUCAAUGAUUAAAGUCUACAAGAAUUAUGAAUGAACCAAUUAAAGAGAUGAUUCUUGUGAAAUUAUCAAGAAUCAUAAAAGGAAACUCAAAAUGUUGAGGAUCACUUUAUUGAAAAAUUAUGAAUAGUUGAAGGAUUGCAUAAAUUGUAAAAUAUGAUUUAAAAGAACAGUUAAGUUUUGUUCUUUUGUAUGAUUAAAAUCAUAUUUCAUUAACGUUUUCCUUUUAAUGAGAUUCAAAAAGAAAUUAAUAGAAUCAAAGUAUGAAGUUAGACAAUUAUGUUUUAAGGUGGUAAAUGUUACAAUUGCUAUUAAACUCUUUAGGCACUCAAUACUUAUGUUAUAUUAAGUAUGAUUGUAAUUCAAUGCUACUUGGUUAGGAGUAUGUCAAGUAUCUCUUACUACCCCAAAGGUAUAAGAUUUACAAUCCAAACCGAAGUAUCAUGAGUGAUUGUUGAAACUAAUAAUGUUGUGGUUCAUUAAGAAUGUUUAUAUCAGUGGGAGUGAUAAGCACCAUGAAAUAUGGUUAUCUAAGGAGUUAAAAUAAAGUUGUCUUUAACUUUAUAACUUCUAAAAUGUUGCUUACUAUUAACAAAGGUUAAAGUUAGUAAGUAACAACUAAAUGAUCAAUCACUCUUAAAUGAAGUUAAUUGGACCUCUUAUUAUUAGGAAUGACAUUAAAAAUAAACAAAUAAAUAAAUAAAAUCUUAUAAGGGGAAAGAUUUGUUAUUCCAAGUAUCAACCAUGUGGUAUUAUAACCACAUAAAAAAAUUUCAAGAUUAGAAGUUUAACAUGAAAUGUUCAACUUUUAGUUUUAUUUGAUACUUCAAGUUUGUUUCUCCAUUAAUGUAAAAAGUGAGCCAAGUGGGAGAAUAUCAUAUUUUCAUUAAGUGGCUCAUAUUUUAAUGAUUGAGUAAGUUUAAGAGAUAAACUUAUAGUUUUCAAUUAAAACUAUCAUUGAAAGUCAAUUAAAGUUGAUAUAUAAAUUUUAAUAUUCCUUUGUGAUAUCUUAAGCUCUAUGAUAUCAUAAUGUUCUUUGGAUUUAAGAAAACCACUAUGAUUUAGUAAAUAUAUCCAAAGAUCAAUGGGAGAAAACUUAUUUUUAUAUUGAUAAUGUCUUGCUAGUUAUUGUUGGAUUUCUAUUUAUUGCAUUAAGUUAUGAAAUAAAAUCUCAAAAUUCUUUGAUAAAAUAUAUAAAAGAGACAAUAUUAUGUGAUGGAAUAACAUAUCUUAUGUGAAGUUACAUGAAUUGUUAGAUUGUCUCAUCAAGUAUAUAUUUAAAGUUUUUUGAGAUAUUUGAUGGAUUGAAAGUGUUAUGAGAGAGGAACCUUAAUGUUGUAUGUUUUUCAUUUACUUUCAAAUUCAAUUAUGUUGAAUGAUAGGUAAAAGUCUACUUUUGCUAUUAGUUCAUAUUAAUUGAAGAUUAUGCAAAGGAAUAAUAUUAUGUAAAAGUAUGACAAUCUUCUAUCAAAGUAUGUAUUGUGACAUAAUAUGUCAUAAAUGAUGAAUUAUGGGUACGGAAUGUUAUUUUAGAACUUAAUUGGAUUUGUCGAAUUUAUCGCCAAGUUGCUAAAAAUAAUAUAUUCUACUGUCACUUCUUUUUCAACAACAAAUAUUUUAUGAUCAUCGAGGACAUAAAAGAUAAAGAUUUUGUUGUAUAUGAGAUAAUUUAGAAACAAGAGUGUUAAAUUAAUUGAUUAUGUGUACAACUUAUGAUUGAAGACCUAAUUAUGAAAAAAGUGCUACUAAGACAUUGAAUACCACGUAGAAAUUACGAGUCUUAGGCACAUUAUGGUAUUGGUUUCAUGAUGAUGAUUAUUUAUUGAACACUCUGGAGCUUGAUUAUAUGUUUAUGAAAUUUCCUUAUAUCUGUUUUGUAUACAUAAUUUCAUAUAGAUUGAUGUUAAAAGGAAAGUCUUUGACAAAGACAUUAUUAUGUAUUAUUAUUGUACUUCUCAUUUACAGGUCAUGUUAAGUGGGAGCUAUUUGUGUAGCACAUGGAAGGAAGGGACUAUCUCGAAAUAGUGAUGUACAACUGCCAUGACUCUCAUUAGUUUUCACUUAAUUAUGAUUUAUGAUGUGAUCAAUGUAAGAAUGUUUUAUCUUCAUAUUUUGCGCAUUAUGCUUUAAUUAUUAAAUCAUGAAGUGAAAGAAUAUCACAUGGGCCAAGUGGGAGAAUGUAAGAAUUUUAUGUGGCCCAUGUGUAUAUUAUUAUGUGAUAUUUAUUUAAAUGUCAAAUUAAGUAUUAUGGUCUAAUAGAUAAUAAAGCUAAAAUCGGUCAGUUUUUUGAUAAGUUAGUUUCCUAAAUUAAAAGCACUUUGAUGGAAAGUGCACUUCUAAUUCUAUAAGGAAACUAGUCCUCUCUCUACCCUAUAAAUAAGCGUUCUAUUCCAUCAAUAAUAUGCAUAAGAGAAAACCUAAGGGUGAAGGGGUUGAGGGAGAGACACAAUUUCUAUUAUACUUAUUGUUUGGUCUCUUCAAAAAUUCCAUAGGGAUUAAAGAUAUGUUUUUUGUUUUUUUUCUCAAUAAUAGAAUUGUAAAAAUCAUAUUAUUCUAAAAUCCUUGGCUAUUAUGAUUGUUUUACAAGAAUUAGAGUUAUGAUUGUUUUACAAGAAUUAGAGUUAUGAUAAUUCUACAAGUAUUAGGGUUAUUAUUGUUCUACAUAAAUAAAGAAAAUCUAACAUUUUAAAUUUCUUAUUUCUCAAUAAAAUAUCUCCUAAUAGUACUAAUCAUAUAUCUACAUUUUUUUCAAACUUAAUUAAUUUUCAAAAACCCAAAUCAUUAAUUCCAAUAGUAUUUAAGACUUAACUUCCUAAAAAAAUUUAUGUAGUAAAGCUAAUAUGAUGUAAAUUUAACUCACUUAUUUGACCAUUAGAAUUCUUUGAAUUUUUCCAAUUCUUUGACUUGUGUUCUUAAUUUUGCAUUUUUUGACUUUUCAACCAAAAAAGUUUUUACACUCGUAAUUUCCACAUGGCCUAAAAUACUUGGAUAUUACGUGAUCUUUCAGUUUUCCUUGCCUAGGCAUAUAUGGAGUUGUUGCGAAUACAUCAUGCUGAAAAAUAAGUACACCCUGUUAAAAAUUAACUGCAUCGAAUCAACAUCAUGGUGGGGAUCACUCUACUAAAUGGUGGCAGACGGCUUCAAGAAUGGCAGUGCAGUGGUUCUCAUGGUUAGAAGGGCAGCAGGGUGCUCCAGCCACGGUGGUGCUAAGUCAGCAUUGAUUCUUUAGUUGUACCAAUCACCUGAAUGUAGAACGAUGGUUUUGGAUUGUCUCAAGAUUUGUUUAACCACAAAAUAAUAAUAAUAAUAAUAAAAUAAGACAUUGAAGGUACAGUAAAGAAUUUAAGCAACCCCAAAUGCCUUUGUUAUAUAGACUUGAAGGAGAAAUGAAUAUAACUUACAAUUACAACUGUAAAGACAUGCACCACGCAUUUGGAGACAUUCUAGGUAGAGCUUCAAGUGAUUGAAAACAAGAAAAAUUUCUAUGCUUGAACUAUGCAAGUCAAAAUCAACAAUAAAUAGAAAUAAGAAGCUGAAAAAAAUGUCACGUGAUGCUAUUCAUGUCAUUCUAGGAACAAGUCCCUCACUUUAAGAAAUGGUUCAAUGAUAAGUUUUCUUGUUCUUCAUUAGCUACCACAUCCAAUUCGAUUGUGUCCAGCAUCACCGUAGACUCUUUUACUUUUAGAAUAUUCUACCAUCAACCAAUGAUCAACCAUAUUUCCAAAAGGAUUCGUAUUAAUUUAAGAUGAAUUUAUUAUAGAACUAAAAUGAGAAUACACUUUAAAAUAUUUAUUGGGAGUAAUUCAAUUAUAUUUCAAUAUAUUUGAAAAAUAACACUACUAUGAAAUUUAAGAUACAUGCCAUAAUUGAUAAUAAAAAUAUGAAAUAAUUUUAGACAAAAGUUUUGAUCUAGAAAAAAUCAACAGUUUUAAUUUUGUUGUUGUCUUAUAUAUAGUAGCUUGAGAUACAUACUUCACUCUGAAUGCAUUCCAAAUUUGAGUUAUAGAUGGAUAUGUUCUUCACUAUUUAAGUUUAAUUGAUAAUUUAUUCCAAAUAUGAGUUUAUGAAACUAAGAGGGUGUUUGUUUUUUUGGUUUUUUGUUAGAAACAAUUUUUUUUUUUUUCAGAAUUUAGGUUGCUUAUUUUUCUACUUUUUCAUUACUUAUUAUAAACUUUUUACUGAAUAGAAAAAACCAAAAUAUUUGACUUUUUCUAAAUAGAAAAAAUAACAUAUUGAUUUUUCUUUAUUUUUUAAUACUUAAUAGAAAUAAAAUACUAUAAAAACAAACAACCUAAUACUUAAUACUAUUAAACAUUAAAGUCCUAUUUAGAAUUAAGUAUAAAAAACAAACACCAUCUAAGUGUUUAGCUAAUCUAAAAGAAAAAAAGUCAAGUUUUAGGCAUUAGGGUUCGGAUUUCCAAACUCCAUAAAGUUAUAAAAUGACUACUAUUUAAGGUGAACCAUGUUGAGAAGUGUAUCAAAUUCCCCAUUUUUAAUUAUAUAUUCUUUUUUGUAGAAAUGAUAUUAUAUGGAAUGUUUUUCAAAGUUCAUAUGUGAUCGUAAUUAGAUUCUUUAUAGAAUAAAAAAACCUAGUAGAAAUAUCUCUCUAAAUAUUUUAGGUUAUGAGGGGAAAAAAGUUAUAAUAUAAGAUAGAAAUAGAGAUAAGAAGAGUAAGAGACAUUUGAUGAAGUAAGAGUGCUCACAACUUAAGUUGUAGACACAAAGACUAGGAAAACGAUGAAUGUUUAGGAACCUAGAAGUUGCAUAUGUUUUGUUAUUUGCGAUUUUUUUUUAUCAUACAGUGAAAUGUUAUCUCUCAUUCGUAGGUGUAGACAUGUUGACCAAACUUUGCACUUUAAAACUUUGACACCUUUAUAUCUGGAUUAUCUUUACUUUUUGUGUUCUUUCAUUCAUAUAUUUGCAUUGAAACUUUUGCAAGCCCAAUAAAUGGUAUCAAGUUUUCAUUAGCCCAACAAACUCAACGAUGUCCUUUCAAGAUGUAGCAAAAAGGCCUUUUAAAGGAUUUGUAUUUUAUCAUAAAAUAGAAAAGAAAGACAAGAAACAUUAUAGAAUUUUGACUCAUUUGAACCACUUGGCAAUAUAUUUAUCUUAUAUUGAAGAUAAAUAAUAUCUAGUCAAAAUUUUAUGGUGUUAUAUAGUCCACACAGAGAUUAAAGUAAUUAAGAAGGAGAAGGAAGAUGGCCUACCAAUAAGUUUCCACGAGGGCUUGAAUGAACAAAUAAAAUAGAGGGAUGGUGGUUAGAAUGGCAGAGUAGUGCUUCUCAUGGUGUUUAGAAGGGCAGCAGGGUGCUCCAGCCACGGUGUGACGGUGGUGCUAAGUCAACAUCGAUUCUUUAGUUGUUGCACCAAGCACCUGUACGUAGACUGAUGGUUUUGGAUUGUCUCAAGAUUUGUUUAACCACAAAAUAAUAAUAAUAAAAAGAAAUAAGAUAUUGAAAGUAUAGCAAAGAAUUUAAGCAAGUCCAAUCCCUUUGUCAUAUAGACUCGAAGAAGAAAUGAAGAUAACUUACAAUUACAACUGUAGGGAAACCAUGCAUUUGGAGACAUUGUAGGAUCUAUGCUUGAAAUAUGCAAAUCAAAAUCAACAAUAAAUAGAAAUAAGAAGCUGGAACAAGUCCUUCACCUUAAGCAAUGGUUCAAUGAUAAGUUUUCUUGUUCUUCGGUCGCUACCACAUCCAAUUCCAUUGUCCAACAUCACCAUAGACUCUUUUACUUUUAGAAUAUUCUACCAUCAACCAAUGAUCAGCCUAUUUCCAUAAGGAUUCAUAUUAAUUUAAGAUGGAUAUAUUAUAGAACUAAAAUGAGAAUACAUUUUAAAAUAGUUAGUGGGAGUAAUUCAAAUAUAUUUCAAUAAUAACACUACUAAGAAAUUUAAUAUACAUGUCAUAAUUGAUGAAAAAAUAUGAAAAUAAUUUUAGACAAAAGUUUUGAUCUAGAAAAAUCAAAAGUUUUAAUUUUCUUGUUGUCCUAUAUAGUAGCUCGAGAUAUAUACUUCACUUUGAAUGCAUCCCAAAUUUGAGUUAUAAGAUGCAUAUGUUCUUUACUAUUUAAGUUUAACAGAUAAUUUAUUCCAACUAUGAAUUUCUAAAACUAAUUGUUUAGCUAAUUUAGAAAAAAAAAAAAAAACAGGAAGUCAAGUUUUAGGCAUUAAGGUUUGGAUUUUCAAACUCCAUAAAGUUAUAAAAUAACUCAUAUUUAAGAUGAACUAUGUUGAGAAGUGUCCCAAAUUAUCCUAAUUUUUAUGUAUAUGUUCUUUUUUGUAAAAAUAUUAUUAUAUAGAAUACUUUUUAACUUCUCAUGUUAUUGUAAUUAGAUUUUUUAUAGAAUAAAGAAACCUAGUAUAAAUAUCUCUCUAAAUAUUUAGGUAAUGAAAGGGAAAAAGUUAUGACAUGAGAAGAAGAGUAAAAGACACCUAAUAAAGUAAGAGUGCUCACAACUUAAGCUGUAGACACAAAGACUAGUAAAACGAUGGAUGUUUAGGGACCCAAUAGUUGCAUCUGUUUUGUUAUCUGUAGUAGUUUUUUAUUGUAUAGUGAUCAUUUGUAGGUGUAGACAUGUUGGCCGAACCAUGAACGUUAAAACUGUGUACCUCCAUGUGUGGAUUAUCUUUACUUUUGUAUUCUAUCACUCAUAUAUUUGCAUUCAAACUUCCGUUAGCCCAACAAAUGAUAUCAGAGCUUUUAUUGGCUCAACAAACUCAAUGUUGUUUGACCCCUUCUGAGCCACUUGGCAAUAUAUUUAUCUUAUAUUGAAGAUAAAUAUUUAGUCAAAAUCUUAUGGUGUUAUAUAGUCCCCACAUAUCUUAAAGUAAUUAAGGAGGGGAAGGAUGAUGACUUACCAGUAAGUUCAGAUGAGGGCUUGAAUGAACAAAUAAAAUAGAGAGAUGGUGGAAUAUAAAGAGGACUUUGCUAGCAAGCGCACCUGGCAAUGCAGCUUAAUGCUUGAGAUCAGUGUUGGAUGCUCUCAAUCUUUUAGGGUGUGGUUCCUGAUCAUCUGCUUUGUUUUCCCCGGCAUCAUCAUAGCCCCUUUGAUGAUCCAACAACAUCAUGAUAUGGGCGUACAUCAGCUGAACUCCGCACCUCAUGAUAUGGGUGCAAGUAGACGGAUAAUUAAUCAAACUAUCAACAUCAAUCGCAGCCAGAAAGUGCCAUGGUUGAUUGCGGUUGUACUUAUUUGGAAUAGCAUUCUUAGGAUAGAGAGCCACCCACAAUUGAUCUGAUCCAUCAUCAUUAAUCUGGCAGCAGUUAUGCCAAGAAGAAAUGGAGAAGUCAUCCACAAUUUCAUCCGGAUCACCACGCAAUCUCAGAUAAAAAUGAUCUGGAUCGUCCAAAUAAGUUCCUCUAUGAUAAAUAGAGAAGAAAGCAAAUCCCAGAAAGUGGUUAUCCUCGUACCAAUUCAAAGGAGGCUCUACUCUUACUUGGCUAUACCCACCCUGGAAUUCCACCAUCUCCUGAGAUAAUAAUCAUCUUGCCUUUCUUGCAAUUCAAGUGCUGCAUGUACAAUCAAAGCUAAUAUGUAAUUGGAGUACUACUGGGUGGAUGAAAAGUUUUACGUGUCGUUAUUAAAUAAAAAUCAUACCUCAUUACUUGUUGGUUUGAACCAUUUGAGGAGGGAAGACCCGAGUAUAGAUGAUGGACUUGAUAACAUUUCCAGCUUCGUGAAAUAGCUGGCAUGUAUUUCUGGUAGACUCGAUGGAAGCUCUGGAAUUUCUUGGAGCAUCUUGCAGUGACUGAUGUAAAGGGAACGAAGCUUACAAAGUUGAGAGAUGCCAGAAGGUAUGCUAACCAUAUGGUUUACACUUAAAUCUAAAUUUUCUAAGGAAUAUAGGCCUCAGCUAUCAGUGGGUAUUGACCCUUCCAUUAGAUUGCAGUGACUCAAAUUUAGUGCCGCUGAGGAGCAAAAGCCUUUCAGAUUCUUGGGGAACCUCUCCAAGUUUGAACAACCAUGGAGCAUCAACAUUUUUAACUUUCCUAAACACUGUGACAAAAGGAAUUUUGAUUUAGUAAAUGAAUUUUCAUAAACAAAAAAUUAAUCUCAAACAAAAUAAUGAUGAAAUACUAAUUAUACCUUAUUUCCUUGCCAAAGUUGUUUUAUGUUGUUGUCCAUCAUGUUGAGUAUAACAAGGUUCUCUCCAUGAACAUUUGACGGCAAUAAUUUCGAAGGGUAUCCUUUCCAAUGAAGAUAUCUCAACUGUUGUGAAGGAAAUUGAAAAUCUUCAUGAAGAAUAAUUUUAUACUCCUUGUUCAUAGAACCACAAUAAUCCAUCCCAUAAAUCUUGAGCAAUCUCAGUCGUUUCAUCUUUGCAAAAACCUUUGUACUAAAUUGUAGUUGUUUUGAUCUAGACAAGUUUAAGAAUAUGGCCUCAACAUUUUUCAUCCCCUACAAACUAUAACAAAAGGAUUAGGCAAGCAUAAAAGAGAUAAAGCUAGCUGAAAUUGUAUGGAUAUGUAACUUAGACAAAAAUGAUAUUGCUCACACACUACUACAAAAAUAGUUUAUGGUGUCACCAUUUACGGUGUCACUUUUAAAAUAAUGACACCAUAGGGUUUAUAAUUAAUAAAGGUGACACAUCAUAUAAAAAAUCUUCAAUUGAGGUAGUUAGAUGAUAUUAAUUUUAUAUUUAUAGUGUCAUUUUUUGGGAAGUGACAUCAUAUAAAAUAAAUUUUUUUAGGUAUUAUAACUUAAUGAGCCCACUUUUAGAAUUAAUAAUGAUGGAUACUAUAUAAAAAUCCCAUUGUUUCCAUAUCUCACCCACAAUCCAAAAAAUCUCAAUAUAUAAAUCCUAUAUAUAAAAUCAUGAUCUUCUUCAACCUUUUCUCUCACCCAUCCAUAGUCAACACGCUCACAACGAACAUUCUUCACUUUGUGGACUCCCAGGUAACCCAUAAUCUCUUGGAUCUAUCAUUUUUUUUUUCUUUUAUUAAUGUCAUUAUAUUAAUUGUUUCAACAUCUUUGUAUUAUGGUUUUUGUGAAUUGUGUUUUCUUGAGUUGUAGGGAAGAAAAAUUUAGGUUUAAUCUUCUAGCAUAGAAGAAAAAACUGUAGAUUAAUUGAUUUUUUUAAUCUAAACCAAACACAUGAUCAAGUCCUUAAAAAAAAGUGAAAAAUAGGAAAAAAUGAAUGAUUUUUAAUAUGUAUUUGUGUGAGAAUGACAGGUACAGAAUUUUUUUGAGAUUUAUUAUCACAUAAUCUUCAUCCUUUCUAAAAAACGAGAGAGGAAAAAAAAAAGAAUGAUUUUUCUGUUUGUAUCUAAGUGGGAAUGAGAUAUAGAAUUUCGUUGAGAGUAUCCAACCCCAAAAGGACCAAUCCGGGAAGGCAUGUGUGGUAUUGACGGGAGAUGAUAAGAUGGAAAUCAUAACCAUAGCCAUGUUCUCUCUGUGUCUUUCUAUCCUCUUCAAUUAAUUCAUAGCCAUAAAUAUUUUAUUUAGUUUUUAUAUUUAAUUUAUUUAUAGUUUAUUUAGUUUCUAAAAUCCAAUUAGCUAGAUAUUUUAUUUGAUUUUGUUUUUAUAUUUAAGUAGUUGAGUUUUGGAAAGUUUUUAUAUUUUGUUAAUAGAAAUAGAAAUUUUUAUAUUUUUUAUUAUUAGGAAUUUCUAUUUUGUUAAAUUGUAAGUAUCUAUCUCAAUAAGAGAUUAUUAAUAUUCAAAUGAAAGUGAUGAAAGAGAGUAAAUAUUUUAAUGCUCAAUUAUAUUUUAAUGUUAUAUUUUUUUUUUUUACAUAAGGGUUUAUUUAUGUUUUCAAUUUUGAAGUUCCCUUUCCAAGUCUAGCAACAAAAGUAGUGUCCAACCUUAAAAUGGGCAUGUGUGGUAUUGACGAGAGAUGAUAAGAUGGAAAUCAUAACCAUAACCAUGUUCUAUUUGUGUCUUUCUAUCCUAUUCAAUUAAUUCAUGGGCAUAGAUAUUUUAUUUAGUUUUUAUAUUUAGUUUAUUUAUAGUUUAUUUAGUUUCAAAAUCCAAUUAGCUAGAUAUUUUAUUUGAUUUUGUUUUUAUAUUUAAGUAGUUGAGUUUUGGAAAGUUUUUAUAUUUUGUUAAUAGAAAUAGAUAUGAGGACUUAAAGGGUUUAUAUUUAGGUAGUGCUUGAGCCAAGGAAAAUGAUAGUCCACUAUCUUGACCCUAUGCAUCACAAACCAUGUAUAAAUAUCUCUCUAAAUAUUUAGGUAAUGAAAGGGAAAAAGUUAUGACAUGAGAUAAAGAUAUAGAUGAGAAGAAGAGUAAAAGAGACCUAAUAAAGAGUGCUCACAACUUCAGCUGUAGACACAAAGACUAGUAAAAUGAUGGAUGUUUAGGGACCCAAUAGUUGCAUCUGUUUUGUUAUCUGUAGUAGUUUUUUAUUGUAUAGUGAUCAUUUGUAGGUGUAGACAUGUUGACCGAACCAUGCACGUUAAAACUCUGUGUACCUCCAUAUGUGGAUUAUCUUUACUUUUGUAUUCUUUCACUCAUAUAUUUGCAUUCAAACUUCCGUUAGCCCAACAAAUGAUAUCAGAGCUUUUAUUGGCUCAACAAACUCAAUGUUGUUUGACCCCUUCUGAGCCACUUCGCAAUAUAUUUAUCUUAUAUUGAAGAUAAAUAUUUAGUCAAAAUCUUAUGGUGUUAUAUAGUCCCCACAUAUCUUAAAGUAAUUAAGAAGGGGAAGGAUGAUGACUUACCAGUAAGUUCAGAUGAGGGCUUGAAUGAACAAAUAAAAUAGAGAGAUGGUGGAAUAUAAAGAGGACUUUGCUAGCAAGCGCACCUGGCAAUGGAGCUUAAUGCUUGAGAUCAGUGUUGGAUGCUCUCAAUCUUUUAGGGUGUGGUUCCUGAUCAUCUGCUUUGUUUUCCCCGGCAUCAUCAUAGCCCCUUUGAUGAUACAACAACAUCAUGAUAUGGGUGUAUAUCAGCUGAACUCCGCACCUCAUGAUAUGGGUGCAAGUAGACGGAUAAUUAAUCAAACUAUCAACAUCAAUCGCAGCCAGAAAGUGCCAUGGUUGAUUGCGGUUGUACUUAUUUGGAAUAGCAUUCUUAGGAUAGAGAGCCACCCACAAUUGAUCUGAUCCAUCAUCAUUAAUCUGGCAGCAGUUAUGCCAAGAAGAAAUGGAGAAGUCAUCCACAAUUUCAUCCGGAUCACCACGCAAUCUCAGAUAAAAAUGAUCUGGAUCGUCCAAAUAAGUUCCUCUAUGAUAAAUAGAGAAGAAAGCAAAUCCCAGAAAGUGGUUAUCCUCGUACCAAUUCAAAGGAGGCUCUAUUCUUACUUGGCUAUACCCACCCUGGAAUUCCACCAUCUCCUGAGAUAAUAAUCAUCUUGCCUUUCUUGCAAUUCAAGUGCUGCAUGUACAAUCAAAGCUAAUAUGUAAUUGGAGUACUACUGGGUGGAUGAAAAUUUUUACGUGUCGUUAUUAAAUAAAAAUCAUACCUCAUUACUUGUUGGUUUGAACCAUUUGAGGAGUGAAGACCAGAGUAUAGAUGAUGGACUUGAUAACAUUUCCAGCUUCGUGAAAUAGCUGGCAUGUAUUUCUCGUAGACUCGAUGGAAGCUCUGGAAUUUCUUGGAGCAUCUUGCAGUGACUGAUGUAAAGGGAACGAAGCUUACAAAGUUGAGAGAUGCCAGAAGGUAUGCUAACCAUAUGGUUUACACUUAAAUCUAAAUUUUCUAAGGAAUAUAGGCCCCAGAUAUCAGUGGGUAUUGAUCCUUCCAUUAGAUUGCAGUGACUCAAAUUUAGUGCUGCUGAGGAGCAAAAGCCUUUCAGAUUCUUGGGGAACCUCUCCAAGUUUGAACAACCAUGGAGCAUCAGAUAUUUAAGGGAUCUCAAAUCAUAAAUGCUGUCCGGAAGAGUCACAAGGUGCUUGCAAUUCCUCAAAGACAACUUUCUGAGGCCUUUCAGAAUUUGAAUUGAUGAUGGUAAUUCUUUUAUAGCUGUUUCUUCCAAAUAAAGAUCAAAUAAUAAGUCUUUCUUAUCCUCCAUGAUUUCUUGAAAAGCAUCUAGAUUUGAACAAACAAAGAGUUGGAGGUCUUCAAGGGACUUUAACCUGCAAAUGCUACUUGGAAGACUCCUCAAGUUUUUGCAGUGUUUCAUAUACAACUCCUUAAGUCCAGUGAGAUAUUCUAUUGGGGAGGGUAAUUCCUUAAUAGCAGAUCCAUCAAAGUGAAGAUAGGUUAAAGCUUUCAUAGAACUCUCCUCUAUCUCCAGAAAUUUCUCCAAGUUUGAGCAAUUAUUCAAGUAAAUAGUUUCAAGAGAGUCCAAGUAUUGAAUGCUACUUGGUAAGCUCGUAAGGUUUUCACACCCACUCAAACUCAACAAAGUUAGCUUCUUGAGAACUCCAAUAGAUGGAUCAACAAUAUUCAAACUUGUAAAAUAUCCAAGUUCUAACUCCUCUAGAUUUGGCAUAUUUGAAAAGUUCGAUAAUUCAGUGAGCUGCUUCUAUCGUUGUAAAUUUAAGAUCUUUAACUUUCCCAAACACUAUGACAAAAGGAAUUUUGAUUUAGUAAAUGAAUUUUCAUAAACAAAAAAUUAAUCUCAAAACAAAAUAAUAUGAUGAAAUACUAAUUAUACCUUAUUUCCUUGCCAAAGUUGUUUUAUGUUGUUGUCCAUCAUUUUGAGUACAACAAGGUUCUCUCCAUGAACAUUUGACGGCAAUGAUUUCAAAGGGUAUCCUUUCCAAUGAAGAUAUCUCAACUGCUGUGAAGGAAAUUGAAAGUCUUCAUGAAGAAUAAUUUUAUACUCCUUGUUCAUAGAACCACAAUAAUCCAUCCCAUAAAUCUUGAGCAAUCUAAGUCGUUUCAUCUUUGCAAAAACCUUUGUACUAAAUUGUAGUUGUUUUGAUCUAGACAAGUUUAAAAAUAUGGCCUCAACAUUUUUCAUCCCCUACAAACUAUAACAAAAGGAUUAGGCAAGCAUAAAAGAGAUAAAGCUAGCUAAAAUUGUAUGGAUAUGUAACUUAGACAAAAAUUAUAUUGCUCACAUUUACAUAUUUUUAUGAAGCUUAAGAAAGUUCAUGAGUUUGAUGGUUACCUUCUUCAUUGUAAAUGCACGAUACACAUCACUCGGAUCCCACAAUUUGCUCCAUUUUCCAGGAUUAUCAGGAAAUUCAGUACGAAUAAUGUUCCAUCCCAUUUCUUGUAUCAAAUCAUGCAUAAGUAUCUGAUUGUUGGAAAGAGAUAUAAGACACUUAUCAUAUAGGACUUUUAUUCCUAUCUAUGCAUACAAAUCACAACUAUCCAAUAUCCUUAAAACAAAAAGCUUACUUUAAGCACAUUUUGAAUUUUCACUUCAGGUUCUCUUUCCAAUUUACACAAUUCACUUUCCCAUUGGAGUAUUGUCUUGUUAAACAAGAGAUAACUUAGGACUUUUAGAGCUAAAGGAAGGCCAUGACAAUAAUAUACUACAUGAUCCGAGAGGUGGAUAAAGUCUUGUUUCGGAAGAUUUUGUCUAAAAGCAAAGAGACUAAAAAGCUCACAAGCUUGUUCAUAAUUUAAUUCCUCAACCUCAUGUACGUCAUCCAUUUCUUGUAACAAAUGUUUACUUCUAGUUGUUGUGAUGACUCUGCUUCCUCUUCCAAGCCUAUCACGAUUUCUGAGUAAGUAUUCUAAUUGAUCUGAAUCAUCAAUGUCAUCAAGAACAAUAAAAACUUUUUUAAAUCGGAGAACAUUUUUAUCAUAUUAGCUCCUUGGCCAACAUUGCUUACAUUUUGAUUUCUCUCCACUUGUAGUAGAUAUCACAAAGAAGUUGAUUUUGUAAAUGAUGCAAACUCAUAGUAUUGCCAACUUCUCUAACAUUUUCGAGAAAGCUCAUAUACUCAAAUUCACGAAAAAAAUUUAUUAUUUACAACUUUGGCAAUAGUCAUCUUACCUAUUCCGCCUAUUCCACAUAUACUAAUCAUACGAACAUCAUUCAAUUGAUCAAUGCAUAGCUGCCGAAUUAUCUCAUUUACAUGAGAAUCCAUACCAACCAAGUUGGCACCAACAUCAAACAUUCUACAAUUCAACCUCAUGAAUAUAUUGUUGAUGAUUUUCUUAAUAUGCUCGAACUCAUACCUGCCAAUUGUAAAGUACAUGUGAUGAUUGAUUAGGCUAUAGCUGAUUAAAAAAUAAAUACAUGUUAAGCUUCUUCAUGAAAAAUGAAUUAUAGUAAUAUAUAUAUAUAUAUAUAUAUAUAUAUAUAUAUAUAUAUAUAUUAAAAGUAUUAAGUUUUAAAACUCAAAUUACAUUUUUAGGACAUUUUCACUGUAUCAAGUAUACAAGACAAUUUUCUACACAAUCACAAGAUGACCGUGAGGAGGACUCGUUCGACUCAUUGGAAGAGUUAUCUUCUAUUAGAAGAUAUUGGUUGUCAUUAGAUGAUUCUACCGAGGUUUGACUAGAUGAAUCCGACUAUGACUUUAUUUUGAUGAGAUUAAUCAUUUGUCGUUUGGGACGCUUUCCUAUGUCUAAGUCGGCAAUUAUUUCUUUGAUUUUGCAAUUUGGGGUGAUAUGUCCCUUUAGCCACAAUUGAAACAUUUAAUAUCUUUCUUUUCUAUUUUCUUUGAAGUGUUUUUAUAUUUUUUAUUUGAAUAUUUCUUAUGUUUCGGCUUUCUAUAAAAGGAUUCUUCUUUGAAUUUUAAGUAUUUUUUAUUUAAUCUCUUUUUCUUUCAUCUAUAGUAUUUUUCCUGUUUGGUCGAAAGAGGAAGGUGAUUUUCAUAUCCAUAUUGGGCACAAAAUGAUUCUAAUUCUUUCUUUGAGGUUUUAAGAUCUUUUUUUGUGGGUAGCAUUAACUUUGAUCAUAUAACAAAGAUUUAAUGCUUUUUGAUUGAUGAAAUUGCUUAAUUGGCCAUAGGUAAGGGAAUCAUAAGGUAUGACACCAUUAUACAUCUCUUUGAUUCUAAGUUGGACUUUUUGACUAAAGGACUUAGAUAACCCAUUAAGGAAUCUUUAUUUCCAAUAAGGUUGGUUUACAUCUGGUUUGGUGUGGACUUUAGCAAAGUAUAACUCUUUAUACCAUCUAUAGUCACUAAGCUUUCUACAUCUAAUGUUUUGAAGGAUUUCUGAGGUUCAGGCUUGAAAGGCAAUUGGAUCUCCAAGGAAGUGUUUGAUUAUGGCAAAUAUUAGGGUAUGAACUGAAUUUUGAUUUCCUCUUUCAUCUAAGCUGGUUUGAAUAUAGUCUUUUUCUUCUUCAGUGAGAGUAUUAUCCCACCAACUUUUGAGCUAGCUAGUGAAUCCUGCAAUCAGGUGUACACUGAUCAGAUGGUCAGAGUUUCCAGAAGCUAUUGUGUCAUCAAAACCACUCUUCAAAAUGGUGGACUCAAAUGAUGGGCUUCAAAACUGCCUUUCAAAUUCAAAGACAUGUGCACAAAUGGACAACCGAUUUUCGGUGGAUUUCAAACCAUUUUGUAUCUGUGGACUUUAAAUCUGUCUCCAAGGGCCUAUAUGAGGCUCAUUUUUCUCAUUGUAAGGCAGAGAAAAAGUUUGAGUGAAAACUUAGAGAGAGAAAACAAGUGAGAUUUUCCUCUAUAAGAUAGCCUUGUAUUUGAGAAAGCUCUCAAAUUCUGUUGUAAAAGCUCUCUUCAAGGAUUGUAAGUUUCAACUUUUCAAAGUUCUUGUAUAUUUUAUGUUUUGAAUGAAAGUUUAAAUUUCAAAUUUAACUGUAGAUCAAGUUUAUUAUUGAAUAUUUAAAGAACCUCUUCGAAAGUUUAUGAACUUUCUGAAAACACUGUCAAAGUUAUUUGGGUUUUAAGCAAGACCAUUGUGACUCCUCUAGAUUCAACUAGGAGAUUUCUUCAAAGUUCGUAUUGAUAUUCAAAUUGAAGUGUUUUUCUUGCUUUAAUUUUCUUAUCAUUCCUCGAUCUUGUAUUUAUUGGUAUCAGAGCCAUGAUAGUUAAUUUUCAAAUUUAAUAUGUUAUUUUAUUUUAUGAUUAUUUGUUUAAAUCCAAACUGCUUAGCGUUGGUUAACCCAUAGUAUCCGUUGGUAAGCCAUUGUAGCCAUGCUAGCAUUUAGGUGUUCCCGAUGGUGGUCCCACUAAGUUGCCUAGGAUUUAAAUAGAGAACCCAUAGAGUAAAAUGUCAAAUUUGUUUGGAAAUUUUUCUAGAAGUAGCUCUCAUAGUAAUAUAAGUAGCAUGAAACAUGAUCUCAAAAUGCUAGAAGAAAACACUUCAAAAUUUGAGAAUCAAUUGAAUGUAUAAAUUGAUACUCUGGAACAAUAUAUCAAAAACGAGGAAAUGCCAAGACAACAUAUCAAAGAUAUUUAUCAAAUAGGUACUUUCAGAUUUAGAUCAACAUAUAAAAUCAAAGUGUCCAAAAACACACAUUCUAUAGGAUCAGAAACUGAAACUAUAGAACUCCUUAACCCCAGGGACAUUAAGAUGUUAAGAGAACAAUCUUACAAAAUUCUUCACAUAGGAGCCAUUCAAGUAGCAGUCAAACCAUUAACCCGAAUUGGGUUCAACAACCAAUUUGUGUUUGCCUUAAAGAUGCAAGACACAAUAACUUUGAUGACUCCUUGUUAAGAGUCAUGGAAUCAAACAUGGCACAUGACCCUAUUUAUUUCAACUGUUUCCCUUACCUAGAGUUAAGUUGUAUAGAUGAUAUGACUAUACACAAAGCUUUAACUUUAAAUGUUCAAACCAAGGGUUAUGACAUGAACCCUAGAGCAAAGAACAUUCUUAUAUUAUAUCGAAUAUACUAGAAGGUCAUGACCACCUCAGUAAAUGCUAAGUGUUUAUUGAAAUCUCCAAAAGGGAAAACACUUUUGUUCCAAGCCAAUGAGGAACAUUCCUCAACUAUAACCCUUGAAGAAAUCCCUUGGGAAUCUUUAACUCUUUCAAAUACUUGGAAUUUCACACAGUUAGCUCUUCCAAAACCUAUUCAACAUAAAUUACACCUACAAAUGUAGAUAAAAUAAGAGCCAUAUUUGAGGAACAGGACCCUCAAAUAAAUAGGAUUAGACAUCAAUUUAAACAACAAACUAAGACUAGGAACUACUAUCCUAGACCAACUCCUCUUGAUCUUCAAUAUGAAGAAAGGAAUCAAAUCACCCAAUCAAAGUAUGAUGGAGAUGGCAUUUAUGAAUGGAACAUAGAUGGCAUAAGUGAACACCAAGUCUUGAAUAUUCUUUAAGAAAUGAUUAUGGCCUCCACAACCUACAAAUCCAGAGGAGACUUUGACCAUUUGAUUAGUGUACACCUGAUUGCAUGAUUCACCGAUCGACUCAAAGGUUGGUAGGACAAUUCUCUCACUGAAGAAGAAAAAAUCUAUAUUCAAACUAGCUUAAAUGAAAGAGGAAAUCAAAAUUCAGUUCAUACCCUAAUAUUUGCCAUAACCAAACACUUCCUUGGAGAUCCAAUUGCUUUUCAAGCUCGAGCCUUAGAAAUCCUUCAAAACAUUAGAUGUAGAAAGCUUAGUGAUUGUAGAUGGUAUAAAGAGGUAUAAUUUGCUAAAGUCCACACCAGACCAGAUGUAAACCAACCCUAUUGGAAAAAAAGAUUCCUUAAUGGGUUACCUAAGUCCUUUAGUCAAAGAGUCCAACUUAGAAUCAAAGAGAUGUAUAAUGGUGUCAUACCUUAUGAUUCCCCUACCUAUGGCCAAUUAAGCAACUUCAUCAAUAAAAAAGCAUUGAAUCUUUGUUAUCUAAUCAAAAUUAAUGCUACCCUAAAAAAAGAUCUUAAAACCUCAAAGAAAGAGUUAGGAUCUUUUUGUGCCCAAUAUGGAUAUGAAAUUUUUUUAAUGAAUUUGAAGAAUUUGAUUACUCUGCAGUGAAUAUUUUUUUUUAAUGAUAAUUUUUCAUACUUUCCUUUUGAAAUGUUAAUAGCAUGGUUUAUAGAUAUGCUUUCAGGACAUGUAGGAAGAGAAUUGAUUGGACGAGGACUUAUCGUCUUAGUAUUUCAGAAUAGUAUGGCAAAGGUUGCUACAGCUGGUCCUUUAUCUUCUGACUCUUCGUUUUGGUGGGGGUUCUGGGAAGGUGGGGGCAGGAGUUAAAAGGAAGACACCAUCGGAAUUGAGAGUAAGUUUCUGAAUUCGUGGUUUUGCUCUGUUCUCUACAUUAUUAGAUGAUAAAUUGGGCAUAAAAUGAGUUUCUUUAACCUUUUAUAUGGAAGAUCUUGGCAGGUUGUGUCUUCUUUUUUAAUUUUUAAUUUGUUAAUUUGCAAGUUUUAUGAGAAUGGAGGAACAUAGCCAUUGCUCUGCAUGUUUGCUUCAUAUACAAAGAAAGGAAGAUUACUCUGAUUAUCUACUUGUACACUCUCCUGGUGCAACAAAGAAAAUAAAAAAUUGAAUAGCUCUAGGCAUAGAAGUCAUCUCUAAGAGUUCUUACCUUUAAUCUUCAUGGUGGAUGAGAUUGAUGGUUUGAAAUUGGGAUUUGAGAAUCUCAGAAUUGGACUUGUCGUACUUGGUAUCAAACUCGGCGUGGUCAAUAUUGAGGCAGAUACGACUUGGUUGAGUCAUUCUGUGGAUCCGCAUUUUUCAUGUCCUCACUCAAUGGCGAGACUCGCUUUUGUUUGGUGAAAAAUUAGUUUUGGAAAAGUUGGAGUCGUUACUUAUUUUAUUUUAUUUUAAAAGGGGAAAUAAAAUAAGAAAGAAAACUUUAAAAAGUGACUCCAUAGUUUGGGAAAAGCAAGUCUUGAAAAAACCUGAGUUUUGGUUCGGGGAUCAGGUUACCUAUUGGGAAGGUACCUCUAAGAGGUAGCACUCCUUUAAACCUUAAAGAGGUUUCUACAAGCUAAGUUGAAGGAUGUGACAAUUAAUUAGUUGAUUAUGGAUACCUAGGUAGGCCAAGGUGAUUUCGAAACUAAUAUGCCAAAAAGAAAUUAAACCACAAUCAUAAAGGAGGGUUAGGGUGUGUACCUGGAUUGUAUCUCAAAUGCUAUCAUAAGAAAUCAAAGUUAGCGUAGAAAUAUAGCAUACAACUCAACAUGCGCUUUAUAAGAAAUAAUCGAAUAGUCAAACAAAUGUCAAGACACCCAAGUACUAUCAAACAUAGGCAUAGUUCACAAUGACAUAUAUGUUCAUGGAAUUUUGAAAUUAGAGAGUAGAGAUAGCGUACAUGGCUAGCAAGCAUCAAUGUCUCUAUGGAAAACAAGGUUAGCUCAAUAAUAGGUGUAAAACAAUCUCGUGCAUAUCAUCAGGAGGAAUCAAAAUCAAUUGAUCACCAAACAACCAUCUCACUUGAGUCAAUAUCAAAGAAGAUGUCAAGAAUGUUGGACCCCCCACCAAGGUCCAAAUUACUUUUGCAUGAAUUGGUUCAAUGGGUUCCAUUAUUUGGAACCAUGAAGUUCGUUCAUGCUUGUUUGAAGAAAAGAGAAAAUUAGUUGAAAACAGUGAAAAUACAUGCUAGAAGGAAAAUGACAGUAAGGAGUUUAUUUAAAUCUGGAUUUUAUGCCUAGGAAGGAUCUAAAUAUGGAUUUUUAAAACUGGAAUUAUUCAGUUGGAAAUGGAUUUGAAAAAUCAAUUCAAAACUGUAAAUUUUCAAUCCAAGAAACAAAAAGAGGAAGAAGAAAAGGUGUGCACCGAGGUGGCCUUUGCUGGAGUAGGACUUGGGGGUCUGGCUGUGACUGCGUUGCUGGUGGUCGUGUGAAGAGACCUCUGUAUAUUGAUGGCAUGACUGGAAAAGAACUGACCGUAUUCAUUCCAGAGCCCAAACUCACUGGGUUUGAGUGUAUAAUUUUAUCAACAAAGACGUUCCAACCCAACUCUGGCUUCCUAGAAUCACAACUUGCAUUGCUAGCAGGAACUUGUGGUGAAGCAAUUGAAGUCUAGCUCCAGAUCUGAUUCCCUUGCUGCCACUCAUUCUCAAGUUUCAAGUCUUUGCCCAGAAAUCCAUCUGAUUUAUCAAUUUUCUCACAGUUCACUUCUGGAAUUUUAUGUAGCUUAGAUUCUGUGUCUUCUUGCUCAUCCUGAGCUUCAUUUCUUACCUCUUCGGUUAUCCUAACCAGUCAUCUGGAGCCUGCAUGCGGGAGCUCACUGAUUGAUGCUCACAUAGCCCACCUCCAUCAUUUUAAGAUGUGACUGUGGCAAUGGCAAUAGUUCUGAUCCGGGAUGCUGCUUUGCUCAAAGAGGGCUCUCAGCUCUGUCUAGUGUCGUUGAUGAUGGGCUAUCUCACCUCCAGCACUAGGGAUUGGAGAGCCUCUUCAAAUAUCCCAGCAUCUAGGUGGCCCAUUAAUUUUCCAUAGCCAGCUAGAGGACUAUAAACCCGUAAAUGCCCAGCUUCAUCUUUCCACCUUGCUUUGAAUUCCCAUCAUCAGCCUCCAAGAGUGAAACAGGGGCCUUGUCCAGUAGAAAUGCCAUCAAUGAAAUCAACAAUUCUGUCUUCUUGGCAUUCUUAACGUAAGCAAUCUGUAGUAGAUUCUUCUCACAUCUUCCAAAACAUCUUUGCUGUCAUUCCCAAAUUCUGUUGGCAGUAAAACAGAAUGAAUGCUAAGUGAACUCCCUUGAAGCCACAGUACUGUAUAAAGCAAUAGGUAAUCCUUUGGAAGACUGGGCAAUAUUAGGCUGUGGCAAAAGCUUCAGUAGAGUUUCGAUCCCUGACUUUCAUGCAGAUAACUGGCGAGCUUCUGAAUUUUCCAUUAUUCUGUGGACUAGAGCCAUCACAUGAAAGAUGCAAAGUUGGAACCACUCAUUACUGGUGCCUGCUGUAGCCGAAAUUGUCGAACUGACCAGACAGCAAUGGCCAUCAGACAACCCAGGCAACUUUUCCUACAACCCUUCUUGUCAUGAGCAGAAAUGUUCAGUGGCUCACAUCAAUUUUCAAUGGCUUUCAUGUCAGAAGAACCUGUGUUAUUAGGCUCUAUCUCAAACAAAAUAUAAAAAACAAACUCCCUAUGUCCAAAGUCACCGGAAACUGAAAUCUCGAUGAGUAGUGCGCUCUGAACCUUUUGGCAUUUGUUUUAAUUUGCACUUUGGGUACGAGUUCUGCUGAACCACACAUGAACGGCGCUUUGGACAAGCCUGCUGCUUGUGGUGGAAGGCAUGCUCUUUUCUCAUGAGUGGUAUACUGAUCAUCCACCUCCCAUGGCCCAAAUGCAUGCAUGAGGGCCUUCACCUCAGGUACAGAUGAAUUUAUGGGAAUUUAAUACCAACACAUGGGACUUCACUGAUCUACAGCAGCUGACAACUUACCCUGCUGAUGCUAGAAUUGGCUUGGAAUUACUGAUUUAUCGAUACUAAUCUCUUCGCAAGUGGUGUUGAUAGGCAAUUCAAAAAAUUUCCAAAUUAGAUGACUAGGGAACUUUCUUUGUUUGGACAUGAGUGCUAUGAGCUGUUACAGUAGUCAGAACUUCUUGAUGACACACCCCAGCUUGUUCUUGAUUUUAGUCAUGUGGAUGGCAUUACAUCCAGGAACUUCACCAGAAUUGGCCGAGCUUUCCUGAGAACGAAAAAAGAAUCUGUGUUGUACCCAAUUUCAGUAACCAGUUUUGCCUCCCGUUUUCUUCCCUGCAGUUCAAGUCUCUUGAAAGUCUAUUUGCUGGCAAAUAGAUGCAGGCCGGUAGCUAAGAGACUGGAAAUGCCUCAUAUGAUGUCCAUUGUCCUGAAUGCAUGAGGGUGAAGAAACGAAACAUCUUUUAGUUCCUUUUCUCAUCAGUUUCUGUAAUCAACAAAUCAGCCAAAAUGCUCUUAGUUCUCUCCUGAGCAUCACUUUCAGUUCUGCAAUAUGUCUUGCUCUCUUUUAUUGGUAGAAAUUCUGAAAGAGCCACUCAAAGAGUCUGAUAUCUGUCAAAGUAUGUUGAACAAGCCAAUUACUCCCCCCCCCCCCCCCCCCCCCCCCCCNNNNNNNNNNNNNNNNNNNNNNNNNNNNNNNNNNNNNNNNNNNNNNNNNNNNNNNNNNNNNNNNNNNNNNNNNNNNNNNNNNNNNNNNNNNNNNNNNNNNCCCCCCCCCCCCCCCCGCGACAAAUCAGUCGUUGUCCAGUUCUUCGCAGUACUAAUGACCAGUGGGGUGGGAUGAUGCUGAGUGAAGCCUUCUAUAGACCAGGGUAUUGUGUAGAGCAAUAGACAUUACUUCAGAAGACUGGUCGAGAUUAAGUCAUGGCAGUAGCUUGAGUGGAAAUUCGGUCCCUGAUUUUUCCACAAAUAAUCAGCAAGUUUCAGAAUUUUCUUUGUUCUAUGGACCGGGAUCAUCUCAUGAAAGGUGCAAAGUUGGACGAAUCACUCGUCACUGAUGUCUACGGCAGCUGAAUUUAUUGAUGGCUAUCAUUUCUUUGUCUUCAAAAGUCAUUUUCAUUGCGGCAGUCCCGUUAAAUCUUCCUGAUGGCCCCCACAUUUUCAUCCCAUGUUGAAGCAAUUCUAUUGACAAUUUCGAUAGUUAUGUAAACACUAGUACUCCUUAAUGAAAAUACAGCAAAAGCUUUUCCACAACAUUAGCCAAGGGAGCAAAAAUCUCAUUCAUUGUUCACAAGGGAUCAUGACGCUGAAGCUUCUUUCACUUCCUUUAAGCCCUUGAGACAAAUGGCACCAAGACCCUUAAGAACAAAUGCGAGGGCCUUUGAAGAAGGGAGUAUUCCUGCCACUAUUGAAGAUAAAAGGCAUCAAGGUGAUCCAGUUCAUGCAAAGCAAAAAGACAAGUGAGAGCCUCUGAAGGAGAAAGUAUUCCAGCCGCUCCAAUCAUUUCUGCAUUACCAAAUACCAGUGACAAAGUAGCAAGUAAAGGAUUAUCAUAAGGAUUUGAUGUCUAAUAUCCGUAUCAUGGAUCUCAACUCUUGUCACUCCGAUCUCAGUAUGAUAUAUUUGCUUAUCCAAUAUGAGAUGCCAUGUCAGGCAUGGCAUUAAAGAGGACUAUGGCAGUCUUUGCUGAAAAUCAAGACCAACAUAUGUUGUAGGACUUUGUCCGGCUUGUGGCACACAAGAAGGUAAAUACCAAUGACUUGCUACAAUUGAGGAGACCCCACAAAGCUCUUAGUCCUGACAUUUGUAAGUUGUGUAUGGAGCAAGGAGAAUCAGUAGAUCAUCUAUUCCUUCAUUGUUCUGUGACGUUGGGGUUGUGGCACAGACUAUUUCAGCUAGCCAAGAUGGAUUGGGUUCCUCUGAAAAGCAUUUCAGACAUGAUGUUCAUCAAUUAUAAAGGUUUUGGCAAGUCCAAGAGAGGGUUGGUUUUGUGGCAAAAUGCGUGCAUAGCUUUAAUUUGGGUUGUAUGGCAGGAAAGAAAUGUUAGGAUUUUUUAGGACAAAGUUAGGAAUUCAGAGAAUCUUUGGGACUCCAUUCAUUUCAUCGCUUCGUUUUGGGCUUUUUGCUUAGCGGGUUUUAAGGGCAUUCCCCUUAACGUUUUACAACUAGAUUGACUAGCAGUGUAUAGUUCCAAUGAGACGGUGUAGUGUCAUGUUAUUUUUUUUGUGUUGUUUAGUUUUAAUUUUGGCGGGAGGAUUUCUCAUCAUGUGUGGUUUCCUAUUUUAUCCUAUCAAUAUAUUCAUGUGUGGUUUCCUAUCAAAACAUAUGUUGUAGGACUCCAUGAGCCUGGAUCAAAAAAAGAUGAACAGCAGCCCUGAAUUAAUAAGAAAACAAACGACAACUUGACCUUUGGCAAUUGUGGCAGACCCUCUGAAUCCUCAUCAGCUAUCAGACCCAGUAGACCCCCCUGUCAUUUUGCUUACUUGGAGGUUCUUCAAGAUCGUGGACCAUGCCGGCUCCGUUUUGCAGUCGAUAUACUUUUUUAAGAUUAGCAGGAGCAACAAUCUGAACUCAGAAUCAGACCAUCUAUGACCGUUUGGUCAUUGGAUGAGAAAACCUCCAGGUCCUUUUUGAGGAACAUGUAUUAUAAGGACCCUACCAUAGCUUUCUUUAUCCAUUCCUUUGCCAAGUAAUAUGUUCUCUUCUAUCUUGCCACUCUGAAUCCAAGCAAAAUGAGUACCAAAUUAAACAUCGUAACCAACUUGUUCACCAUGGCGGCCUUUAGUUUGAGCUCUACAAUUUCUAGAAAACCCGUGACUGAUCAAAUUCCCAUGCUGCAUACCUGAACGCACCAGAACUGAUGCUGAUGCCUUCAUGGGCACCAAAAUUGAUCAAUCUCACCGCUGGCAAAGCUUCUCCAAAAAAUGGGCAAAACUAUCUAUGCUUCACCUCUCCUCUGUUCUUCCACCCCUGUUUUGCUUCCUUCAUUCUCCAGUAAUAGAUACUUCGACUGGUGCCAAACAAUCUUCCUCAUGAAACAGUAGUUGUAUGAGAAACCACUGAACCUGCUUUUUUCUUCCAAAUUUGGGUAUUAAGUUUUGACAGCAUCAAGAAGCCAUUGUCUAGCGCCAUCAAUCAGUGACGCAGACGUGGCUGGAAAUACUCGAAAUAUCCACAGAAUACAAAGGAAGACUACCAAGGAAACGGAGCACGAAGAAAAUAAACAAAAAAAAGAACCAAUGGAAGCCACAUUUCAUAUUUUAUUCCACGGGCUUAGGUUGGUGAGGGGAGUACAAGCAGAUUCCAGCAAACAAAUACAGCCACAAUUCUCAUGUAAUGCACAGUAAAUAUAAAAAAAAAGAGCCUUUCAGUUCCAAACCUAAACUAGAGAACUCCAAAGAGAGAAAUCAACAACUAUAGAAGCAAUCUAGUACCAAUGCAAACAAAAUAUAACCUUUGUCAUUCUACACCCAAGCAUCCAGUCAAAACUUAAAAUCCAGUGAAGAUUAAUACAUAACAAGAGGAUAGUGGGAAUGAAGGAAGAGUCUGCGGAAAGCGUACCUGGAAAUGCUCCUUUCUGGUAAGAAAAUCCCCGCUGGUAUAUCGUCUCAGAUCUCUUACUCUACUUUGCCGUGCUUCCUUCGUCUCCCUUUCUUCUCAGAAUGUCUUUUCUUUUCUCCCUCCUUUUGUUCUAAUUCAUAGUCCUCCUUCUAAAAAUUCAUAAUCAUCCUUUUAUUUGCAAAUUGGAAAUUCCUUCCUUAUUCACUUCUUGUUGAUCCUCUCUGUUAAAGAAACAAUCUUUGCCAGCCCACUGUAUUUCCUUUAGUGGUGUGUGGAUCCCAUAUGAUAUGCCUGUUGUAUCUUUGAAGAACCUCCUCUUCUUGUGCUCCAGCCGUGCGUUCCUUUCUUGGAGAAAAUUCUUCAUCCAAAGAAACCCAUAGGUCUCCUAUCAAUCUAUUAACCUCUUUUUUUGAAUUGUUUUCUUUCCUUGUCCAAAAUUGCAUGAAUAUCCUCCAAAGAUCCCUACAUGGCAGCCACGAGUUUGGAGAAUUCCACCUUCCCAUAUGAAUCUUUUUCUUUACAAACUUAGAAUCCCUUUCGUGCGUGAUUACCCUCAAUAUUUGCACUUCAUCUAUAGCAGUGGACUUUCCUUUGUCAAAAUUUUUGGUUAUCCUCUUUCCAAAUAGCUGGUAGUCGUUUCCUCAUGCAAGAAAUAAAAAUAAAGAUAAAAAUAAAGAUAAAAAUAAAAAUAAAAAUAAAGAUUAAAAUCAAUAAAUAUCAUGAAAUUGAAAAUCAAAAGAAAUUUAAAUCACGCAACUAAAAAAUAAAAAUCAACCACAUGCAAGCCAUGCAAGAAAGUGAAUCAUGUAAUCAUGCAAAAAUACGUGCCAUGCAACCAUGCAAACCAUGUAGAAACGCCUGAAGGUGACCUAGGGUGUGUCUAAGUGUCCUAGGAUGAACUAAGUGGGCCUAGAUAAACCUAGGUGGGCCUAUGUGAACCUAGAUGUUCUUGGGCAAACUAAGUGGAAUCUAAUCCUAAACUGCACUUAAGUAAAACCUAAUCUAAACUUGAAAGGCGGCCAAGGUUAGAUAAAUCCCUCAACUAAAGUCUCCGAGGUGGCUUAUAGAAGGCAAACUAUAUGAGUAAAAAUGGGCCAUCAAGGAACUACUAUGGAGUAUUGAAAGAGCACUUAAAAACAUGUGCUAAAGGGACAAAAUGGAGGGUCUACAUGUACCGGACUCGGUCGACUUAGUUCGUCCUAGGACAAAGAUUGAGAAAUGUAAAAGGAUUUUCUUUGGUUAGGGUUUGGGGAGGGAAAGAGAGAGUAUCUUAUAAGCUGGAUCUGAGUGUGCUUCGAGAAAUAAGGCCCUCUUAGAGAAGUGGCUAUGGGGGUAUACUAGGGAGAGUAUUGCUUUAUGGCACAAGGUAUUCUUGAGCAUCUAUGGGACACAUUCAAACGGUUGAGAUGCCAACAUUUUAGUGGAAAAUGGGUCAAAAAUCCGUUUUUGGGAAGAUUUGUGUUGGGGAAAUCAACCUUUGGUUGCAUAAUAUUUUUGAGUCUUUACAAACUUUUAUCAGUUCAAAAUUCUCAUAUUUCAUUUGUCCUCAGUCUUUCUUCUCCUAUUACUUGAAACUUUAACUUUCAGCCAAACCUUACGGAUAUAGAGAUAGAGGAUCUUGAAAGACUCAUGUCCAUUCCCAAUAGUGUUAAUCUAACACCGUAAUCCCUAGAUAUGAGACCUUGUUUAUUAUCACCUUUCAACUUAUUUUUGGUCAAAUCUUUUUUUCUUAACCUCAUUUGAUCAUUUAACUUUAGUUUUCUUUUCUCUUGCUAAUUUCAUAUGGAAAUCAAAAGCUUGGCCAAAGGUCAAGGCAUUUGCUUCUUUAGUGGCUAACAAGAAGGUUAAUAUCAAUGACUUGCUUUAGGUGAGAAGACCAUUAAAAUCCCUUAGUCUAGAUUGUUGACCUUUGUGUAUGGUGAGUUGAGAAUCAAUGGAUCACCUUUUUUACAUUGUUCGACAACUUUAGAGUUAUAACGUAAGCUAUUCAAACUAGUAAGUUUGGAUUAGGUUCCUUCUAGAAGUGCUUGUGACAUGUUGACCAUUUCUUUUAGGGGUUUGGGUAGCACUAAUUGGGGUAAAGUUCUAGGGCAAAUAGCUUGUUUUACAUUGAUUUGGAUAGCACAAUGGGAAAGAAAUGUAAGGAUCUUUGAGGACAGGUGGAGGACUUUCAAAAUGAUAUGGGACCUAGUCUACCUCUAUCCAUAUUUUUGGGCCUCUACUACCAUAGUUUUCAAAAGUAUUCCUCUCAACAUUAUUCAACUUGAUUGACUUUCAAUAUGUAGAUUAGAAGGGUUAAAAUAGCAAUGUUGAAACAUUUUGAUGUCUUUUGGAUUGUUUUUCUUUUGCUUUUUUUUUAUCAAAUUUUGUAUUUAGGGAAAGAUUUCUUAUCCUUCUUUUGUUUACUUUUUCAAUGAAAAUGUUCUUUGUUUCUAAUAAAAAAAAUUAUAAGUUUUGUUUAUUUAUUUAUUUUUACCAACCAUGAAAGUCAUGCUAAAUAUGGAAAAAUGCACAUUUGCUGGGAAAUACUGCAAUGCUUUUGUCUUUUGGAUUUGUUUUAUGAAAGUUUUAAUGGAUUUUUGUGGGUAUUAUAUUUGGUUUCACAUUAAUGCAAAUCUCUUGGGAAUUACAGCAGUGUUUUCAUCUUUUGGUUUCCUCUUCCUAAGUUACUAGUGAUUUUUUUUUUUUGGUGGGUAUUAUAUUUGUUGCCAGACUAGAAUGCAUUUUUAAAAAAAAAUCUGUGGUCGGAUUUCUUACUGUCAUGGCCUGUAAUUUAAUGGGUUGACGUGGAACAAACAUAAAAACAGGCUGGACCCUGAUCAAAGUCGGAUGCUGUGAUAUCCAGUUGCUGUGGUGUACAGCAUCUUCCAACUUUUUGUGUGAUGUAAAAUAGAACUGUUGCAUUUAACUGUAGCUUAUAGGCUUCAAAUAUUAGCCUUAAUUGGCAACAAAUCUUACCACUUUUUUUGCAAUUUGGUUUCUGCGGACCUUUCUGUGUAAUCUUUGCAAAUGGUUGUGGGGGAAAAUUCUUAAGAUUUUCUGUGUCUAUUACAGGGAGAGCAGUUAAAGCAAAGGAACGUUAUAGAGCUUGUAGAUGAAUCUCCGGCUCCUUUGCUUGGUUCUACAAAGUAAGCUUUGUUGUAUUUCUUUAGAUUUACCUUGAUUUAUAUUUCAAUAAGUACUUGCUUACUUCUCUCAGGAACACAAUUGAGCUCAAGAAACAAGAUGCAUUCGAAGUUCCAAGAUGCAUUGACACCCGUAUGGAUGGAGUUUUUCCUGCUAAAAAGUCUAGGUUUAGGAUGCUUUCUGGAAAAGAAAAUGCUAAGGUACAAUACUUUUUCAUCUAAAAUUGAUUUAUUAUCAAGUAUGUUUACGGUAACAUGUUAGAACUGUCAAAUCACUAAUCUGUCAAGAUCUUGAAUGUGCCAUGCAAUUUACCAUGCAUUAUUUCUGUCUUAAUUUAUUCAAUUUUUUAAUAUAUGCAGGAAGAUAUUUCAGCUGCGCCAGCUGGCUGCUUGAAGAAUAUCUGUGUUUCUUUGAAUUCAGUUGUCAAGAGUCAUCCACAACUUUCAUGGUAUACAUUUCCAGGAUGGUGUACCUUGUUUAUAAUUGAUAAAUUGUUUGCUUUUUUCUUAUUUAUUCAAUUUCUUAUUUCUAUCAGUCCAGAGAAUACUGUGGCUUCAGCUGCAGUUUCCAAAGAUGGUACAAGGCAAGAUUGUGAAUAUGCUGAAAAGUGCAGUCAAAGCACAUUUCGUAGUGUGGCUGAAUUAUCACUUGGUAGUGAGAGGAUAUCUGAAAUGGCUGUUGUUGAUAUGGUAUUUUUGUUAGCAUUUUCCCCUUUUAUUUACUUGAAGAAAGUUCUGUGUCAAAAUAUAAAUCUAUUUAUUUUCACAGGAUAAAGCAUUAAAAGGGCUGGUUGCCUGUGAACCCCGUGCUUUUUCUGGUUUAGCUGCUGAUUCUUCUGAAAAGUUCGACAAUUUUACUUCAAUCUCUUCUGGCCAUUUCUGCUCUGAAUUUCAUAUUCCUGGGCAGAAGGCCCCACUGGAUUUUACAUUAAAAACUAAUAUGCAGAUAGUGUCUUCUUCCUCUGUGAACUGGUGAGUGUGCUGGUAUGUUCUGUGUUGUUGGUUCUCAUCACAGUUACACAUCUUACCUGUUUCUAGAGAUUGUUUUGUUUACUUUAAGGGUGAAAAAUAAUGCUUCCUCAUCUUUACUCUAUUUCCAUCUGCAAUUUUUUUUGGUGGUUUAGGAUGACUACCAUAAAAUACAUUCUAUGAAAAACAAUGUAGCAUCAACAAGUCUGUUGUAUUUUUAGGAGGAUUCCUCAUCCUUCUUUUGUGUUCCUUUAUACUUAAUACAUUUAUUAUUUCUGAUAAAAAAAUAUAUAUCCUCAAAAGGCAGGAUACAAUCACAAGGACACAAUAACAUAUCAAUAUAUACUUUUAUAUAUAAAUUAUAUAAUAUCUGAAAAUUAUGAGUCUGGCUAGUUCAUCUAUUUUUUAUACUAAAUUGCAUAGCUUAGAAGAAGCAACUCAUUCACUUGUAUCCAUGCUUAGAGCAUCUCUAAUGCAAUACCAAAGUAGCUUAUAUAUAUGUGUGUGUGUGCAUGCCAAAAAACAACUAAAUUUUUAAAUAUUGGCACUCCAAUGGGAGCUGUCAUUAUUUGGCUUUCCUUUUAGCAUUAUUUGGCAUUUGGUUGGAGAAUGGUGGUUGCUUGCAUUGUGAAUCUGGUGCUAAAAUUUGGCAUCGUUAGUUUAAUAUUUAAGUUGGAGAGCAAUUACCAUUACCAGAAAAUAAGUUUGGCAUUUGUUGUUUUAUCUAUUUGCAUUGGAGAUGCUCUUAGUGUGUAAUAUCUUUUUCUUUUUUUCUUUUUAAAUGCUUUUACUGUGCUCAUUCUUAUCAUGCCAAAUGUUUUUUUAUUUUCUUUUUUAAGAUUUAAGGUUUUAUCAAGAUUAUACCAGGCUUAACUGCAGGUAAAUGAUAUGUUGUUGCUGUGACUUAUUUAAAUAGAUUUCCUUAUGUCAUUGGAUGAGGUUUUCAGAAACAUGUAACACAAUAAGUAGUGCAUACAAAAUUUAUUAACAAUGCAGUCACAUACGCAAAAACAAAAUUACUAAUUGGACAACUACAUAAAUUGAUUGAGGAUAUGGUCUUUAAAUACGUAAUUGCACUCGAGUGGUUUGGAGAAUGAUGACUGGCGUCCAUUUGUUUUUUUUUUUUUUUUCUGAUAGGUAAGAUUUGACUAACUUGUAUGCCUAAACUUGAUUACUCAUUUAUAUUGGUUAUUCCCUUCAAAUUAAAUGGCAUGUCCGACUAGUCUCAUGCUUACUCCAUUCUUGAAAAUUAUCUAUACCAUACCAAUUUACUGAAAAACUGGACUGAUGCAAUAUUGAGAGAAGUACAAUUCGACAUAACUUUUGUUUUUUCUGAUUUUCAGGAAUGUGAAGAUAAGAUAAUGGGUUCAUUUUAUUGUUUAGGUGGCUGGUAGUGCACUUUGUUUAAUGCUAUAUGAUGGAAACUUUAACUAUAAUGAAUUUGUCAGUGCAAUUCUUUGGUAAUCUAUCGUAUUCAAAGCUAUUGGUUAUCUGUGUAUAGAAGAUGUUGUAGAAGAAAGAAGUAAUCUAAAAUUUUUAUUUAUGAACAAAACUAAAAUUAUGUUAAUUGAAAUUUUGAGAGAAUAUCAUAAUUGCCAGCUAAGUGUUGACGGUGUUGGAUUUUCUUUUGUAAUAUUUUGAUGCUCUUUUGCUGAAGUAUUUGGAUCUCAUUUUUUUUUUCUGUCAAAUCAAUUUUUUUAAAAUUCAUACUUUAGUGCUAACAUUUAAUUAACCCACAUAUAUUUCUGCUUUUGGACACAGUUGCUAUUUUUCCUUGAACAAUAAAUUUUUGUACUAAUAUUUGACUAGAAGAAAUAUCAUUGAAUUAUGUCCAGACUAUUCUGAUUUCAUUUGAUAUCAUCUAUUCUUUUUAUAUUUAUUCCUAGAUCAUUGGUUCUAUAUUGUGUUGGUAUUUGUAAGCAUUACAAGGUUAUGCAUUAAUAAAAUAUUCAGAAAAGCGAUGAUUUUGCCAUAUAUAUGGGUUAUGUGUAUGUAAAUUGUUGCAUAAUCUAUGUAUGGACUAAUGUAUAUUCCACCACAAUUAGCAUUAGGUCGUUUGUAGAAGGUGAUUUUAGCUAAUCGACCUUAUCUCGUUUUGCCAUUCCUAGGUUUCAUAUAUUGAACAUGUCUGCUACUUACAAUGGUACAACUACACCGCAAUUUGGUUGUUCCAAGGAUCAAAAUAUUAGCUGCUCCUCUGGGAUCACUUCCACUGCCCAAAUAUUCAAUUAUAGAGCUUUGCACUCAUGGGUGCACCCUCAGUCUUCUCUACCACCUUCUGUCAUAUCAGCAUGGAACUUAUCUGCUACAGAUGGAGGUUUGUGAACCAAAUAUUUUAUUAGUAUGAAAUUUAAGUUUUUCUUUUCCUUUCUUUUCCUCAAGUUUUCUUACAACAAAUUUUCUUAGUCAAUUUAGUGGAAACGGAUUUCUUAAUCAAACGACAACUAGCAUGGGAAGACUCAUUUCGAAGUCUCUAUUACAUGCUUAGAAAGAAUAUUUGUAAUAUCUUCUAUGGUAAUUACCUUCUUCCAUGCUUCAUAGUAGUUUUCAAUUUUACGUAAGUAAAGAAUUUCUGAAUUCCUUUAUUGAAUUUUUAGGUACACACCAUACACAUAUAUAUACACAAAUGACUGAAUAAGAAAAUAUCAAUCUAGCUUGAUUCUCUCCUAAAAUUAGGAAACUAAAUCAUCUUAAAUGAUCUCUCCUUUUUUAUUCCUAAAAUACUUUCCUAAAUUAAAACCCUAAUUUUGAAUGCCAAAUUUCAACACUCCCCCUCAAGCUGGAGAAUAUAUAUCAUAUAAUCCCAGCUUGCAAGUUAAGUCUUCGAAGUUAGGCCUAGGUAAAGCUUUGGUGAGGAUAUCUGCGGUUUGGUGCUUGGUAGGAACAUAGUUCAAUUUAACCGUCUCACUAGUCACCUUCUCUGUGAUGAAGUGUCUGUCAAUCUCAACAUGCUUGGUCCUGUCAUGAUGCACGGGGUUCUUUGCUAUGCUUAUAGUUGCCUGAUUAUCACACAUCAUCAGAAUUGGAGAUGAACUCGUUUGUCCCAGUUCACUAAGAACCCUUUUUAUCCAAAUCCCUUCACAGAUUCCCUGUGCAAGAGCUUUGUACUCAGCUUCUGCACUACUUUUGGCUACAACUGAUUGCUUCUUACUCCUCCAGGUAACAAGAUUUCCCCAGACAAAAGAACAAUAUCCAGAAGUGGACCGCCUGUCAAUGAUGUUUCCUGCCCAAUCCGCAUCUGAGAGUAUACUUCAAUGUCACGGUUCUCUGUCUUUCUGAAGAAUAGACCUUUCCCUGGUGUCAUUUUUAAAUAUCUAAGAAUCCUGUAGACUGCUUCCAUGUGUUCCUCAGUGGGGCUGUGCAUGAAUUGACUUACAACACUCACUGCAAAGCCAAUAUCUGGCCGAGUAUGUGAGAGAUAAAUCAAGCGCCCGACAAGCCGCUGAUAUCUCCCCCUGUCUACCGGUGUACUUUCUUUCUCGAUACCAAGUUUCUUCUGACUAUCCAUAGGAGUAUCAAUUGGUUUGCAUCCAAGCAUACCGGUCUCCUUAAGAAGAUCGAGUAUGUAUUUUCUUUGAGAGACUACAAUUCUCUUCCUUGAUCUAGCCACUUCCAUACCAAGGAAAUAUUUCAAAUUUCCAAGGUCUUUAACUUCAAACUCUUCUAACAAAUACUUCUUCAACUUCUGUAAUUCCUCCAUAUCAUUCCCAGAUAGAAUAAUAUCAUCGACAUAGACUAUCAAUAUGGCCAUUUUCCCGGCAUGAGACUUCUUGACAAAUAGAGUAUGAUCACCUGAUUCUUUGCCAUACUUUCUUCGAAACCAGGUGGUAUUUCCAUGUAGACUUCCUCUUCUAGGUCACCAUUUAGAAAUGCAUUUUUUAUGUCCAAUUGUUGCAAGCACCAAUCUUGAUUGACAGCCAAUGAGAGAAGAAUCCUGAUAGUGUUCAGUUUUGCAAUAGGAGCAAAAGGCUCCUGAUAGUCUAUCUCAUAGGAUUGUGUAAACCCUCUAGCUACCAAACGAGCCUUGAAUCUCUUGACUGAUCCAUCUGCUUUGUAUUUUAUGGUGAAAAUCCACUUGCACCCCACGGGCCUCUUCCCAACCGAAAAAUCUGUGAUAGUCCACGUCCCAUUUUUCUCAAGUGCAUCAAUCUCAUCUUGUACUACCUUCUUCCAUUCUGAAAUUUUGAAUGCCUCUUGUAUUGUGUUGGGAACCUGAGUAUCAUCAAGAGAAGUAGCAAAUGCUCUGUAAGAUGGUGAUAACCCUUCAUAUGUAACAUAAUUCCCAAUUGAAUGAUUUGUACAUCUCCUAACACCCUUCCUCAAUGCAAUCGGCAGAGUAGAAUCAUCAAUACUGGGAAUUAACACCUUUCCAACCCUAUCCUCACCUAUGUUCUCUUCAGGAAGACUUGAAUUUGAGUCAAUAUAUUGGCCACAUGUUGACUGUGAUCCGUGCUCUAAUUCCUGUCUUUUCCUCCUCCUGAUGUAAACUUGUAAGUUCUCAUUAGCAAGUUGUGGGGCUAUAGGUUAAAUAGGCAUGGGAGACUGGAUGGUCACGGGAGAAGGAACAUUUGUGUGUUGGGCUGGCUGGACUGAUGACGGCAUGGGUGUGGACAACUCAGUGGGUGCGAAUUGGGAAGGAUUUGGUGACUCUGAGUGAAAAGAAGGUACACCCUCAAGAAGAGACUCCCAAACUUGAUGUUCAUUCAUGCUCUCCCCCUGAACAUGAGAUUUGGGAUAGAAGAAGACAUGUUCAAAGAAAGAGACGUCCAUGGUGGUGUAAAAUCUUUUGUUGGUUGGAGAAUAACAUUUGUACCCUUUUUGGGUUGGAGAAUACCCUAGGAAAAUGCACUUAUUGGCUCGAGGAGCAAAUUUGCUACGAUUUUGAGGAUACACAUGAACGAAUGCCGUGCAACCAAAUACUUUGAGUGGUAAAUCAGAAGAGGCUGCACGGGUGUGAGGAAAUUGUUUUAAGAAAAGUUGACGUGGGGAUUGAAAGGUAAGCACUCUGGAUGGCAUACGGUUAAUCAAAUAGGUAGCUGUGAAAAUAGCUUCCCCCCAGAAAUAGUUUGGAACAUUAGAGGAAAACAUAAGGCACCGGGCAACCUCCAAGAGAUGUCUAUUCUUGCGUUCAGCCACCCCAUUUUGUUGUGGGGUGUCAACGCAAGAACUUAUGUGGAUAAUGUCGUGAUUUUGAAGAUAAGUACUGAGACUACUAGUAAAGUAUUCCUUUGCAUUAUCUGACUUGAGGACUUGAAUUUUGGAAUUGAAUUGAUUUUGAACCAUAAGAUUGAAGGUUUGAAAAAUGUGUCCGACCUCUGACUUUUCUUUCAUAAGGAAAACCCAUGUUACUCGUGUAUGAUCAUCAACGAAUGUCACAAACCAUCGAGUGCCAGAAAUAUUUUUUAUCCGGGAGGGACCCCACACAUCACUAUGUACUAGAGAGAAAACGGUCGAAGGUUUGUAUGAGAUUUGAGGAUAUACUGUUCGAGUAUGCUUUGCAAACUGACAAAUUUCACAGUGAUAAGAUGCUGGAUUUUUAUUGAUAAAUAAUUUGGGAAACAAUUUUGCAAGGUAAACAAAGCUAGGAUGACCAAGGCGAUAGUGUAACAUUAUAAUCUCACUAUCUUUAUUGACCUUAGAAUUUGACACAGAAUUGAAAGACUCUAACAUACUCUAAGACUGUACGCAACUUGCUUGAGAGACUUGGUUUGAGAAUUGGCCACAUGAGAGGAGGUAGAGCCCGGAACACAGUUCAGCACUGCCAAUCAUCUUCCCCGAUUUCAAGUCCUGAAAAACACACGAGUUUGGAUAGAAUUUAGUAACACAUCAAUUUGCUAAUGGACAAAAGAUUACAAUCCAAGUUUGGAACAUGGAGGACAGAGUCAAGAUAUAAGUCUUUAGUAAGUUUUAUAGAACCUGUCCCGGCAAUUUUUGACUUUGAACCAUCAGCAAUAUGGACGGAUGAAUGACCAUUACUUGGCUUGUAACUUUGAAGAAUGGCAGCAUCUCCUGUCAUGUGAUCAGAAGCACCUAUGUCCACUAUCCACGGUUUCAUUCCUCCUCGAUUAGCAGUGAAGGCUAUCCCGGUAGUACUGCCACUGCCAACUUGGCUUAAUAGUUUCUGUAGCAUCUUCAUCUGCUCUUUGUUGAAUGGACUCGGCUCGGGAACAGAUGUGCUCUCAGAGUUGGCAGCCACGUGUGCUCUGCCAUCUCUAUCAGACCGUGGCUUUGGUUUCCAAUCAGCCGGUUUGCCAUGAAGCUUCCAGCAAGCCUCCUUAUAAUGGCCUGGUUUCUUACAAUAAUCACACCAAGGCCUAUCCCGUUUCUGACGAUCUCCACCACUACUAUUAAAUGACCGAGCAGCAAGGGCAGAGGCAUCCAAUGUUGGGACAGGUUGCUCUUUGGAUCCCAUCAUCACUUUCUGAUUACUACCAAAAAGUGCUAUUUUGUAGACCUAAUUAUAAUGGUUUUAAGCACCUUUGAGUAGUAAUCAUAUUCAUUUAACCCAAUUAAUUCAUUAAGGUCCUUAGUAAUUGGUUUUAACCAUUUUGUGGCAAGUUUACAUGUUUUUAUCAGCUUAUGAAUCAAUUCAAGAAUGCCAAAUGAUGGAGGAGCUACUUGGACAAGUUAUGGCAAAGCUUUUCGAAGCUCAAAUUCAUGAAGAACCAAGCUUUGGAGCUCCAUAGCCCUUUGCCAAAGUUGUUCAAAGUAUGCAAGGAAAGAACAAUGGAGAAGAGGAAAACAGAGGACAGCAUCUGCAGUCUUCUUUCGCACUUUUGGAGCAAUUCCCAAAGUCCAUUUUUUACAUUCUAUAUACCAUUUCAAAGCUCUGUAAGUCAAGAAUCCAACGCUUCAAACCGUGUACAAUUUGAAGCUGAAAUGAGGAAGAUAUGGCCUUCGGAAGCCAACUGCUCCAGGUUAUGCGAAAAUUUCGCAUAACACGAAAUUCGCAUAACACCUUCAAAAUUCGCAUAACCCAUGCGUGUUGCGAAUUUUCCUCUGCUUUUGCCGACUCCACUUUAGAUAUUUUCCUUUGUAUUUUGUGAUGUAAUUUCCUUUCUUAUCCUUGUAACUAACCAAUCACAAGCUUUUGUUUUUGUAAAGACUAUAUAAGGGGUAGAAAUCACCUCUUGGAACAUAUAUAAUAGAUAGAAUAUAGAACAUGCGUAUUACGUUUUACACUGAGUGAUAUAUAGAGCUCUCUCGUCUCUCUUUUCUCUUUACUAUUUUAUUUUCUUGGAAGCCAAAUAGCCUCUGAGGGCUUUUCCUCAGAGGAUGAUUGGCUAAAACUUUUAGUUUCUCAAAGUAUGGAUGUUAUGUGAUAGCUUGGAUGCAAUCCCAUGGAAAUUUCUCGCACCUGGAAGGUAAGGUAGACGUUUUUCAUUAAUGGUUCAUUAAUGCAAAGUUUGGUUUUUAUUUCCUUUGGACAACUUCCAACGGCCAAUACUUGAUAAGCUUUUGGAUUUCUAUCCAUUAGUUAUCUCCUACGAGCUAUUGGAAGGUGAGGUUUUCAAUUCCAAGUUUUACAUUAAUCCGUUAGAACCAAUUUCAAUGGCCAUUGAAAGGUGAGUUUAUCACUUGGAAUGACUUUGAGUUGCCAAUAUUUGGUAAGCUUUCGGCUUUAGACCAUUAGUUAUCUCUUACGAGCCAUUCAAAGGAAGUCUAAGGUGAAUAACCAUUGAUGAAAUUCACUACCAUCUGUUUUGCCAUUUUAAAGGAUUAAAACUUGAUUUGCUAAAUCCAUACCGGUUCGGGAAGCAAGCAUCACCAUAGUUGCAACCCCAACGCGAGGAGCCUAUCCUGAGAUUUCCAAUUUGCAUAAGAGCCAGAGCAUAGCUAUCCUAUCUUUGAGAAACUUGUUUUUACACCCUUUCAUUUUAGUCUUUAAUGUUAGCUUAGAUUAGUUUAAAUCUUUCUAAAACAUUUACAUCUUCUUUUAAAGCUAACAUCCAUAAGAAAAUCACCUAUUUUCCUAAUUUGAAUAUCACUUGUGUUUGCGAAAACCCUUCCCAGUGAACGAUCCUAUAACCACUAUGCUAUAGUAGCUUGGCUACUUUAGUAAUAGUAUUCAAGGUAUAAAUUUUGUUGAUACGCCUUUAAAGCUAAGCUACCAUGAGUCGCAUCACUUUCUUUCUACUUUCUUCACGCCUAACCUCUGAAAAAGCCUCCCUGAGACUUGGAAGGGGUUUAAUGCCCAUGAUUCGGCCUCUAACAUCAUCCAAUUCCCUAUUUAGUCCUAGGAAAAACUUGAACAGUCUCUUUUGUUCCACAAUUUUCCUGUAUGUUGUUGCAUCAUCCAAACAUUUCCAUGAGUGAGUCUCGAAUAAGUCAAGUUACUGCCAAUACCUUGUGAGUGUGUUGUAAUACUGAGUAACUGACUGUUCUCCUUGGCGGAAGUCAUGUAAGGCUGAUUCAACCUGAAAAAGUUCUAAAGUAUUUUCAGAACUUGAGUAAGUUUCUUUAGCUGCAUCCCAGAUGUCCUUUGCAGUCCUAAACAGCAAAAAAAUUUCACCUAUGUCAUUGUUCAUGGAAUUGAUAAGCCAUGACAUGACCAUGCUGUUUUCAAUCUUCCACUUCCUGAAACCCGGUUCUGUAGUUUCUAGCAUGGCUGCUUCUCCAGUGAGGUACUCAUCCUUUCCUUUACCGCAAAUGAACAGCAACACAGAUUGUGACCACUGUAAAUAGUUAUGGCCAUUUAAUUUGUGUCCUGUGAUGAGAAUAGGAGAGGAAUCACUGCCACCAAGGUUUGGAAUUUCAUAUCUGCCCCCUGAUUCUGGUGACGUGACGCUGGAUACUUGUGAUGAUGUCAUUCUGUAUUUUGUCAUGGACCGGAAAGGUAGAAGAACACUUCCCAAGGCACGUGCAGGGAUUGGAGUUGAGAAAAAAUAGCCGGAGGACGCCGGAAAAACUGAUCGGAGGGCCCGUAGAGGCAAAAGAACCCCAAAAGAGGCACGUGCAGGGCUCAGAUGGCAGAAACAGGUAAGAAGGGUGGCUGGUCAGCGUCAGGCGAGCCUGGAGGAGGAAGCUCAUCGCCGGAAAGUGGCUCACGCGCCCUCAUGCGCCGGCGCGUGAGAUGCAGUCGCCGGCCGGAAAAACGCGCGUGGCCGGCGCGUGGAUGGUUUUCUGGCUCCGGUGCUUUGGGAAAAAUUGGAGAUCUCCUCUAGGCGGUCCUUGCGGUGUAGAAAAAACCGUCGUCGGAAAAGUUCACCGGAAAAGUUGCCGGCAGUGAAUGUUUUUUUACGACGAUUCGACCGACUGGAAAGCAUUUUCUCCCUUGGCUCUGAGAACAGGGACUGAUGACCGGAAUGAGAGAUGGCCAGAGAGAGAGAUGGUCAGAGAGAUUUGGCCGGAAUGAAUGAUGGCCUGAAUAAGAGAUGACCAGAAGGGAUUAAGGUUUCAGAAAACUGGCUCUGAUACCAUGAAGAAUUUCUGAAUUCCUUUAUUGAAUUUUUAGGUACACACCAUACACAUAUAUAUACACAAAUGACUGAAUAAGAAAAUAUCAAUCUAGCUUGAUUCUCUCCUAAAAUUAGGAAACUGAAUCAUCCUAAAUGAUCUCUCCUUUUUUAUUCCUAAAGCACUUUCCUAAAUUAAAACCCUAACUUUGAAUGCCAAAUUUCAACAGUAAGUUCUUGUAAGAUUUCAUAUCUUGUUCAUAUGGAGCAACCUGCAGAUUAAUAGAAUACCCUUUUGAUCCCUUAUGGUGAAUGAUCUUUUCUUGCGUUACCUGAAGUAUUAGUUUAUGUUUUGGGCUCAAUUGCUUUGGUCAGUUGCUGUUUGGUUUUUGGAAUACCAUGGUCUUUGUCGUUGUGAUGAAAUUUCUCUGAGUAUUUAUGUUCUCUCUGUUCUUCCUGGCAUUGCAAUUAUUUGGUGUACUAAUUCUUAUAAAAAGGGAAAAGACAGUAUUAUAUAGAGAAAAAUAAGUUGUUUGUUAGUUUGUGCAUUAGCGCUUUUUUUUCUUCCUCUUGUUGGAGGGGUCGGAACAAAAGAUAAUAAUAUUACAUGGAGAAAAAUGAGUUGUUUGUUACUUUGUGCAUUAGUGCCCUUUUUUUUCCUCUCUUGUGGGAGGAGUCACAACAGUGUUGGUUAUUUUAUGAAUUUGAAGCAAAGUGCCUAUAGUUUUGAAAUUUAAUAAUUUGUUAGUGUCGAACUCAAGGCUACAAAUGUUGGUUUUAGUGGAAAUUUCAUGGUUCCUAAGUAUAAUAAUGUUAAUAGAUCUAUGUUUAUGCCAAUGUCACUGUUGAGAAAUAUUUUUGGUGAUUUGCAUGAAAAAAAAAAAGUAUACUUUAAGUUAAACCUCAAAAUUUAUAAUAAUUUAGAAGUCCAAAUUCUAAAAUCUUAGAAAAUUCGAAGACUUAAUUGCAUUGAUUAAACAAAAUUGGGUUUAAAUUGAUUACCAGAUAACUGAGUGAAGAUUAUGUCAUGAAAUGUGGGAAUUUGUAUGGAAAGGAAAAUUUGUGUGUUAUUACAUAAUAGUGUCUGAAAAGUACAAUCCAUAUUCUUAGCUCAUAGAAAAUUUGGAAACUAAAUCACAUUCAUGUUGACCAAAACCAGGUUUAGAUAGAUGACAGGAUAACACACUGAAGACUAUAUCAUAAAAAAAAUUAAUGGAGUCCAUUCUAGUUUGUAAUUCUAACACAUAAUCUUGUGGAAUAUUAUGAUAGUCAUUCACAUGAAAUAAUAUAGUCUGACACAAUACACCACAUUAUAUGCAAUAGUCCUUCUGAUGUCAUGUCUUCCCGAAUUUACUUCUCUUUGUCUUACUAUCUCUAACAUUAAUAAUACAUAAACAAUACCUUUUGAUAAAAGAUCGACAUAUUACAGGUUCAAGAUGCUUAUGGAGCAAAGCAUCUUUUUGAGAGCUUUUUGUGAUAAUUUGACAUGCAUACUAACAUUGGUAUUUUCCCCUUUGUUGAUCAAAAUACCAUGCAGGAAACAAAUGAACAACAAAAUUAAAUGGGAAGUACAAUGCAUUCCUACUUGAUACAACAUAAAAUCUUUGGGUGCUUGAAAUCAUCAUCUAUGUCAUGCUUGAGUUGGUGUAGUACCACUCCAUGUAUUCUUUUAUGCCCAUUGCUUUUUUUUCUUUUUCAUAGGUAAUAAAAGGGCUUGCAUUAGAAAAGCCUAAAAACGACGAAAACAGUACACACAAAGUAUACACAUAUGCCCCAAAAAAGCUAAGCAAUAAGAAGACAAAAAAAAGCCUUCUCCUUACUUGACAAACAACCAAUUUAUAAAAUCAAUCAUAGACAAAGUGUGGUCCUCUCUAUAUGCACCCUAGCUCAAUUCACAAAAGUAUACAUGAAAAAAGAUUUCAUUGCUUGGUUGGACCGCUCAACAGCGAUGAAAGCUCUUCCAUUCCUUUCCUUCCAUAAAUUCCACAUUAAACUUAAGAGAGCAACCUUCCAUGCACUCUUCCUAAUUGAGGAAUGCAUAACCCACUGCACACCGAAAAUGGAAUAAAUCAAGUUCCACAAAAUUUUAGCCUUGCCAUAGAACAAAAUUAGGUGGUUAGUGGUUUCCUCCUCUUCUUUGCACAUGAAGCACCUAUUCAAAAUAUUCAAUCCCUUUCUUUUCAACUAGUUGAGAGUCAAAAUUAUGCUCCAAGACACUUCCUAAGCAAAAAAGCUCACCCUUCCUAGAGCCCAAGACCUCUAAAUAAUAUUCCACGAAAAUUGAUCUCUAGAUACCCUCGUAUAGGAGCCAUAAAGGGAGCUAACUUAAAAUUUGCCAUUCUUACUCUCUCUCUAACUCAAAAUGUUGUCCACUUUUCUUCUCAUAACAAAGGGUUUAAGCUUGCAAAACAAAGACUCAACUUCUCCCAUCUCUUAAUCAUUAAGAUGUCUUGAAAAGCGGGGGCUCCAGCUACCUAAAUUCCCACUCUCCUCCCAAGCUUUUGAGACCUAAUUGUGUUUAUUUAUUGCCAUAGAAAUAAGUUAGGGAAAACUUCUUUCAAGGGUUAGUCUUCACACCAAAAGUCUUUCCAAAACUUAACCUUUCUCUCAUUCCUAGCAAUCAAGUGGGAUCAACUUCUUAUGUCCUCUCAUUCAUUUCUGAUGGCUUUUCACAUCACCACACCAUGACCUCCCCUUACUCCUUUCGAACACUAAACCUCUUUCUCUACUCCAAACUUCCCAAUGAUAAUUUGUUUUCAAAGGGGCCGACUCUCUUUCUUCUGCAAAUCUCCAACUCCACGUACCAAGUAAGGCUUUAUUAAGGGCCAUAAGACUAUGAAUUCCUAAGCCUCCCUCCUUAUUUACACAAACCAAUUUCCAAUUCACCAAAUGAGGCCUUCUCUUUAGAGCACCACCACCCCAUAAAAAAUCCAUUUGGAUUUUUUCAAGUCUUCCACACACUUUUAUUUUUAUUUUAUUUUAUUUAAUCAAGGUAAGCCUCCCACCCUUAGAUAUGUAUCACAUUUUCCAUAUUGUUAAUUUUUUUUUUUGAAUCUCUAUUCCAUUGCAUCCCACACCCUACGAGAUUUAAAAGGGGCACCCAAAGGAAGACCCAAAUAAGAUGUGGAAAGCUUCCCUACUCUACACCCCAUCACCAAAGCAUCAUUCUCCAAAGUCUCUACCCCCUUAAAAGAAUAACCUCACUUUAUCCAUAUUCGCUUUUAAUUCAGAAAGCAUCUCGAACCACAUAGACAACUCAAAUAUCUCAACUGUUCACUGUUGGCCUUACAAAAGAUUAAUGUGUCGUCAACAAACAGAAGAUGGGACACAUCCCUUCUUUCUCCACUUCUCCUUUCCACCUUAAACCUUAAAAUGAAGUCACUGCAUCUGGCUCGGAACAACAACUGACUAGGAGCCUCCAUAACCAAAAUUAAUAGAUAGGGGGAUAGCAAGUCGCCUUGUCUUAAGCCCCUAAAACUAUGAAAAAGGCAUGAAGGGGUUCUGUUGAUAAGAACAGAGAAGCUAGCUAUGGAAAUAUACCAAUUGAUCUAACUUAUCCACCUUUGCCCAAACCCCACUUUGAACAUAACUGAUAUAAAUAAAUCCCAAUUGACAUGAUCAUAAACCUUCUCAAUGUCCAUUUUUCAAAGGAGACCAGGAAUAUUGCUCUUUAACCUAGAGUCAACAACCUUAAUAGCACUGAGCAUAGUGUAUAAAAUUUGUCUACCUUGAAUGAAGGCAUGUUGAUUUCACCUCCCUCGUUGUUGUCUUUACCUUAUUUGCCAAAACUUUGAUUAAUAGCUUAUACAAACCCCCAACCAAACUGAUUGGUCUAAAGUCUUUCAAAUCUUUAGCUCUCCCUUUUUUGGGAAUCAAAACCAAGAAGGUGGAAUUUAGGUUUCUUUAGAAUGUGCCAUGAAGAAAGAACUCCUUAAAGAAAGGUAUGAUCUCUGGUUUGGUAAAAUCCCAACAAAAAUGUCAAAAAGCCAUGGUAAAACUGUUUGGACCUAGAGCUUUAUCACCAGAGAGACUACUCAGGGCUUCAAAAACUUCCUCAUUUGAAAAAGGAACCUCUAGACUUUUGGAUCUAUCUUACCCCAACACUUCAAAGCGUAAACCCUUACGCUCGGUCUCCAAUCCCCAGUUUCCAAGAGAAUAGUAUGAUAGGCAUUGCACACCCUAGCUUUAAUCUCCUCAUCAUCAAUCAGAGUAACCCCAUUUUUUCUCACCUUGGUUAACAAAUUCCUUCUUGCAUGAGCAUUGGCCAUCUUGUGAAAAAACUUGGUGUUCUUGUCUCCAUCUCUUAACCAAAUUUCCUAGAUUUUUGUCUCCAUGAAGUUUCUUCCAAUAAAACCCACUUCUUAUAAUCCUCAAAGGCCCCCUUUUUAGCCUCUACCUCCUCAAGAGAAAGAGGACAUUCUCUCUUCUUAGAGUCCUAGAAUUGAACAUAAGAAAAGGCUUAUGAUUUGUUAAAGAAGAGAUUGCCAAAACCUUCUUUUUUCCACACUUUAAGAUCCCUUUUAAGAGCUUUUAAUUUCUUAAUGAGGCAGUGAUUGCUAAAGCUAGUAACUGUAUACCCAGUCCACCAAUUUCUCACAAGCUCUUUGAAGCCAUCAGUCAAAAGCCACAUAUUCUCAAAUCUAAAGGGGAUCUUGCACUUUUUGACUCUUCCACCCUUGAGAAUAAUGGGACAAUGGUCAGAAGCUAGCCUAGGAAAGCGAAUUGAGAAAUACCCAAAAAAUGGUUCUCCUACUCAUCAGAGACUAAGAAGCGGUCAAACCUAGAAGCUGCUUGAGAAUUAAACCACCACACCAUGUGAAUGAACCUCCAGAAAGAGGAAGGUCCUUCAAACUCAACUCCUUUAUGACAUCUAAGAACCUCCUCAUAUCUGUCAUAAAUCUAAAUUUGUUCAUUCUUUCCCUUGGAAAUCUAACAAGGUUAAAAUACCCUUCUAUGCACUAGGGAUCAUCCCAUAGACCUUUGAUAGCUCCCAAUUCAUCCCAGAAAUCCUUUUUUUCCCUCAUUAAAACUAGAUCAUAGACUCCUGUGAACACCCAAACAAAAUCAUCUUCAACAUUUCUAAAGUGACAUGAAAUGGAGAACCCACCACACUCCAACUGCAAUAGGUCCAAAACUCUAUUGUCCUAAAAAAUCAAAAUGCCUCUUGACGCUCAUCUAGCAUCAACUGCACCUUAGUUCAAAAACCUUCCAACACCUAAGCUUCUUACCACUUGUAACUCCAUCUCUUGCACCUUAGUCUCUAGAAGGCAAACUAGAUCUACCUUCUGAGUCCUAACCACAGACUUGAUUAAUUUCCUUUUUUCCUCAUCGUUGAGUUCUCUUAUAUUCCAGGAAAGGAUUUUAAUCUUCAUCAAUCAACUAGAACCAAAUCCUAAUUGUUCCUACCAUUCCUUCUAGAAGAGAGCAAGGAAGUUUCAUAAUUGAUUGAACAAUCUAGUCUCCUUAGCUCCCUUUUGAAACGAGAGGAGGACACACAUUUCUUCUUUCCCCCUCUACUAGGAAUCCCACAUCCAACUUUCCUUCUUAACUUCCUCAACAAAGACUAGAUUUUCUUUUCAAACCCCUGAACCGACAUCCCCAAAAAUCUAUUAAAAUCUACUAGCUUGGUGAAGUCCUUGUCUGAAAGCGGGUCCUUGCAUUCCACACCAUUGGAUCCCACCUCUUGAGUUGAGGCUAAAGCACCGUUACCCCCCGACUCAACUCCACUCUCUUGAUUGGGGGAAAAAUUCUCUAGGAAGACCACAACUUAGCCAUCUUGAAAAGCCAUUGAUAGAGGCUUUUUCACAGCGUCAACCAAAAUUUCUGACACUUCCCCUCCCAACUCAGAAAAACCUUCUCCCCGCUCAAUACCCAAGAAAGGAGUUGAAGAAGAAGAAGGCCCUUCUCCCCAAGAGGAUUGAGUCCAAGAGAGCGUACCUUGAAAUCUAAGUGCUUCAUCUAAAAUAGCUUUGUUGGCUAAAGGCUUCAUCGUUGUCUCCGUGGAAGGCAACUUUGACAUGCAAGGAUUAGAAGCAUGAAAGGAGUGGACUCAAUGGUAGUAGCCUUGAGGCCCAUCUCCCUUCCCUUUUUAAAGCUCACCUAACCCACUUUAAAAGGAGCUUGGGCCUUAUCCAAAGUUGAUUUUUUGGCCCUCUCCAUCUCCAUAGAGCCUAACUUGACCUAAGGCCCAACAAAAAGGCCCAAGGCCUCAUCUACUAACCCACAUAGCUCCUUCCUAGUGAUAGAAGGGGAAGGAUGGGUUUUUGUAGAAACUUUGAUUCCCAUCUUUUUGGGAAUUGUACCACUUUUUCUUUUUGUAGAGUUCGAUGGAUUGAGAGACAACACUUAAGCUUUCACUCUUUUAGAAAACCAUUCUUUCACUCUCAGAUAGGCGCGUGACCUUACCCUACUCUCUUUUUCUACCCUUGUUUCUCUACAACUCUGAGAAGACUGCACCUCACUCUUCAAUGGAGGAAUCUCCCACCACAUCUGAAUUGCGAAACAAGAGGAUGGAGAGUUUGAUGGAUCAAGAGAUGACACUUGGGCUUCCACUUUUCCAGAAAACCCUUCUUCCACACUUCAGACAAGUGCGUGACUUUACCCUACCCUCUUCUCCUACCCUCCUCUCUUUGCAACUUUGAGAAGACUACACCUCACUCUUCCAUGCAGGAAUCUCCCACCAUAACUGAAUCAUGAAACAAGAGGAACCCACCAUCACCUGCAAAGAACUAGGUAACUUCCCUUUGAUCCUAGCAAGAAUCCUCGCCCAUUGCGAAUUCCUACACUCCGCUGUAUCCUCAUCGAUGGCCACAAGACUCUCACAAGCUUCUCGUAAUCUUUUGAACAAACCUUUUCCCCAAAGAUGCAAGAGAAGGCCCAAAACCCUUACCCACACCUCUCGAACAUCCCUUGCCUCCAUGAGGCAACCCAUAGAUGGAUUCCACCACUUUAGUAGAAGACUUUUUCCAUUGAACCAUUUCACCCUCGAGUGGAACACCCUCUUAGCUUCAACUAUAUCUUCAAACUUGAACAGAAUAAGGGAUCCUCCCAACAAUGCCAAGUGGAGUUUUCCUUUCAACCUCCAAUUGAACUAUGCCUAGUUCCUAAGAGAGACAGGGUUAGGAGGUUGGUCAAAAAGCCCCUCCCAUCUUUGAUUUCAAUCCACAUAGUGUUACACUAUUAAGAAGAACUAGAGAUCUCCAUCUCUGCUACCGAGUACUCAUUCCCAUCAUCACCCCUCUAAGAACCAACCCCUUCGAAGAGGUAGCUUUGGGCUCCUCCACUCUCCUUAGGGUCGUAGAAACACCAAGGCUUCUUAGCUUGCUAGACAGGAUUUUCCACCCCCCUACAAAUCCCCUUUCUUCAGGAAACACCAAGGAAAACUUCUUUCCUUCCACGUCCUAAACAGAACAAAGUAGAAACCGCAUUUCUCCUAUUAUUGCUCAAAUCCAGCAAAUGGUGUCUACCCCACUCCACCCAAGACUUUCUAAAAAACUCUCCAUCUUUGAGAGCACAGCAGGUCUCAGCCCCUUCCACUAGCAAAGCCAAGCCCUUACCCCAUUGAAUCUAAUACAUGACGAAAAGUUUGGACCCCUUUCACAAAUCUUCCCAAUCACCUUCCUUUUGGUCUCCUCGAUUAAAUCCUCAAAGCUCUUUGAUUCAACACCAAACCAACACUUAUCUCCAGGAUAAACCACUGACAUUUUUCAAUCCCAUGAAAAAACAGGAGUUUUUUUUUUUUUCCUUUUAUGCCCAUUGCUGAGUAUGAAGUCAGCUAGUUGUCAUCUAUCAUUCUCACAUCUUCCAUACACAAUCAUUUUCACAUGUUCCCUUACAUCUAGCUUGAAGGUCUAUCUUGAUUCUUGAUGGUUUUGAAUAUUCAUAAUGAUCUUAUUCAUAUAAUCAUGUGGUAGGGGCUAACAAUUCAUCACUGGUUUACAUAUUGUAGUGUUAUGACACUGUAACUACAUUUACUGCUUCAUAACCACUACAAUUUCUUUGGCAAUUUGGCUUGCCUAGGCCAUACUUUUGCAAUGGCUAGUUUCUUUCCUAUUUUUCUUUAGGAAUUUUCAGCACAUAAAUUACAUAUAAAGCAAUUUAGAUUAUGUGGUGAUUUCAUCAUAUUAUUUUUGGUUGUGUACUCUAGAGUUUAUUUAUUAUUCUCUAGAAACUCUAAUUAUAACAUUGAAAUUGUAAGAAACUUCUUUCUUUCUCCUUGUAAUGCCCUACACCAUGACUUAUGUGGACCAUAAUGUUAGAGCCUUUUGGUCGUUCAGGUUGUAAUAGGAGCGAAAUGUGCAUGAUCCAUUCAUUUUGGAUUUUUAUGCUCUCCCUUUUUUUUUUGGGUUUUGUUCUUUCUUUGUCUUGCCUUUUAUUUUUUUGGGGUUUUUUUAUUAGUUAAAUUUAUUUUGUAUGUCACACUGUACAUUGAUUUUUCUGUUUUAUUGGAAACUUUCUAGUUUGUACUUCACAAUUUGUGGUGGUGUUUGCUAGUGGUGAUGGCUCAGGAGGAAAGAAACAGUUCUCUAAUGCUUAUAUCUCCCAGUCAACAAGAGGCUUAAGGUCACUGUUGAGAGAGCAUGUAAGAUGUAUCUUUUUUAUCUUUUAAAAUUUGCAUGGAUAGGAAGUUUAUUUUCUCUUUAUGGAACAUGUUCAUAAACAAUUUUCAUGUGGAAAAUAUGUUUUUUCUCACUCUAAAUGCUAAUUCGAGUUUUUUCUGCUUGAAUAUAAAAAUUAGUUCCUGAAAUAAGAUAUUACUUUUUUUUUUUGCACUUGGUAUUAACUAAGAUAGUGGCAUUGAAAUAGAAAUCAUGGGGGUGCUUAUUUUGACUUAAAACCUGGAAAUGGUUGCUACUUCUUUGCUAGAGGUUUAAAUAUGAGGUUUAUAAAAUUGUAACAGAAAUGAGUGCAGUGAGAAAAUAUUUUGUGUUCUUUUUGCAAACUUCUAAGCUAAUCUGGGAAUGAUAAUUUUAAACCAUUCUUGUGGAAUUUAGAUGAUUACCAAAUUUAUUGAUUUUGAGAAUGUUGAUAUUUAUUAAGGACCUUGAUUUGCUGACCAAGUGGCUAACUGUUAGAUCAUUAGAGAUAAUUUAUCAGGGACCUUGAUUGUCUGGCCAGAUGGUUUACUGUGUUUGACUUUUACCAACUAAAAAAAAACUGUCAUCCUUGAUUUUAAUGAGCAUUGGUUGCUCCAUAUUUUUGGUUUUUUUCUCAUUGCUGAGCAAUUAUUUUGCUUUUUUCAGAAAAUUCUCAUAAUUUUGUCUUAUAUAGUAGGCCAACAAUGUAUAUCAAGUUAAGUUGACUUAGGCUAAAGCCUUAAUGUUCCACUGGACAUGCAACCUUCUCUUGCUUGUACUUGGCUCAAUAAUGGGGAUUUAACAAGCAAUGAGGUUCAAACUUAUGGUCCCUUAGAAACCAAAGCUCUUGUACAAUAUUAUGCUGACUUGGAGUAAAAUCCUAACUGUUUUCUCAUUUUUUAUUUUGUAAGUUCUCGAUUCAUAUAAGAAAAUGAAAGAAAAUUUUAAUCAAUAAAGAAGUUGCUAUAUUUAGGUAAGGAUGCAUGAGACUAUGUGUGACAGGUGGUGAUACCCGGAUUCUCAAUUUUGCUAAAAGUAACCCUAUUGACAAAAAGGACAUGGGUAUUGUUGUGGGAUCCUCAUGGGAUAUAUUAUUAUUAUUUUUUACUUGGGACUGGAUAAUUGUUAGUAAUUUUUAAAGUGAAAUUUUGGAACUUGGGAGAUGAAUUAAAACUAAAAAAAAGGAAUUAAGUGUUGUUGGGGAGAUUCAAGGAUAAGAGAAAAAAAAAAGGGGCUUUUAUGAGGAUAUUUAAAGAUAAAAAAAAAAUGGUAUACCUGGGCAGGUGGGGUGAUAGAAAACAGGUCUCUUGGCACUUCAUUAGCAUGAAUUUGUUACUUUUAGAAUAGUAACAUUUAAAGAGAUGAUAAAUCAAAACAAAGGUAAUAAAAUAAAAGUAAAGGGAUGGAUAUGGAUAAAUAAUAAAAAAAUAUAUUGAUAUAAAAUAAAAUUAGUGAAAGAAAUAUGUAUGCAUAUUGUAUAUUAACAAAAUUUGAAAUUUCCAAUGACAAAACAUGACAUACGAUAUAAAUUAAAUUUUUUAGUACAUUUCCUUCAUGCGUAGGAGUAAUAUGACUUGAAUUACUAAAGGGUAAUAUUAUGGAUUCCAUGGAGAAUAAAGUAGAUAUAGAUCUAAGUAAGCACUCAAAUAUUUGACUUUUGACCAUGUCCAAGUAUCUGUACCAUUGUUAAGUUCCUUUCAGCCAAGUCCUUGUAUCUUAGAGUUUGUGAAUUUGAAUGAUUAGAUGUGUAACACAUACCUGCAUCUAAUACUUGCAACUAAAUCCCUGUAACAUAUGUGGCAAGCAGACAUAAUUUGUGAUUGUUUCUAUUUGUUGCAUGUGCGAUCAGGGGUUGCUUGGAUUGUUUUAGGGCAACGUAUUUGAUUUCAAUUUGAUAUAAUUGUGUUCAAAGAACCCAGAAACAAAUAUGGAAGCUCAAAACAAUAAUUGAUUUUGUCAUUUUGAUUCAGCAUAAUGAUGGGUUCAAAUGUGGAUCAAAGUUGAAAAUCUUGGUAACCCAGUGGGCAAACCCCAACUUUGCAACCAUGUAAUGAGUUAUGUGCUUGUGAAUUUGUGCCUAUCAUAUAUGCUCUCUUCUUUUCAGGAUGUUGGACCUUUGAGAUUAUGAUAUUAAGGGCUUGCAGUGCUAACCAUUUUAACUAAUUAAUCUUUGUUUUGGAUUUUACAUUUUUUUUUUUCCAUGUCUAUAAUAUUUUUUUAAUCCAAUGAACUAACUUUUUCUUUUGUUUGUAUAUUAUGAAAACUAGGAUGUUUGUUUCUCUAUGCCUCUUUGUCGUUCUAAAGUAGAAUAAGUCACUACUGAAGACCUGGUUGAGCUCUCAGAGAUUGAGAAACGCAAUCUGGGCCAGGUUUUUGUCUAUGCUUUUAAUUUUGAUAGUCUUUUAUCUUUCACCUUGCUAAACUUAUGCCUGGAAUAGAACAUGGGAUGUCUUUCUCUGCCAUUUGUGGAACUUCCAUGCUUGCUUAGACUACUUGCUUGUUACAGUUGCCUCAAUGGGAUUUUCUUAGGCAUUUAUUUUAUGACAAAUUUAUGAGCAGCAAAGGCAAAAUAUAAAGAAGCAAUUCCAAAAAGCUUCAUGUUUGAUUUGAUGUCCAUUACUGUUUUUUUUUCUUUUCCAAAAUUUGAUUAUGAAAAUCUCCUUAGUUACAGAAGUAUACCUACUUCUCCUGAUGUUGUUCUUUGUGAUUUAUCACUCGUUGGUGAUUCUCAUUUCAAUUCAGACUUGACGUCUUAGUUCCAUAUCUGAUGUGGAUAACAGUCCAUAGUCUUUGCUGUCUUUUAGUGGAAACAAGAAUGUGCAUGCUUUAUAUGACUUUAUGCUAAAUUAUAGGUAAAUACCUAGCUAAUGUCGGAAGCACUACAUUUCUCUAGUAAGUUAGGUACUUUGUCUAUAUUUCUACUCUCUUUUAUUGUCAGUGGUUCUUCAUUUCUUAUGGCUAUUUCCAGAUCUUUCUUGACCUCCUUGACAAGUGUGGAUGUUCCUCUUCUGUAUUCACCUGUUCCAUUUCAAAAUGCUGCUCUUUCUGCCCAGAGGUAAGUGUAAUUUAAUUCAAAUUUAAUGGUUAUAGACUGGUGUUAGUGACCUUUGUUUUCCUUGUCCAUGAAUGCAUUUCCAAGAGCAAAUAUACGUUUCAGCCAGAUUCUCACAUAAAUGGUGGCCAAUGGUUGGAUGUUUAGAUCCACCAUAUUGAAAAUACAUCCAAACUAUUUCUGUGCAUAUGGAUAGGGUAGUCCCAAACUUCGAACCUUCUAAAGGUAAGUGCUUCCCUGGUACUGCUUUGUGUUCUCAAAGUUUCAUCAAAUAGGAUCCCUGAACUUUGUUGUAACAUGAUUGAAAUAACUUUGAUCAAUCCUUCUUCCACAUUUUCUUAUUGUUAUAAUCAUUUAUCAACCUUUCCUUGUAUCUGCAUCUGACACGAAGAGGUCCAAUGCAUGUAUUACUGCCCUUCUCAUGUAAUAUAACCUACUCAGGAUACAUUGCUUUUCUUUUAUAGGAUUACCGAUUACCUUGGAAGGAGAGUAGUCAUCCUUUGAAAUUAUAGCAAAAUGGUUCUUUGUAAAUUUUAAUACUUGUACAACGAUAAAUAUUUAUUAUGAUUAAUUUUAGUUGCUUGGUUUUGCUUGCUAAUUCCUAUGGGGUAGGUGCUUGGGAUUUUUCAGUAGUGGCCUUCUUUUGCAGGUCAGUUGCGGGGAGUUGAAGAGAGCUGAUCAUGUUGUUUUUCCUCUUAAAGGAUCCAAAAUGAAAGAUGAAGCAAAUGAAAGUGUUUCGGCUGGUCUCUCCUACAACAUUGAAAUCAAGGAUGCUUACAUUCCACCGUGGAUAAUAUCCAAUAUAUGUGCAACCAUGGGUUCUGCAAGGAGGAGCUUUGAGGUAAGGUAUGACAAAUUUUGUCACUGUGCCUAAUUAUUUUCUAUGAUUAGCCCUGAUCUCACUACAAAAAGCUGCAGUAAUGGUAGAUGAACAAAUAUAUGUAACUGGGAGCUUUGGCUUUCAGUUAUUCAUCUUACUGGAAAUCAUGUCAUUAGAUAUUAUUUUACGCACUUGUUCAUGUUUGUUGGCAUAUUGUAUAGCCAUAUAUAGAUAGCAUUACCGGCUGGCUAACAAUAAUAAGCUAACUUUAUGUGUGUGCGUGCGUGUGUGCGCACAGUUUUACAACAGAGCCGACUUCAAUUGGCCUUGUUAGAUAGUGUGCAGUUAUUUAGGUUAUUUACUUUUCCUUUUCCUUUUCUUUCCUUAUUGUAUUGUGAGUCUCACUAACAUGUAUAUAUAUAUAUAUAUACCCAAGUCCAAUGUGUAUUAUUAACAGUUUUUCAAUAACAAGAAUUAAGGAUUCUCCAUUUUCUCUCUUUUCACAUGGUAUCAGAGCCUAAGGAGAAAAAAAACCCUAAUUAUUUCCGGUUUAUCCGUGAAUCCAUUUUGGGAAAUCUUUUAGUGACCAUGUUUCAUUCCGAUCACCUUUCCCAUCUCCUAAAGCUUUCCGAUCAACUGUAUCGUCGUUAGAAAACCCUCACCGCCGUAAAAAAAACCCUCACUGCUGGCGACCUUUUUCCAGCGAAGUCCUUUUUCGACACCGACCAUACCAUCAGGUGCGCAAGGAGGAGAUCUUCAAGUUUUCUCAAAGCACCGGAGGGAGAUUCUCAGUCAUGCGCCGGCCAUGUGCGUUUCUUCUCCGGCGGCCUGAACGUCACGCGCCGGCUCACCUGACGCCGUCUAGCCACUCUUCAUAUGUGCUUGUGCCAUCCGAGCCCUGGAAGUGCGUUUUUUGGGGUUUUUUUUUUCUCUGUCGACCCUCUAAACAACCUUUCCAGCGACCUCCGGUGACUUCCUCUCCACCUCGAGCCCUGCACGUGUCUUAGGAAGUGUUCUUCUACCCUUCCAAUAGUGCCACAUUUAUUUUUCUUUACUAUUUGGUCUCUCACAACCGCGGAUCCUCGGUUUUUCUUCUUUCGGCCGCGAUCUGAAGUUAGGGCUCUCUUCGAUCCAAACAUAUUUCGUUCUUCAGAUAAGUAGAUAUGGCUACUAAAAGUUCCACUUUUUCCUCUGUCAUAUCUGGAUCUCCUAUGAUUACUUUGGAGAAAUUGGUUGGCAGUGAAAAUUAUUUGUCCUGGUCUGCCUCUGUGGAGUUUUGGUUUAUGGGUCAAGGUUAUGAGGAUCACUUUGUUACGCAGGAGGCAGAUAUCCUUGAGGUUGACAGAGUACAAUGGAGGAAGAUAGAUGCAUAGUUAUGUAGUGUGUUAUGGCAAUCAGUUGAUUCUAAGAUUCUGCUUCAUCUUCGGGCCUACAAAACAUGCUUUAAAUUUUGGAAUCAGGCGAAAGGGCUAUACACGAAUGAUAUCCAACGUCUUUAUAAGGUGGCUUCUUCUAUUGUCAAUGUCAGACAACAAGACAUGGAUUUAUCUACUUAUAUUGGCCAGAUUGCCUCUCUUAAGGAGGAAUUCUUGACCGUGAUGCCUCUUAUUACUGAUGUUGGGGAUCAACGAACACAGAUUGACAAGUUCUUCAUGGUUCUUACGCUUAUUAGCCUUCGUCCAGAUCUCGAGACCGUCUGCGAUCAGAUUCUUGGCAGUUCCUCCAUACCAUCAUUGGAUGAUGUGUUUGCUUGCCUCCUCCGUAUCUCCUCCACUCAGACUUUGCCAUCUGAUAAUACUUUAGAUUCUUCUGUGUUAGUUUCUCUAACUAACUCUCGAGGCAGACGCAGUGGUAACCGAGGUAGAAGCCAACGUCCUCAUUGCACCUAUUGCAAUAAGCUUGGCCACACUCGUGAUCGGUGUUAUCAGUUACAUGGGCAGCCUCCCCGCACUGCCCACAUGGCCCAGUCAUCUGGUCCUCAGUCGCCUCAGCCUCCCAGUUCCUCCACGUCUUAAGGUAUUUCCCUCACUAACAGUGAGUAUGAUGACUAUCUCCGCUAUCAGGCCACCAAGUCAGCUUCUGUUGCUUCUGUUGCCCAGACUGGUAAUGUUUUUGCUUGUCUUACCCAUACAUCUUCUCUUGGACCUUGGAUUUUAAAUUCUGGCGCUUCUGAUCACAUAUCUGGUAAUAAGGAUUUUUUUUCUUCUAUUACUACUACCUCUGCCUUACCUACUAUUACUUUAGCUAAUGGUUCCCAAACUAUGGCUAAAGGUUUUGGUUUCGCUCAUCCUCUCCCUUCCCUACCUCUCCAUUCUAUCCUUUAUGCCCCUGAGUGUCCUUUUAAUCUUAUUUUCAUCAGCAAAAUAACUCGUACUCUUAACUGUUCUAUCACUUUCUCUGAUAAAUUUAUGACCUUGCAGGAUUGGAGUACGGGGAAGACGACUGGUAUAGGACGUGAGUCUUAAGGCCUCUAUCACCUCACCUCGCCUUCAACUCCUACAGUUUGCAUUUCCACUGAUGCUCCCCUCCUCAUCCACAAUCGCCUUGGCCACCCUAGUCUAUCCAAGUUCCAGAAAAUGGUCCCUCGUUUUUCAUCUUUGUUGUCGCUUGCGUGUGAGUCCUGUCAGCUUGGGAAACAUACUCGUGUCUCGUUCCCAAAGCGUUUGAAUAAUCGGGCAAAGUCUCCUUUUGAACUUGUCCACACUGAUGUUUGGGGUCCUUGUCGGACUGCGUCUACUUUAGGAUUUCAGUAUUUUGUCACUUUCAUUGAUGACUAUUCUCGAUGUACUUGGUUAUUUUUAAUGAAAAAUUGAGUUGAGUUAUUCUCUAUUUUCCAAAAAUUUUAUGCUGAAAUCCAAACCUUGUUCAAUAUUUCUAUUCGUGUGUUGUGCAGUGACAAUGCCAGAGAAUAUUUUUCUGCACCAUUUACUUCAUUUAUGUCCCAACAUGGGAUCAUUCAUCAGUCUUCUUGUGCUCAUACUCCUCAACAAAAUCGGGUAGCUAAACGUAAGAAUCAACAUCUUGUUGAGACAGCUCGUACUCUCCUUCUCCAUAGUAAUGUUUCUUUUCGUUUUUUGGGGACGCUGUUCUUACAGCAUGUUAUUGGAUUAAUUGUAUGCCCUCAUCUGUAUUAUACGAUCAGAUUCCUCAUUCCCUUUUUUUCCCUGACCAACCACUUUAUUUCCUUCCUUCUCGUGUUUUUGGUUGUACUUGCUUUGUUCAUAUUCUUACUCCUGGACAGGACAAACUUUCUACUAAAGCUACAAAAUGCAUCUUCUUGGGAUAUUCUAGACUUCAAAAGGGUUAUCGUUGUUAUUCCUCUGAGACUCAUCGCUACUUUCUCUCCAUUGAUGUCACUUUCUUUAAGGACUCACCGUUCUUCUCCACCUCUGAGUCUCUUCCUGUUUUUGAAGUCUUACCCCUUCCCAUUAUCUCCCAACCUAAUGCAGUGCCUUCUCGCCCACUUCAGGUUUAUCAUCGCUAUCAUCGUGUCGUUAUUCCUCCUUCUUUGGCUGAGGUACCUGCUGACUCACUUCCUAUCCCUUCGGCUUCUCCUGCCUCGGUUCUGCCUCCUUUUGCUGACUUACCUAUUGCUCUUCGGAAAGGUAAUUGAUCUACUCGUAAUCCUCAUCUCAUUUACAAUUUUUUAAGUUACCAUUGAUUAUCUUCACCCUAUUCUGCAUUUGUUUCUGCUAUAUCUUUUGUUUCUCUUCCCAAUAACACCCUUGAGGCUCUUUCCCAUCCAGGCUGGCGACAGACAAUGGUAGAUGAAAUGGCUGCUUUACACUCCAAUGACACUUGGGAUCUUGUUGUUUUACCCUCUAGUAAAUCUACAGUUGGUUGUUGUUGGGUCUACACAGUUAAGGUUGGCCCUGAUGGUCAGGUUGAUCGCCUUAAGGCCCGCUUAGUUGCUAAAGGCUAUACUCAGGUUUAUGGUUCUGAUUAUGGUGACACUUUCUCUCCCAUUGCCAAGAUAGCUUUUGUUCAUCUAUUGCUCUCCAUGGCUGCUAUGCGUUCUUGGCCUCUUUAUUAGUUAGAUAUUAAAAAUGUUUUCCUUCAUGAGGAUCUUGUUGAGGAAGUUUAUAUGGAGCAACAACCUGGUUUUGUUGCUCAGGGGGAGUCUGGUUUAGUGUGCAGGUUACGUCGUUCUCUAUAUGGUUUGAAACAAUCUCCUCGAGCAUGGUUUAGCCUUUUUAGUUAUGUUGUUCAGGAGUUUGGCAUGUUCUGCAAUACAACAGACCAUUCCGUUUUCUAUCAUCAUAACUCUUCGGGGCAGUGUAUUCAUCUGGUAGUUUAUGUGGACGACAUCGUCAUUACAAGCAGUGAUCAGAAUGGUAUUCAGAAACUAAAGCAACACCUUUUCACCCACUUUCAGACUAAAGACUUGGGGAAACUCAAGUAUUUCUUAGGGAUUGAGAUAGCUCAAUCCAGUUCCGAUGUGGUUAUUUUCCAAAGGAAGUAUGCUUUAGACAUCUUGGAAGAAACUGGUAUGUUAGACUGUAAACCGGUAGACACUCCUAUGGAUCCAAAUGUCAAACUUAUACUAGGACAGGGGAAGCCUUUAGGAGAUCCUGGGAGAUAUCAGCGACUUGUAGGUAAACUGAACUACUUCACCAUUACUCGUCCAGACAUUUCUUUUCUUGUAAGUGUUGUUAGUCAAUUCCUACAGUCACCAUGUGAUAGCCAUUGGGAUGUUGUAAUCCACAUUCUUCGAUAUAUCAAAAGCACACCAGACUAAGGUGUGUUGUACGAGAACAGAGGUCAUACCUAGGUUGAUGGUUACACAGAUGCAAAUUAGGUUGGCUCACCCACAGAUAGACGUUCCACUUCCGGGUAUUGUGUUUUUAUUAGAGGUAACCUAAUAUCCUGGAAGAGUAAGAAACAAGAUGUAGUGGUCAGAUCUAGUGCUGAAGCCGAGUAUCGAGCUAUGGCUUUGGCAACAUGUGAACUCAUAUGGCUGAAACAUCUUCUUCGGGAGUUGAGAUUUGGAAAUGAUGAACAGAUGAAGCUUAUCUGUGAUAACCAAGCCGCUUUGCAUAUUGCAUCCAAUCCAGUCUUCCAUGAAAAGACCAAACACAUUGAAGUUGAUUGUCACUUCAUUAGAGAGAAGAUCACAUCAGGAUGUGUGGCGACUAGUUUUGUCAAUUCAAAUGAUCAACUAGCAGAUACUUUUACUAAAUCUCUCAGAGGUCUUAGAAUUAAAUACAUUUGUAACAAGCUUGGUGCAUAUAACAUAUAUGCUUAAGCUUAAGGGGAAGUGUUAAAUAGUGUACAGUUAUUUAGGUUAUUUACUUUUCCUUUUCCUUUUCUUUCCUUAUUGUAUUGUGGGUCCCACUAACAUGUAUAUAUAUAUAUACCCAAGUUCAAUGUGUAUUAUUAACAGUUUUUCAAUAAUAAGAAUUAGGGAUUCUCCAUUUUCUCUCUUUUCACAAGCCUAAACGCUGCAGUUGAAACUGUUGGCCUGAAAGCACAUAUGCAUUUGGAAUUCCGGAGGCUGUUGUAACUUGUUACAUGCAUUUGGCCUCCUUGAAAGGCUUGAAAUAUGCCAAUGGUUCUUUUACUGCUUGUCUUUCGCCUAUAUAACAAAUCUGUUUUCAUUGAUUAUUAUUAUUAUUAUUAUACUAUCAUAUUUUUUUUCUAAAUAUUAUUUUUUAUACACAUCCUUAAAAAUAUUUAAUUGUACACAACUUAUUUUUAUUAUAAUAUACAUUUUUUUUUCUAAAUUAAAUUUCUUAUUUCUCAAUAAAAUAAAUCUUUCAAUAGUAAUAAUCAUACAUCUACAUUUUUUUCAAACAAUCGUAUUUUUUUUUUCUAAAUUAAAUUUCUUAUUUCUCAAUAAAAUAAAUCUUUCAAUACUAAUAAUCAUACAUCUACAUUUUUACAAAUAUAAUUAAUUUUCAAAAAUCAAAAUUAUUAAUUCCAAUGGUAGGUAAGACUAACUUAACUUCCUUGAAAAAUUCUAUAUAAUAAAACUAAUGACGCAAAUUCAAUUCAUUUGUUUGACCAUUAAAAUUCUUUGAAUUUUUCCAAUUCUUUCACACGUGUUAUUAAUUUUGCAUUUUUUUGCCUUUUCAACCCUCACUUUGUUAGAAAUUUUUUCACAUUCAUGGUUUCCAUAUGGGAUAUUACAUGACCUUUCAGUUUUUGUGUUCUUUCAUUCGUGUAUUUUCAUUAAGACUUGCACCAGCCCAAUAAAUGAUAUAAGAGUUUUUGUUGGCGUAACAACCUCAACAUUGCCCUUUCAGGAUGUAGCGAAAAGACCUUUUAAAGGAUUUGUAUUUUAUCAUAAAAUAGAAAAGAAAAGAAAGAAGCACAACAGAAUUUUGACCCCUUUGAACCACUUGGCUCAUAUCUUAAAGUAAUUAAGAAGGGGGAGGAAAAUGGCUUACCAAUAAGUUUCCAUGAGGGCUUGAAUGAACAACUAAAAUAGAGAGAUGGUGGAAUAUAAAGAGGACUUUUCUAGCAAGUGCACCUGGCAAUAAUGGAGCUUAAAGCUUGAGAUCAGUGCUGGAUGCUCUCAAUCUUUUAGGGUGUGGUUCCUGAUCAUCUGCUUGGUUUUCCCCGGCAUCAUCAUGGCCUUUUUGAUGAUCCAACAACAUAGGCACAUUGUCAUGUAGAUAAUCAUGGGUGCAUAUCAGCUGAACCCCGCACCUCUUGAUAAUUUUAGCCUGAUCAUCAAACGCAGCCAGAAAGUGCCAUGGUUGUUUGCGGUGGUACUUAUUUGGAAUAGCAUUCUUAGGAUAGAGAGUCACCAACAAUCGAUCUGAUGCAUAACCAUUAAGGAUGUCGCAUGUACACAGAUAGCAAAUGUCGUGGUCAUCCACAACUUCAUCCGGAUCACCGCGCAAUCUCAGACUAAAUUGAGAUCCAUACAGAUAACGAUUCUCGUCACUAAAAAGAGUGAAGAGAGCAAAUCCCAGAAAGUGGUCAUCCUCGUACCAAUUCAGAGGAGGUUCUAUUCUUACUUGGCUUCCAAUCUCCUGAUGCAAUACCCACCCUGGAAUUCCACCAUUUCCUAGGAUAAGAAUCAUCUUGCCUUCCUUGCAAUUCAAGUGCUGCAUAUACAAUCAAAGCUAAUAUGUAAUUGGAGUACUACUGGGUGGAUGAAAAGUUUUAAGUGUCGUUAUUAAAUAAAAAUCGUACCUCAUUACUUGUUGGAUUGAACCAUUUGAGGAGGGAAGACCAGAGUAGAGAUGAUGGACUUGAUAACAUUUCCAGCUUCGUGCAAUGGUGGGCAUCUAUUUCUCGCAGACUCGAUGGAAGCUCUGGAAUGUCUUGGAGCAUCUUGCAGUGACUGAUAUCAAGGUAACGAAGCUUACAAAGUUGAGAGAUGCCAGAAGGUAUGCUAACCAUUAGAUUGCAGUGACUCAAAUUUAGUCGUUCUAAGGAGCAGAAGCCUUCCAGAUUCUUGGCAAACUUCUCCAAGUUUGAACAACAACCUCGUAGUGUCAGAUCUUCAAGGGAUCUCAAAUUAUAAAUGCUGUCUGUAAGAGUCACAAGGCAAUUGCUCAUAUCCAAACGCCUGAGGCUUUUCAGAUUUUGAAUUGAUGAUGGUAGCUCUUUUAUACCAGUUCCUCCUAACUCAAGAAAUUCUAAGUAUUUCAUAUCCUCCAUGAUUUCUGGAAAAGUAUCUAGAUUUGAACAAUCAUUGAGAGAGAGGAUCCCAAGGGACUUUAACCUGCAAAUGCUACUUGGAAGGCUCCUCAAGUUUUUGCAGUUUGACAAAUUUAAGCACUGAAGUUCAGUGAGAAGUUCUAUUGAGGAGGGUAAUUCCUUAAUACCACAUCCACGUAAGUGAAGAUAAGAUAAAGCUUUCAUAGGACUUCCCUUCAUCUCCGGAAAUUCCUCCAAGUUUGAGCAAAAAUCCAAGUCAAAAGUUUCAAGAGAGUCCAAGUAUUGAAUGCUACUUGGUAAACUCGUAAGGUUUUUGCACCCCCUCAAAUUCAACGUGGUAAGAUUCUUGAGAUCUCCAAUAGAUGGAUCAACAACAUUCAAACUCGUACAAUGUUCAAGUACUAACUCCUCUAGAUUUGGCAUAUUUGAGAACGAUAUUUCAGUGAGUUGCCUUGAUCUAGAUAAAUUUAAGAUCUUCAAUUGCUCCAAACACUGUGACAAAAGAAAUUUUGGUUUAGUAAAUGAAUUUUCGUGAAGAAAAAAUUAAUCUCAAACAAAAUAAUAUGAUCAUGAAAUACUAGAUAUACCUCAUUUCUUUGCCUUAGUUGUUUUAUGUUGCUAUCCUUCAUGUUGAGUUCAAUAAGGUUCACUCCAAGAAAAUUUGACGGCAAUGAUUUCAAAGGGUAUCCUUCCCAAUGAAGAUAUCUCAACUCAUGUGCAAGGAAUUGAAAAUCUUUAGGAAGAGUAACUUUCAAUUGCUUUUCCGUAGUACCACAAUAACCGCUUGAAUAAAUCUUGAGCAAUCUAAGUUGUUUCAUCUUUGCAAAAAUCUUUGUACUAAUUUGUAGUGGUGUCGAUCUCCACAAGUCCAAGAAUAUUGCCUCAACAUUUUUCAUCCCCUACAGAUAAUAACAAAGAAUUAGGCAAGCAUAAAAGAGAUAAAGCUAGCUAAAAUUUAAUGGAUAUGUAACUUAAACAAAAAUGAUAUUGCUCAAAUUUAAAUAUUUUUAUGAAGCUUAAGAAAGUUCAUGAGUUUGAUGGUUACCCCCAUUCUAAAUGCACGACACACAUCACUCGGAUCCCACAAUCUGCUCCAUUUUGUAGGAUCACCAGGAGAUUCACUACGAAUAAUGUUCCAUCCCAUUUCUUGUAUCAAAUCAUGCAUAAGUAUCUUGUUUUCAGAAAGAGAUAUAAGACACUUAUCACAGAGGCCUUUUAUUCCUCUCUCUGCAUACAAAUUACAACCGUCCAAUAUUCUUGAAACAAAGUCUUUGUCUUCCCCUUUAAAACAACAUGCAAUAUCAAGAAAUAUUUUCUUCUGUGUAUAAUCUAAUCCGUCAAAGCUUACUUUAAGCACAUUCUGAAUUUUCACUUCAGGUUCUCUUUCCAAUUUACACAAUUCACUUUCCCAUUGGAGUAUUGUCUUGUUAAACAAGAGAGAACCGAGGACUUUUAGAGCUAAAGGAAGGCCAUGACAAUAAUAGACUACACGAUCCGAGAGGUGGAUGAAGUCUUGUUUGGGAAGAUUCUGUCUAAAAGCAAAGAGACUAAAAAGCUCACGAGCUUGUUCAAAAUUUAAUUCCUCAACCUCAUAUAUGUCAUCCAUUUCAUGUAACAAAUGUGUAUUUCUAGUUGUUAUGAUGACUCUGCUUCCUCUUCCAAGCCAAUCACGAUUUCUGAGUAAAUAUUCCAAUUGAUCUGAAUCAUCAAUGUCAUCGAGAACAAUAAAAACUCUUUUACAUCGGAGAACAUUUUUUAUCAUAUUGGCUCCUUGGCUAACAUUGCUUACAUUUUGAUUUCUCUCCACUUGUAGUAGAUCACAUAGAAGUUGAUUUUGUAAAUGAUGCAAACCCAUAGUAUUGCCAACUUCUCUGACAUUUUCAAGAAAGCUCAUAUACUCAAAUUCAUGAGAAAAUGUAUUAUAUGCAAGUUUGGCGAUGGUCGUCUUACCCAUUCCGCCUAUUCCACAUAUACCAAUGAUACGGACAUCAUUCAAUUGAUCAACACAUAGCUUUCGAAUUAUCUCAUUUACAUGAGAAUCCAUACCAACCAAGUUGUCACCAACAUCCAACAUUCUACAAUUCAAUCUCCUGAAUAUAUCGUUGACGAUUUCGUUAACAUGCUCGGACUCAUACCUGUCAAUUGUAAAGUACAUGUGAUGAUUAAUUAAGUUAUAGCUAAUAAAAAAAAUAUAAAAAAGAUUAUACGUUAAGCUUCUUCAUGAGAAAUGAAUCAUAGUGAAAAAAAACAUAUCAAAAGUAUUAAGUUUUAAAACUUAAAUUACGUUUUUAGGACAUUUUCAUUGUAUCAAGUAUACAAGACAAUGAAAAUAAAAUAUGUAUUUGUUUAAUUUAUUUGCUUGUGAGACAUUGUCAAAUUGAUUUUUUUUUUUUUGGGAACAUUUAUAGGCUGCUAAGCAUGGAGCAAAUUUAUAUCAAACAAAAUCAUAUUGUAAUGACCCACUCUCUUGUGCAUAUGUAAAUAUCAUUUGCAGCUCUCUCUCUCUCUCUCUCUCUCUCUCUGUGUUAUGUGUAACAUUAUAAUUAUCCAAUCCCCUAUCCACAACGUAGACACAAGGUCUUCAUCAUGUCUCAUAAUAUCAUGGGUUUGCAGGUCUUCAGCGACUUUCUUGAUAUACUUUGAAUAUUUCAUGACUUGCAAUAAUCAUAAAUGACCUCCAAAUCUCUUCAACUAUUACUCUAUAAUCAUAAAAAUGUCUGAUUCCUGUGCCAGUAAAUAAAGCCUACUUAUAAAUGAAAGUUGAAGGGUAAUUAAUAAAGCGUUACCCAUCCUUCACAUGCUCUCCAGAUGUAUUUGCUGCUUCUGUCAAUGCACUCCUCCAACUUCGCACCUUCUCUUUCAUCUCUUCUGUAUCUUCUUUGUAAUAAGAAAAUGCCUCUCCAAAUCUUCCUGUCUGGUUUCGUACAUGGGAUGGAUCCACAUGGUAGAAAAUCGGUACCACAGUUUGUUUCAUUUCUUUCUUGCACUCCAUGAUCUUCACCAGCUCAUCUAAGCACCAUCUAGAACCAGCAUAGUUUUCCGAGAAAACUAUUAGGGAAAACCUUGAUUCUUCAAUAGCUUUUAGGAGUUCAGGUGCAAUCUCUUCUCCUCUCUUAAGUGAAUCAUCAUCUCUAAAGGUAUGAAUACCUCUUCGAAUCAAAUUUGCAUACAAGUGAUCUGUGAAAUUGAAUCGGGUGUCUUCACCUCUGAAACUCAAGAAAACAUCAUACUUCCAUUGUGGGAUGAAAGUAGAAAUAGAAGUAGAAGUAGAACUUGUGGAAGCCAUAGGAAACUUUUGCCAAAAUUAGAACUCAGAAGAGAUUUUGCAGAAUUGUGAAUGUAGAUUGUGCUGUUUUUUUUGCAAGAAUUUGGUGAUGAAAGACUUUGGGUCAAUGUUUCUGAGGAGGACACUGAGUACGGGGGCACUGAGUACGACUUUCUGAGGAGGACAGAUUUGAGUGUGAUUCAGUCCACCACGUGGAGCACUACAACUGUUCAUCGGUGACAGGGGGUUUUAAAAAGCAGCGCCUCAUAAAAAUCUCCUCCAACCAUUGCGAGUCUGUUUAAAUCCUCGUCUACUCGCUCUCUUCUUCUGCCACCUUUCUAAAUUAUUCUCAUCUCUAUUAAGUUAUGUUGGAUUUUCGUGUAAAGUAGUAAGAAGGAAAAAUAAAAAUAAAAGGUACCAUAAAUAUAUGAAAAGUAUCAAAUAUAUUUAAAAUUUAUCAAAAUUUUAUAUAUUUUAAAAUUAUUUAAUCUAUAUAUAAUAAAAAAAUUAAAUAAAAUAGAUUUUAAAAAAUAUAUAAAAAUAAUUUAUUAACUUAUAUGUAUUUUAUAUUCUCUUUCACUCUUUUUUUUUUUCUUAUUUUUUUGGAAUCUAACAGGGUCUCAAAUUUUUUUUUAAAGGGUUAAUUUCAUUAAUUUCCCUCAAAUUGUAGCUAAAUAUAUUUAUCUCCUAUAGUUUUAAAAUUUUAUUAUAUACCUUUCUUAUUUUGAUUAAAAAAAUAUGAGUAAAAAAUAAAAAAAAUAAAAAUUAUAAAAGAGAUAUUGAAUGAAAUUUCAAAUUUAAAAAAGUUAGACAUAUUUAGUCAAAGAGGUGAAUGAAAUUAAUAUUUUUUUUUAAUUAAAAAUAUUUGUACAUGAUAAGAAGAUCCCAAAUUAACGUAAUGAGACUCUUUUGCUUUCUCUAGAAUUACUAAAAUUAAGUGAUCAAGAAUUCCAACAUAUGAAACAGUGAGCACGCGCUGCCUGCAGAGGGGAUCACAAAGAUGGAGCAUCUUACUUAGGGUGAUGUCAGUGCCAGCUGGAAGGGUGGUGGUUGAAGAAUGAAUUAUUAUAGAGUGAGGGGGGUUCUUCGUUGGUACCCAUUCUCUCUUCAUUUUGGGUAACUACCCAUUUGACCCCAAUAAUAAAAUGAAAUAUGCAAAAUAUAUUUCAUUAAAAAAUUUAUAAAAAUUUAUCAACUCGAUAAAGAUGGUUUAUUGAUAAAACAUAAUCACAUGCAUUUCAUAUAUAUCUAAUUUAUUUAUUAAAGAUGACUUAUUGAUAAGAAAGAUGACUUAUUAGUAAAGUACUCAUAUUAAUUUGUUUGUUAAAAUUAAAACAACUUCAAUAUAUAUAAUAUUAAUUUUUUUAUUAUUUUUGGAGGUUUUGUUUUUUCAAUAUUUCUAUGAUGCUUGAAAUCAGGUUGUCAAUAUAUCUGUUAUAAUCGAUAUUUUCAUCCUUAGUUUAUUAUGAGUUCAGAAACAUGCGAUAUCAACCUAAUAUAAAAAAAUUGCAUUUGAAAGUGGUCUUUUGAAUAUGCUUCCGACCUAAUAUUCAACACCAAUAAUUGGACUUUUGAGUUAUGGUUAUUCUUCUAACCUAAUGUUGAAUUUCAACAACAAAAAACUUUGAUAAGUUGUUAGCAAUAUUUUUAGAAUCAAAUUGAGUAUUAAACCGAAAAUAUUGUUGAUUUACAGUUCAUUGAUCGAAUCGGUGGUCGAAUUAUGAUCAAAUCAAUGACAACAUAAAUAUAUAAUUUAUAUUUUAAUAAAAUUUAAAAUAAUUAUAAUAAAUUAAUAUGUAUAUAUAUAUAUUAUUAAAAUUUUUAAUAAUAUAUAUCGGAAAGCUCCUUUUAUUAUUAUCAAAGAUCCCAUAUCGGAAACCUAUAAACCAUUUAUGUGGUAUCUAUAUCUGCAAACCUUGGGAAUGAGCAAACGGGGCUGGGAGUGAAGGGAUCUGGGCCAGCAGAUGGGCAUCUCUACCUAUGCUUAAUAAAGGUUUUCUGCCUGAAGUAAAUGGGCUGGGAAUGGAUGAAUCUGGGCCGCUAGAUGAGUAAAAACCCAUUUAGUAAAAGAUGGAUACAGUAAAAGGACUAAAACAUAUAUUAUUUUAUACAAUGGGUUAAGGAAAUAUAAAAUUUUCUUGAAAGAAGGAAACAAUUAAUAUAUUUGGAAAACUCCAUAGUAAAUCAUAUAUUAUUCCAUACAAAAUUAAUUAUUUUUUAAAAAAUUCAUGGUAAAUCAAUGUUUAAUUUUUAUUUUUUUUUAUGUAAGUAUUAUGUUAAGGAGCCUAUUUAUUUUUAGAAUUUUUGUAUAUAAUUAAUUAAUGCGAUUAGUGCUAAAUUAUUGUGGAUGCAAUUUAGGAAAGCUGUAGGCCCUAAUUGUUUGACUCUUUAUAGCUUACAAUUAAUUAAUUAUUUUGAAAAUUUUUAUUUAAAAUUGUUGGAUUAAUAUUGUAUAAUAUAUAUUGUCGUGAUAUCGCAAUAUAUUAAUUAUUAAAAUAUAAUCUUAGUUUACUUUGAUUUUGUUAAUGUAAUAAAUGGAUAGACCACAUUAAUUCAAUGAUGUUAUUUUAAUAGUCAAAACAUAGGAAAUAUAAUCUUAAUUUAAAACAUUAAUGUACAUAUUUUUCUAAAUAAUGUAUAAUGAAAUUCUUCUUCUUAACAAUAAAUUUAUUUUCUGAUACACUUAUUUUUCUAGGAAAUGUACUUUUUUUCAAAAUGUAAUUGUUUUUUGGAAGGAUGUAAUUAUUUAUAUUAUUACAAAUAAGUGAAAGUUUAUAAACAAUUUAUGGUAAAAAAAAUUAAUGUAUAUAUAAUGUAGUUUUUUUAAAGAAAAAUAAUUAAUUUUCAAAAGGAUCUACUUAUUUUUAUAAGAGAUGUUUUUAAUUUUAUUUUUUAUAAUAUACUUAUUUUAUGAUGAAGGAUGUAUUUGUUUAUAUUGAUACAAAUAAUUGAAAGUUCAUUAGUUCUUUUAUGAUAAACCUUUUAUAUAUAUAUAUAUAAUUUAUUCAUUUUUCAUACUUAUUUUUUUAAAGAAUAUACUUAAAGGAUCCAAAAUGAAAGACGAAGCAAAUGAAAGUGUUUCGGCUGGUCUCUCCUACAGCAUUGAAAUCAAGGAUGCUUACAUUCCACCGUGGAUAAUAUCCAGUAUAUGAGUAACCAUGGGUUCGGAAGGGAGGAGCUUUGAGGCAAGGUAUGACAAAUUUUGGAUAUUACAUGACCUUUCAGUUUUCCUUGCUUAGAUAUGUAUGGAGUUGUCAUGUCUCAUUCUACAUCAAAGGAUGCUAGUUACGAAUACAUCAUGCUGAAGAAUUAGUACACCCUGUUAAAAAAUAAGCGCAUCGGAUCAACAUCAAGGUGGGGAUCACUCUACUAAAUGGUGGCAAGUCUGGCUUCAAGAAUGGCAGUGCAGUGGUUCUCAUGGUGGUUAGAAGGGCAGCAGGGUGCUCCAGAGUCCAGCCAUGGUGGUGCUAAGUCAACAUUGAUUCUUCAGUUGUUGUAACCUGUACAUAGAAUGAUGGUUUUGGAUUGCCUCAAGAUUUUACUAAGAAGAAGAAGAAGCAGAAGAUAAGACAUUGAAGGUACAGUAAAGAAUUUAAGCAACAACUCCAAUCCCUUUGUUAUAUAGACUUGAAGGAGAAAUGAAGAUGACUUACAAUUACAACUGUAAGGAAACCCUGCAUUUGAAGACAUCCUUCCUAGGUAGAGCUUUUAAAUGAUUAAAAACAUGAACAACUCUAUGCUUGAAAUAUGCAAAUCAAAAUCAACAAUAAAUAGAAAUAAGAAGCUGAAAAAACUGUCACGUGAUGCUAUUGUCAUUCUAGGAACAAAUCCCUCACUUUAAGACUCUUUUACUUUUAGAAUAUUCCACCAUCAACCCAUGAUCAGCCAUAUUUCCAUAAGGAUUCAUAUUAAUUUAAGAUGGAUUUAUUAUAGAACUAAAAUGAGAAUACAUUUUAAAAUGUUUAUUGGGAGUAAUUCAAUUAUAUUUCAAUAUAUAUUUGAAAAAUAACACUACUAAGAAAUUUAAGAUACUUGCCAUAAUUGAUGAUAAAAAUAUGAAAAUAAUUUUAGACAAAAGUUUUGAUCUAGAAAAAUCAACAAUUUUAAUUUUGUUGUUGUCCUAUAUAUAGUAGCUUGAGAUAUAUACUUCACUCCGAAUGCAUUCCAAAUUUGAGUUAUAGAUGGAUAUGUUCUUCACUAUUUAAGUUUAAUCGAUAAUUUGUUCCAAAUAUGAAUUUCUGAAACUAAGUGUUUAGCUAAUCUAAAAGAAACAAAGUCAAGUUUUAGGCAUUAGGGUUCGGAUUUCCAAACUCAAUAAAGUUAUAAAAUGGCUAAUAUUUAAGGUGAACCAUGUUGAAAAUUAAGUGUCUCAAAUUCCUAAUUUUGAUGUAUUCUUUUUUGUAGAAAUGAUAUUAUAUAGAGAAUUUUCAAAGUUCAUAUGUGAUUGUAAUUAAAUUCUUUAUAGAAUAAAAAACUUAGUAAGAAUAUCUCUCUAAAUAUUCUACGUCAUGAGAGGAAAAAUGUUAUAAUAUAAGAUAGAGAUAGAGAUAAGAAGAAAAGUAAGAGAUAUUUGAUGGAGUAAGAAUGCUUACAACUGAAGUUAAAGACAUAAAGACUAGGAAAACGAUGGAUGUUUAGGGACCCAAAAGUUGUUUAUGUUUUGUUAUCUGUAAUAUUUUUUUAUUAUAUAGUGAAAUGUUAUCUCUUAUUUGUAGGUGUAGACAUACAUGUUGACUAAACCAUGCAUUUUAAAGCUUUGACACCUUUAUAUGUGGAUUAUCUUUACUUUAUGUGUUCUUUCAUUCAUAUAUUUACAUUGAAACUUUUGCUAGCCCAAUAAAUGGUAUUAGAGCUUUUGUUGGCCUAACAAACUUAAUGUUGUCCUUUCAAGAUGUAAUGAAAAGGCCUUUUAAAGGAUUUGUAUUUUAUCAUAAAAUAGAAAAGAAAGAAAAAAAACAUUAGAGAAUUUCGACUCCUUCUAACCACUUGGCAAUAUAUUUAUCUUAUAUUGAAGAUAAAUAACUAGUCCAAAUUUUAUGGUGUUAUAUAGUCCACACAUAGAUUAAAGUAAUUAAGGAGGAAGAUGGCUUACCAGUAAGUUUCCAUGAGGGCUUGAAUGAACAAAUAAAAUAGAGAGAUGGUGGAAUAUAAGGACUUAGCUAGCAAGCGCACCUGGCAAUGGAGCUUAAAGCUUGAGAUCAGUGCUGGAUGCUCUCAAUCUUUUACGGCAAGGUUCCCGAUCAUCUGCUUGGUUUUUCCCGGCAUCAUCAUGGCCUCUUUGAUGAUCCAACAACAUAGGCACACUGCUGUUUAGAGAAUCACGGGUGUACAUCAGCUGAACCCCGCACCUCUUGAUAUUGGGAUGAGUAACCUCACCAUUAAUCCGGGUAGAAAAAUCAAACGCAGCCAGAAAGUGCCAUGGUUGAUUGCGGUGGUACUUAUUUGGAAUAGCAUUCUUAGGAUAGAGAGUCACCCACAAUUCAUCUGAUACAUCACCAUUAAUCUCGUGACAUUUACACAAAGAAUCCAUGGAGAGGUGAUCCACAACUUCAUCCGAAUCACCGUGCAAUGUCAGAUCAAAAUAAUAUGGAACCUCAAAAUGAUUCCCUUUAUGAUAAAGAAAGAAGAAAGCCAAUCCCAGAAAGUGGUCAUCCUCGUACCAAUUCAAAGGAAGCUCUAUUCUUACUUGGCUUCCAAUCUCCUGAUGCAACACCCACCCUGGAAUUCCACCGUUUCCCGGAAUAAUAAUUACCUUGCCUUUCUUCCAAUUCCGAUUCAUGUACUGCAUAUACAAUCAAAGCUAAUAUGUAAUUGGAGUACUACUAGGUGGAUGAAAAGUUUUAAGUGUCGUUAUUAAAUAAAAAUCAUACCUCAUUACUUGUUGGAUUGAACCGUUUGAACCAUUUGAGGAAAGGACAGAGUAGAGAUGAUGGACUUGAUAACAUUUCCAGCUUCGUGCAGCCGUGGGCAUCUAUUUGUGGUAGACUUGAUGAAAGCUCUGGAAUUUCUUGGAGCAUCUUGCAGUGACUGAUAUCAAGGAGACGAAGUCUACAAAGUUGAGUGAUGCCAGAUGGUAUGCUAACCAUAUGGUUUCCACUUAGAUUUAAUGUACACAAGGAAUAUAGACCCCAGAUAUCAGUGGGUAUCGACCCUUCCAUUAGAUUGCAGUGACUCAAAUCUAGUUCUACUAAGGUGCAUAAGCCUUCCAGAUUCUUGGGAAACUUCUCCAAGUUUGAACAACCAGGGAGUAUCAAUCGUUUAAGACAUCUCAAAUCAUUAAUGCUGUCUGGAAUAGUCACAAGGUUCUUGCAAUUGCUCAAAUACAACAUUUGGAGGCUUUUCAGAUUUUGAAUUGAUGAUGGCAGUUCUUUUAUAGCUGUUCCUUCCAAACCAAGCACCUCUAAGUAUUUCAUACCCUCCAUGAUUUCGGGAAAGUUCCGUAGGCUUGAGCACCCAUUGAGAAAGAGUCGGCGAAAAGAUUUAAACCUACGAAUGCUGCUUAGAAGACUCCUCAAGUUCUUGAAAUCACUCAAAAACAAUGAAUUAAUAUUAAGAAGAUGUUCCAUUGAUGAUGGUAGCUCUUUUAUACCUGUUCUUGAAUCAAGAAAUUCUUUCAUAUCCUCCAUGAUUUCUGGAAAAGCAUCUGGAUUUGAACAAACAAAGAGUAGGAGGUCUUCAAGGAGAUAUUUUAUUGCGGAGGGUAAUUCCUUAAUAGCAGAUCGAUCAAAGUGAAGAUAAGUUAAAGCUUCCAUAGAACUCUCCUCUAUCUCCAGAAAUUUCUCCAAGUUUGAGCAAUUAUUCAAGUAAAUAGUUUCAAGAGAGUCCAAGUAUUGAAUGCUACUUGGUAAGCUCGUAAGGUUUUCACACCCACUCAAACUCAACAAAGUUAGCUUCUUGAGAACUCCAAUAGAUGGAUCAACGAUAUUCAAACUUGUACAAUAUCCAAGUUCUAACUCCCCUAGAUUUGGCAUAUUUGAAAAGUUUGAUAUUUCAGUGAGCUGCUUUGAUCCUAGUAAAUUUAAGAACUUUAACUUUCCCAAACACUGUGACAAAAGGAAUUUUGAUUUAGUACAAAAUGAAUUUUCAUGAACAAAAAAUUAAUCUCAAACAAAAUAAUAUGAUGAAAUACUAAUUAUACCUUAUUUCCUUGCCAAAGUUGUUUUAUUUUGCUAUCCAUCAUGUUGAGUACAACAAGGUUCUCUCCAUGAAAAUUUGACGGCAAUGAUUUCAAAGGGUAUCCUUUCCAAUGAAGAUAUCUCAACUCUUGUGAAGGAAAUUGAAAAUCUUCAGGAAGAAUAAUUUUAUACUCCUUUUUCAUGAAACCACAACAAUCCAUCCCAUAAAUCUUGAGCAAUCUAAGUCGUUUCAUCUUUGCAAAAACCUUUGUACUAAAUUGUAGUUGUUUUGAUCUAGACAAGUUUAAGAAUAUGGCCUCAACAUUUUUCAUCCCCUACAAACAAUAACACAGGAUUAGGCAAACAUAAAAAAGAUAAAGCUAGCUAAAAUUGUAUGGAUAUGUAACUUAGACAAAAAUGAUAUUGCUCACAUUUACGUAUUUUAAUGAAGCUUAAGAAAGUUCAUGAGUUUGAUGGUUACCUUCUUCAUUGUAAAUGCACGAUACACAUCACUCGGAUCCCACAAUCUGCUCCAUUUUCCAGGAUUAUCAGGAAAUUCACUACGAAUAAUGUUCCAUCCCAUUUCUUGUACCAAAUCAUGCAUAAGUAUCUUAUUUUCAGAAAGAGAUAUAAGACACUUAUCAUAGAGGACUUUUAUUCCUAUCUCUGCAUACAAAUCACAACUAUCCAAUAUCCUUGAAACAAAGUCUUUGUCUUCCCCUUUAAAAAAACAUGCAAUAUCAAGAAAUAUUUUCUUCUGUGUAUGAUCUAAUCCGUCAAAGCUUACUUUAAGCACAUUUUGAAUUUUCACUUCAGGUUCUCUUUCCAAUUUACACAAUUCACUUUCCCAUUGGAGUAUUGUCUUGUUAAACAAGAGAGAACCGAGGACUUUUAGAGCUAAAGGAAGGCCAUGACAAUAAUAGAUUACACGAUUCGAGAGGUGGAUAAAGUCUUGUUUAGGAAGAUUUUGUCUAAAAGCAUAGAGACUAAAAAGCUCACGAGCUUGUUCAAAAUUUAAUUCCUCAACCUCAUAUACGUCAUCCAUUUCUUGUAACAAAUGUUUACUUCUAGUUGUUAUGAUGACUCUGCUUCCUCUUCCAAGCCAAUCACGAUUUCUGAGUAAAUAUUCUAAUUGAUCUGAAUCAUCAAUGUCAUCAAGAACAAUAAAAACUCUUUUAAAUCGGAGAACAUUUUUUAUCAUAUUGGCUCCUUGGCCAACAUUGCUUACAUUUUGAUUUCUCUCCACUUGUAGUAGAUCACAAAGAAGUUGAUUUUGUAAAUGAUGCAAACCCAUAGUAUUGCCAACUUCUCUAACAUUUUCAAGAAAGCUCAUAUACUCAAAUUCAUGAGAAAAUUUAUUAUAUAUAACUUUGGCGAUACUCGUCUUACCCAUUCCACCUAUUCCACAUAUACCAAUUAUACGAACAUCAUUCAAUUGAUCAACACAUAGCUGCCGAAUUAUCUCAUUUACAUGGGAAUCCAUACCAACCAAGUUGGCACCAACAUCAAACAUUCUACAAUUCAAUCUCAUGAAUAUGUUGUUGACGAUUUUCUUAAUAUGCUCAGACUCGUACCUGCUAAUUGUAAAGUACAUGUGAUGAUUAAUUAGGCUAUAGCUGAUUAAAAAACAAAUACAUGUUAAGCUUCUUCAUGAAAAAUGAGUUAUAGUAAAAAAAAAUUAUAUCAAAAGUAUUAAGUUUUAGAACUCAAAUUACAUUUUUAGGACAUUUUUAUUGUAUCAAGUAUACAAGACAAUGAAAAUAAAAUAUGUAGUGAGACAUUGUCAAAUUGAUUUUUUUUUUUGGGAACAUUUAUAGGCUGCUAAGCAUGGAGCAAAUUUAUAUCAAACAAAAUCAUAUUGUAAUGACCCACUCUCUUGUGCAUAUAUAGAUAUCAUUUGCAGCUCUCUCUCUCUCUCUAUGUUAUAUGUAACAUUAUAAUUACCCAAUCCCCUAUUCACAAUGGAGACACAAGGUCCUAAUCAUAUCUCAUAAUAUCAUGGGUUUGCAGGUCUUCAGUGACUUUCUUGAUAUACUUUGAUUCAUGAGUUGCAAUCAUAAAUGACCUUCAAAUCUAUUCAAGUAUUACACUGUAAUUAUAAAAAUGCCUGAUUCCUGUAGCAGUAAAUAAAACCUAACUUAUAAAAGAAAGUUGAAUGGAAAUUAAUAAAGCUUUACCCAUCCUUCACAUGCUCUCCAGAUAUAUUGGUUGCUUCUGUCAAUGCGCUCCUCCAACUUUGCACCUUCUCUUUCAUCUCUUCUGAAUCUUCUUUGUAAUUAGAAAAUGCCUCUCCAAACUUUCCUGUCUGGUUUCGUACAUGGGAUGGAUCCACAUGGUAGAAAAUCGGUACCACAGUUUGUUUCAUUUCUUUCCUGCACUUCAUGAUACUCACCAGCUCAUCUAAACACCAUCUGGAACCAGCAUAGUUUUCCGAGAAAACUAUUAGGGCAAACCUUGAUUCUUCAAUAGCUUUUAGGAGUUCAGGCGCAAUCUCUUCCCCUCUCUUAAGUGAUUCAUCAUCUCUAAAGGUAGUAAUACCUCUUCGAAACAAAUUUGCAUACAAGUGAUCAGUGAAAUUGAAUCAGGUGUCUUCACCUCUAAAACUCAAGAAAACAUCAUACUUCCAUUGUGGGAUGAAAAUAGAAAUAGAAUUUGUGGAAGCCAUAGGAAACUUUGCCAAAAUUAGAACUCAGAAGAGAUUUUGCAGAAUUGUGAAUGUAGAUUGUGCUGUUUUUUAGCAAAAAUUUGGUGAUGAAAGACUUUGGGUCAAUGUUGUGUACAGAGAAAAAAAAAAGAGUGGGUAGCGCCCCAUAAAAAUCUCCUCCAACCAUUGCGAGUCUGUUUAAAUCCUCAUCUACUCGCUCUCUUCUUCUGCCACCUUUCUAAAUUAUCCUCAUCUCUAUUAAGUUAUGUUGGAUUUUCGUGUAAAGUAGUAGGAAGGAAAAAUAAAAGUAAAAGGUACCAUAAAAAUAUGAAAAGUAUCAAAUAUAUUUAAAAUUUAUAAAAAAUUUAUAUAUUUUAAAAUUAUUUAAUCUUUAUAUAAUAAAAAAAUAAAAUAAAUUUUUAAAAAUAUAUAAAAAUAAUUUAUUAACUUUAUAUUUAUUUUAUAAUUUCUUUCACUCUUUUUUUCUUCUUUCAUAUUUUGCCUUUAAAUUUUUUGGAAUAAAAAAGGGUCUUAAAAUUUUUUUAAAAGGGUUAAUUUCAUUAAUUUCCCUCAAAUUGUAACUAAAUACAUUUAUCUCCUAUAGUUUUGAAAUUUCAUUAUAUACCUUUCUUAUUUUGGUUAAAAAAAUGAGUAAAUAAAAAAAUAAAAAUUAUAAAAGAGAUAUUUAAUGAAAUUUUAAAUUUAAAAAAGUUAGAUAUAUUUAGUUAAAGAGGUGAAUGAAAUUAAUAUUUUUUUUGAAUUAAGAAGAUCCCAAAUUAAGAUAGUUGCAUAAUUAGACUCUUUUGCUAUUAUUUGUUUUUAAAAACUAGCAAAGUUAUUAAAAUAAUUUCAUAAAUAUUUAAUUAUUUUUUGCUUUCUCUAGAAUUACUAAAAUUAAGUGAUAAAAAAUUCCAACAUAUGAAACAGUGAGCACGCGCUGCUGCAGAUGGGAUCACGGAGAUGGAGCAUCUUACUUAGGGUGAUGUCAGUGGCAGCUGGAAGGGUGGUGGUUGAAGAAUGGAUUAUUAUAGAGUGAGACUUGUAGGAAUGGUGAAUGGGAACAAAAUUUGUUGUCUACUUCAAUUUGCUAUACCUUUGUUUAUCUUAUUCAUAUUUUAUGUGAUUUUUCUCCACUCACACCUCACCAUGCGUUCAAACAUACGACUCUUGAGGAUGCUAUGGGAUUUCUCAAAUGACGGGCACUUCCUUAAAUUUACAAAAUAACAUAUGACUCCCUAAUUCUCUGGGCACUUGCCUCAUAAAUAUGGCAAUGUUUCCUCUUCCAUGUUCAUUUUUAAAGCUAACUAGAAAAAUAACAUAACUUGCUAGGGAAGGGGCUUGGAACCAGAGACAUUGAGCAAGGGAUGACAGCCUCUUACCACCAAACUACUUGGGUAUUAUAAAACCACAUAAAUUCUAUUAUAUCUUUUAUAUUUUAUAAAUUAUAAAUUAAUUCAAAUCAAAUUAUUUUAAAUUAAUUAAUUUUAAUUAUUUUAUUAUUUAUGUUAUAAAAUAAUUAAAUAUAAGGCAAAUAUUAAUUUUUAAAUAAAAUUAUUGAUAUUUUUAAAUAAAAAAAACUUACAUAUAUUAUUAUUUAUUUUAUAUCCUUCAAUAUAUAUUAAUUUGUUUGUUAAAAUUAAAACAACUUCAAUAUAUAUAUUAUUAAUUUUUCUAUCAUUUUUGGAGGUUUUUUUUUUUUUUUAAUAUUUCUAUGAUACUUAAAAUCAGGUUGUCAAUAUAUUUGUUAUAAUCGAUAUUUUCAUCCUUAGUUUUUGAUGAGUUCAGAAACAUACGAUAUCAACCUAAUAUAAAAAAAAAAUUGCAUUUGAAUGUGGUUUUGUGACUAUGCUUCGGACCUGAUAUUCAACAUCAAUAAUUGGACUUUUGGGUUAUGAUUAUUCUUUUAACCUAAUAUGGAAUUUCAACAACAAAAAACUUUGAUAAGUUGUUAGUAAUAUUUUUUUAAUCAAAUCGAACAUUAAACCAAAAACAUUAUUGGUUUACAGUUCAUUGGUUGGAUUGGUGGUCAAAACUAUAAUCAAACUAAUGACAUCAUAAAUAUAUAAUUUAUAUUUUAAUAAAAUUUAAAAUAAUUAUAAUAAAUUAAUAUAUAUAUAUAUUAUUAAAAUUUUUAAUAAUAAUUUAUUUUUUAUGUGAAAUUAAAUAAUAAAUAUAAAUAUAAAUGUACCAAUAUAUUAAAAUUUAUUAAAUAGAAUAUGUAUAAUAUUUAAAUAUGAAAGUAUAUAUAAGAUGAAAAGAAAAUUAUAAUAUUUAAUUUAAUUAUAUAUCUAUGUAUUUUGUUAUUUUAAAAUUAUUAUAUUGAUUAAUUUAUAUUGUUUGAAUGUUUAUAAUUAAUAAUUAUUAUAAAAAUAAUAAUAGAUAAAAAUAUUUAUAUUUGUUUAAAUGUUUUAUAUGAUAAAAAUUUUAAGAACAGAUAAAUAGAUAUUUACCAAAUUAUUAAUCAAACAACUGCGUAGCAUGGUGCUGUGUCCUUCAUUUUGUUUAACCAUAAGUCACACGUUCAAUUCCCCACCAUGCAAAGCUCCUUUUAUUAUUAUCAAAGAUCCCAUAUCGGAAACCUAUAAACCACUUAUGGGUAUCUAUAUCUGCAAACCUUGGGAAUGAGCUAACGGGGCUGGGAGUGAAGGGAUCUGGGCCAGCAGAUGGGCAUCUCUACCUAUGCCUAAAGGUCUUCUGCCUGAAGUAAAUGGGAUGGGAAUGGAUGAAUCUGGCCCGGUAGAUGAGUAAAAACCCACUUAGGUUUUGACCUUGACCGGCCCGUGAAUAACCGAACGGUCCAGUCCGGUUUUUAAAACAAUGGUUGUUAGUGUUGGAUUUCUCAUUGUCUCAUCUUAUUUUUGUGUUUACAAAUCAAUAAAGGAAAUUUUUUAGCAAAAUCAAUUUUUAGUUGAAAAAUAUGUAACAUAUGAUACGGAACACAAUUAGAUUAUCAAGGAUUUGAUCGGCCCGUAAAAAAUCGAUCCAGUCUGAUUUUUAAAACAAUGGGUGUUAGUGUUGGAUUUCACAUUGUCUCAUCUUAUUUUUGUGUUUACAAAUCAGUAUCUAAUAUUUGAUUAUGAAAGGAAAGGAAAUUUUUUAGCAAAAUCAAAUUUUAGUUGAAAAAUAUGUAACAUAUGAUAUGGAACACAAUUAGACUAUCAAGGGAUGUCUAUUCAUAGAUACAUUUGUCCCAAAUUAUCAAAGAUUAAUAGUUUUUUAAUCCAAUAUUUGAAAUGUAGGGUAAGUAGACAACUAAAAAGCUAGAGUUGAGUAUAAUUCUUUUGAAAGAAAGAAUUUGAGCAUUUCAUACAAUAGUCCUUUUUUCACAAGACAAUAACAUUAGAAGAAUAUUGUGAAUUUAGUAAAAGAUGGAUAUAGUAAAACUACUAAAAUAUAUAUUAUUUUAUACAAUGGUUGAAGGAAAAAUAAAAUUUUCUUGAAAGAAGGAAACAAUUAAAAUAUUUGGAAAACUCCAUAGUAAAUCACAUAUUAUUCCAUACAAAAUUAAUUAUUUUUUCAAAAAUUCAUGGUAAAUUUUCUGUAAUCAAACAUAGUGUUAAUUUUUUUGUUAAAGGGUUAAUUUCAUUAAUUUCCAUCAAAUUGUAGCUAAAUAUAUUUAUCUCUUAUAGUUUUGAAAUUUCAGUAAUUUCUUAUUUUGGUUAAAAGAAAAGAUGAGUAAAAAUAAAAAUAAAAAAAAUUAUAAAAGAGAUAUUAAAUGAAAUUUUAAAUUUAGAAAAGUUAAAGAUAUUUAGACAAAGGAGGUGAAUGAAAUUAAUUUUUUUUUGAAUUAAAAAUAUUUUGUUUAUGAUAAGAAGAUCCCAAAUUAACAUAGUUGCAUAAUGAGACUCUUUUGUUAUUAUUUGUUUUUAAAAAUUAGCAAAGUUAUUAAAAUAAUUUCAUGACAUGAGGGCAAAUAUUUAAUUAUAAUCAUAGUUCAAUUUAAAUAAAAUUCUCUAAAUAAAAAAAAUAAAAAAAUAAAAAUUCUUUUCACUAACUCAUAAAUGCCAUUAUGGUCUAAUUUCAUAUUAUCAUCAAAGUCUCCAUCCCAAGUCUCAAACAAAAAUUCCUAUAGUUCAUUCACAACCAACUAGAGUCAAACUAUAUAUACUUAAAUUCACUAAAUUAGUAUAAGUUCAAAGGUUUAACAAAAGUGAUUGUUAAAAUUUUUAAGUAGCUCAUUAACCUCCUAGGACAUUUCAGAACCCUCCGUGAUGCCCCUAUAAGUUUUCAAGAAUAAUAUCUACAUCUAAAAUAUUUUUAUAAGAAAAAAGUGAGCAUUUUCCCAUUUUAAAUCACCCCUAUAAGUUUUCAAGAAUAAUAUUUACAUCUAAAAUAUUUUUACAAGAAAAAAGUGAGCAUUUUCCCGUUUUAAAAUAGUGUCUUAAAUACCAAAUGGUUAGUGGGUAAUCAUUAAGGGUUAAGUACAUUAAAACAAACAUUUAAACAUAAAAUAACCAUUCAAACAUUAAUCCAAAUGUUUUUCUUUUAACAUGAAUAUACAACCUACACAUAUUUUGAUAAUUAAAUAAAAAUACAAAUAGAGAUAUAAUACAUAAUCAUACGAUGUGUCUAUAAUCAAAUACAAUCCCCAUUCAAAGUUUUAUUGGGGUCAAUUUUUGUGUCUUUUACAUUAGAAAUUUUGCUCUCUUUUUAAUUCACCCACUUAGGGCACUUUGUUUUUCACUUUUUUUUUAAUCCAUUUCAUAAAAUUUUUAAUUAUUAUUAAUUUUUUUCUCACACAACUAUGAUUCAAACUGAAUGCAUUACGUUCAUAUAUUAGAAACUAUUAUUUUCAUAAUACAUUUGUAUUUUCUUUUCAGUUGUAGUCUAAUUGUCUCAAACAACACCAAUAAUUUGUUUUUUCAAUUAUCAUAAAUUUUAUUAUCAAUAAAUGAUUAUUUAAUUAUUUUCAUUAACCAAAAAUUCAUAAAUCCUCAAAAAGUAAAAUCUAAACAAUAAUUAUAUAUCAAAUCACAUGCAAGAAUCAUAAGUAUAAACAAAUCUAUCUCACAACAACAUCUAUAAUUUUUUUUUUUAAAACAUAUUAAAUAAAAAUUUCGAGGAUAAGUCAUCCUACCAAAUACCAAAACCCAAUCGUUAAGUUUAAAAUUAGACUCCGUACCAAAAUUUCCCAUGUGAAAUAAAAUAUCCUCGUAGAAUUUCACAUGGAACAACCUUUUGAUGACCUAUGAUACAUGCCCUCUUUUCUUUUCUAUUUCCUUUUUUAGUUUUUAAUUUUCUCAUUUCUUUGUACUUGCGUCCAACCAUUUCUCCUUUUUCUUUUUCUUUUUAAUUCUUCAUCAUCACUUCCACACCACUUUCGGCUUCUUUUAUUAUUAUUAUUAUUACAAUUUUUCCGUAUUAUUUUUAUACAUAUCCUUUAAAAUAUUUAAUUCUCUACAAAUUAUUUUUAUUAUAAAAUAUAUAUUUUUUCCAAACUAUCAUUUAAAAAAAAUUAAAUUUAUUAUUUCUGAAUAAAAUAUAUCUCCUAAUAAUACUAAUCAUAUAUUUACAUUUUUUUCAAACUUAAUUAAUUUUCAACAAAUCAAGAUUAUUAAUUCUAAUAGUAGUUAAUACUUAACUUUCUAAAAAAAUUUAUUUAGUAAAGCUGAUAUGAUAUGACGCAAAUUUAACUCAUUCGACCAUUAGAAUUCUUUGAAUUUUUCUAAUUCUUUGGCCCGUGUUCUACAGUUUUUACUUUUCAAUCAUAACUUGUUAGAAAAGUUUGAGCGUGAUUCAGUCCACCACGCGGAGUGCUACAGCUGGUCGUCGGUCACGGUCAGUCCAGUUGUCACCGACAAUGGGUGUUAAAAGGCCCCGUCUUUUCCUCUUCCUGCCCAUAAAAAUCUCUCCCUCUUCCUCCCUUCAACCAUUGCGAGCAUGCUUAAAUCUCAUUUACUCGCUCUAUUCUUCUGCCACCUCUUUAGGUUAUGUUUGGUUCAAAAAAAUACUAAGGAAAGAAAAAAAAUACAAAGAAAAAUUAUUUUUUCAUGUUUGGUUGUCAUAUGAAAAAUAUCAAAGAAAAUCAAAUAUAAUUAAAACUAAUUAAAAACUUAUAUAUUUUUAAAUUAUUUAAUCUUUAUAUUAAUGAGUUAAAAUAAAUAAAAUGAGUUUGAAGUAACAAAAAAAAUAAUUUAUCAACUUUUAAUCUUUUUUUUUAUAUUUUUCUUCACUUUUUCUUUCCUUCUACUUUUUCUUUAUAUUUUCUUUCUUUUGCAUUUUCCUUCAAAUUUUCUGGGAACCAAACAUAGCCUUAAAUUUUUCUCAUCUUUUAGGCUAUGACUGGUUGUCAAAAAGUGUUAAAGAAAAGAAAAGAAAAGAAUUUAAAAAAUGGUUUUCUCUUUGAUUUAUUUAUAUAAAAUUUAAAAUAAAAUAAAAUAUAAUUAAAAUUUAUCAAAAAUAUAUAUUUUAAAAUUAUUUAAUUUUUAUAUAAUGAAGGAAAAUAAAUGAAAUAAAUUUUAAAAAACAUAUAAAAAUAAUUUAUUGAUUUUAAACGUAUUUUUUAAUUUUCUUCUUCUUUUUUUUUUUUUUAUAUAUUUUCUUUCCUUCUUAUUUUUCCUUAAAUAUUUUAAAACCAGACAUAGCCUUAAACUUUUUUUUGAGGGGCUAAUUUUAUUUGCCUCUUUCAAGAUUUUGGCUAAAUAUAUUUAGUUUCUAUUGGUUUGAAAUUUCAACAAUUUAGCAUAUACCUUUUUUGUUUUGAGUGAGAAAUGAGAUAAGUAAAAAUGAAAAAUGAAAAUGAUAGGAGAGGUAUUUAAUGAAAUUUUAAGUUUAUGAAGACCAGAUGUAUUUAACCGAAACCUUAGAAAAUGUGAACCAAAUUAAACUUUUUUUGAGUAAAAAUGUUUUAUACAUGUGAUUCACGUGAUGCCAAAUAAAUAUACUUGCAUUAUGAGACUUUUUUGUUAUCAUUUAUUUUUAAAAACUAGAAAAGUUAUUAAAAUAAUUUCAUGACACAAAGAUAAAUAUUUAUUUAUUUAUUUUAACAUUUUAUGAUUGUGCAUUUGUGAUAUUAUUGAAAAAUAUUUCUACAUUUUUCUUACCACGAAAAAAAAAAUCAAUUAUUAGAACAAUCUAAAUUUCUAAGUAUUUUAAGGACUAAAUUGGCUCCAUCAAAGCAUAAUUAAAUGAAGGAGUUGAACAAAUUAGAAAAAUAUCAAAAAAGACACUUUAAAAAUAUAUUGCUAUUAGAAAUUAGAAAUUAAUUAUCAUUGGAAUUAAAAAACACAUUUAAUAUGAAAAAAAUUCCAAUAUAUGAAACAAUGGCUAAAGAGAGUGAGAGACACGCGCUAUUGCAGAUAGGGUUAUGGAGUGUUGAAGUAGAGAGAGGAUUAUUGAGAAACAAUGACUUGACUUUUCCAUUGAUUAAGAAUGAAUAUAUAUACACAAAACCUAAAACACAAAAAUCGGAAACAAUCUACCCAAAACACCAAAAAUAAGAAACAAUCCUAAAAUUAACCCAAAAUACAAAAAUAGAAAACAAUCAUAAAAUUAGGGGAUUACAACAAAAAUAGGAAAUUACAACUAAUUACAAGAAUUUGAAAAUAGAAAGAAAAUCUAUUGUAAUGAAUUCUCUAAUAUGCCCCCUCAAGAUGGAGUUCCGGAGGAGACGCCAAUCUUGACUCGUAAUUCUUGGAAGCGGCUUUGUGGAAGCGGUUUAGUAAACGUCGACAAGUUGAUAUGCUGAGGAAACAUGAGUAACAUGAAGAGCACCUGAUUGAACAAAGUGAUAGUCAAUUGCCACAUGUUUUAUGCACGAAUGAAAGACUGGAUUAGAACAAAGAUAGGUGGCACCAAAAUUGUCACAAUAGAUAACAUGCGGUGUAGGAAGAGUGACGCCAAGCUUUGUGAGAAGUGAACAAAUCCAAUUGAUUUUUGAAGUAGUAGCAGCAACUGAUCGAUACUCAACCUCUGUGGAUGACCGAGCAACUGUACGUUGUUUCUUGGAUGACUAAGAAAUUGGAUGACAACCAAAAUAGACAAUAUAGGCACUCUUAGAGGUAUAGUCAUUUUUGUUGCCAACCCAAUCUAAAUCUGAGAAGGCAUGAAGAGAAAGUGUAUUUUCCUUAUGAAGAAAUAAUCCAUGAGUCAAUGUGCCACACAGAUAUUGAAGCUGUCGUUUUGCAGCAUUCCAAUGUUUAGACGUCGGACGAUGCAUGAAUUGGGAUAACUUGUUAACAUCAUCUGAUAGGUUUGGGCGAGUGAAGCAAAGAUACUAUAGACUGCCAACAAGGGUUUUAUAUUCUGUGCAGUUAGUCAAAGUUGUACUUGAAUGAAGUGUGAGAUUUCCAUCUAUAACAAGUGGUGUAGCAAUAGGUUUUGCAUCAGACAUUUUUGUCUGGGCAAGAAGAUUGGAGAUGUGGCGCCUUUGAGUAAGCAACACACCAAAUGGAGUGGUAAGAACCUCAAUGCCGAGAAAGUAAAAUAAGGCGCCAAGAUCCUUGAUUGAAAAUCAUCGUGCCAAGAGGUCAAUGUAGCGCUGAAUAAUAUUGGUGUUGGUACCUGUGAUAAUAAUGUCAUCCACAUAAACAAGUAGAUACAUAGUAAUGUCACCUGAGUGGAGAAUGAAUAGAUAAGUGUCUGCAUGAGAGUUUGUGAACCCAAACUCAAUGAGGAAUUGACGAAAUUCAAUAUACCAAGCCCGUGGGGCUUGCUUGAGUCCAUAUAUAGCCUUCUUUAAUUUGCAUACAUGUGUUGGAUUGUCUUUAUCAACAAAUCCCGGAGGAUUAUUAUGGAGUGAGACUCCUAGGGAUCGUGAAUGGGGGAACAAAAUUCGGUGUCUACUUCAAUCACUCUAAAGUCUUGUCAUGUUUACUUCUUUGCUAUAACCUUGGUUUAUUUUAUUCUCCACUACCUUGCCUUUUCUCUCACUCACACUUCACCAUCAAGUUUGAAGUGUUCAAAGCAUAGGACUCUUGAGGAUGGCAUGGGAUUUCUGAAAUGGUUCAAGGGUACUUCAUCCUUAAAUUUACAAAAUAAGAAUGGAUGGUGCCAAGGUUUACAAUAUAAGAACACGAUAAUGACUCCCUAAUUUUGGGCACAUGUUUCCUCUUCCAUGUCCGAUGUAAGAUUGGGAUUGCAUUUUUAAAGCUAAAUAGAAAAAUAACAUAACUUGCUAGGCUUGGAACCAGAGACCUUGGCUGGUUCUUUGCUAGAGGUUUAAAUAUGAGGGUUUAUAAAAUUGUGACAGAAAUGAGUGCAGUGACAAAAUAUUUUGUGUUCUUUCUACAAACUUCUAAGCUAAUCUGGGAAUGAUAAUUUUAAACCAUUCUUGUGGAAUUAAGAUGAUUACCAAAUUUAUUGAUUUUGAGAAUGUUGAUAUUUAUUAAAGACCUUGAUCUGCUGACCAAGUGGCUAACUGUUAGAUCAUUAGAUAUAAUUUAUCAGGGACCUUGAUUGGCUGGCCAGAUGGUUUACUGUGUUUGACUUUUACCAACUAAAAAAAUAUUGUCAUCCUUGAUUUUAAUGAGGCAUUGGCUGCUCUAUAUAUUGAUAUAAAAUAAAAUUAGUGAAGGAAAUAUGUAUGCAAAUUCUAUAAUAACAAAAUUUGAAAUUUCCAAUGACAAAACAUGACAUACAAUAUAAAUUAAAUUUUUUAGUACAUGUCCUUCAUGCCUAGGAGUAAUAUGACUUGAAUUACUAAAGGGUGAUAUUAUGGAUUCCACAACGAAUAAAGUAGAUAUAGAUCUAAGUAAGCACUCAUCAAUAUUUGACUUUUGACCAUGUCCAAGUAUCUAUACCAUUGUUAAGUUCCUUUCAGCCAAGUCCUUGUAUCUUAGAGUUUGUGAAUUUGAAUGAUUAGAUGUGUAACACAUACCUGCAUCUGAUACUCGCAACUAAAUCCCUGUAAGAUAUAAGGCAAGCAGACAUAAUUUGUGAUUGUUUCUAUCUGUUGCAUGUGCAAUCAAGGGCUGCUUGGAUUGUUUUAGGGCAACGUAUCUGAUUUCAAUUUGAUAUAUAUAAUUGGGUUCAAAGAACUCAGAAACAAUUAUGGAAGCUCAGAAAUGUAAUUGAUUUUGUCAUUUUGAUUCAGCAUAAUGAUGGGUUCAAAUGUGGAUCAAAGUUGAAAAUCUUGGUAACCCAGUGGGCAAACCCCAACUUUACAACCAUGUAAUUAUUUAUGCGCUUAUGAAUUUGUGCCUGUCAUAUAUGCUGUCUUCUUUUCAGGAUGUUGGACCUAUGAGAUUAUGAUAUUAAGGGCUUGCAGUGCUAACCAUUUUAACUAAUUAAUCUAUAUUUUGGAUUUUACAUAUAUUUUUUUCCAUGUUUGUAAUAUUUUUUUAAUCCAAUGAACUCUAACUUUUUCUUUUGUCUGUAUAUUAUGAAAACUAAGAUGUUUGUUUCUCUAUGCCUCUUUGUCGUUCUAAAGUAGAACAAGUCACUACUGAAGACUUGGUUGAGUUCUCGGAGAUUGAGAAACACAAGCUGGGCCAGGUUUUUGUCUAUGCUUUUAAUUUUGAUAGUCUUUUAUCUUUCACCUUGCUGAACUUAUGCUUGGAAUAGAACAUGGGAUGCCUUUCUCUGCCAUUUGUGGAACUUCCAUCCUUGCUUAGAUUACUCGCUUGUUACAGUUGCCUCAAUGGGAUUUUCUUAGGCAUUUAGUUUAUGACAAAUUUAUGAGCAGCAAGGGCAAAAUAUAAAGAGCAGUUCCAAAAAGCUUCAUGUUUGAUGUGAUGUCCAUUGCUGUUUUUUUUUCUUUUCCAAAAUUUGAUUAUGAAAAUCUCCUUAGUUACAGAAGUAUACCUACUUCUCCUAAUGUUGUUCUUUGUGAUUUAUCACUCGUUGGUGAUUCUCAUUUCAAUUCAGACUCGACGUCUUGGUUCCAUAUCUGAUGUGGAUAACAGUCCACAAUCUUUGCUGUCUUUCAGUGGAAACAAGGAUGUGCAUGCUUUAUAUGACUUUAUGCUAAAUUAUAGGUAAAUACCUAGCUAAUGUCUGAAGAACUACAUCUCUCUAGUAAGUUAGGUUCUUUGUCUGUAUCUCUGUUCUCUUUUAUUGUCAGUGGUUCUUCAUUUCUUAUGGUUGUUUCCAGAUCUUUCUUGACCUCCUUGACAAGUGUGGAUGUUCCUCUUCUGUGUUCACCUGUUCCAUUUCAGAAUGCUGCUCUUUCUGCUCCAGAGACAAGUGUAAUUUAAUUCAAAUUUAAUGGUUAUAGUGUUGGAAUAUGUGCCCAUAAACAAAUGAGAUUUUUUUUUAUUUUGCUGAUUAUUAAUAUUUUUUUUAAGGAAUUAUUUCAAUAUUAUUGUUGCAUGCAUGUUAUAGAUGCUUUAUAAAUAUCGAAAACCCUAGAUUAUUUAAUUGUAACUUUAAAUAUUGUAUAUAAGUGUUAUAUACAGGAGGAUAAUAUUUAAAGUAAAAUAAUCUAAUAUGUUCGUAAUUAAAAAUUAAAGUUGGGAUCUUUAAUUUAAAAUUACUAGCGCGGUUCAUUACAUUCUGAAUGAAAUGAUCUUAUCCGGAUUGUUAAUAAUGAGAUUAUUGGAAUGAAAGCACUUUAUAUAAUUUGAUUAUAUAGGACUGGAACACGAUUAAUUAUGAAUCUCUGAUAAAUUCCGUUAUAAUAUAGAGCAUUCAAUAUUAAUCAAUGAUGGUCAUAUAUGCAUUGAUCUUAAUUCUGAGUGAUUAAUAGACUCCUAUUUAUUGUAUUGUAUUUUUUGACAUACCGGGUAAUGACACAAAUACAUAGUGUCAAAUUCUUGGUGUAUUGGAAGUAUAAUAAAAUAAAUAGCCGGGAAUAUUAAUCACUACAAUAAAAAUAAUUUAUGGUGUCACUAUUUAUGGUGUCACUUUUAAAAUAAUGACACCAUAUGACUUAAAAUUCAUAAAGGUGACACAUCAUAUAAAAAAAUUUAAUUAGGAUAGAUGAUAUUAAUUUUAAGUUUAGUGUCAGUUUUAAAAAAGUGACACCAUAUAAAAUAAAAAUUUUAAAAUAUUAUAACUAAAUGGGCCCACUUUGAGAAUAAUGAUAGUAUAUAAAAAAAAACUCAUUGUUUUCACAUUCCCACAAUCCAAAAAAAUCUCAUUCCAUAACCCAUAACCAUAACUUUCUUCUACCUCUCUUCUCACACCCAUAGUUCACACACAACUGCUCUUCUCUACUUUAUGGACUCUCAGGUAACCCAAAAUCUCUUAGAUCUAUCAUUUUCUUUUUUUUUCUUUUUUUUAUUAAUGCCAAAAUCUUUAUUAGCACAACUGAUUUACAUUCAUUGAUUUGGUAUAUUUGUAAUGUAGAUUGUGUAAAUAGUGUUUUUUUUAUUGAGUUGCAGGAAAGUAAAAAUUAGGUUUAACAUUCCACCAUAUCUUUUGUUUCAUUGUUAAAUCCAUAAACCCCAAAACGAAUGAAAAUAAGAUAAAUGAAUGAUUUUUUAUAUCUUUCAUACUCAAAAUGAGGGAUAAAUAUUUUACAGUAUGAAAUUUUCUUUUGAUCUUACAAGAAAUUUCUUUUGAUGAGAUUUUCUGUUUGUUUUCUAGGAAUAUUAUAGUAUAUUGUGAUGAGGAUAUGUAUCGGUGAUAUUUGAAAAAUAAUUUUUUAGAAAAUUAUUAUCAAUAUUAUCAUCUCCCACAAAAGGAAAAAUGAAAUAGUUUCCAUAUCAUGUUAGAGUUGGUUUAGAAUGUUGGAAUUAACAAUGAGAAAUUAAUUUUAUUUCUAUUUAUUAAUGUAAAUGAAUUGUUUUUUAAAAUUUAAAUAGGAAUGAAAAUUUUUAUAAUUAUAAAAAUGAUCAAAUCUCAUAUUUUGAUUUUUUUUUUUUAAUUCUUUUACAUGGUAUUAUGGUUAAUAUCUCAUCUUGUUCUAUUCAUAUUUUUUUUAAUUCUUAAAAUAUGUUUUUUGUUUUUUAUUUUUACCUUCUUUUCUUAUUGUUUUUAUAUGCGUUCACCAAAAUUUAGAGUAAUUUGAGAUUGAUGAUGAAAUUUCCCUUUCAAGGUUAAAAAAUUUCUAUAAAAUCCUUUUAUUACAUAAAUUUUCCUUCCAUAAAAGUUUUUUUUUUUUUUGAAAAAGAUAUUUUAUAAUUUUCUUUUGAUUUUCUAUGAAAUUUCCUUUAAUUUGUUUAUUUUCUAAGAAUAUUAUAAUAUGUUGUGAUGAAGAUAUUGGUUGGUAAUAUUUGAAAAAUAAUUUUUGAGAAAAUUAUUCUCAAUAUUGUCAUCUCCCUCAAAAGGAUUCUAAAAAUUUGUUUUAUUUUUGUCUUCUUUUCUUAUUGUUUUUAUAUGCAUUGACCAAAUUUUGGAGUAAUUUGAGAUUGAUGAUGAAAUUUUCCUUUCAAGGUUAGGAAAUUUCUAUAAAAUCCUUUUAUUACAAAAAAUUUUCCAAUCCCUUUCAUAAAACUCUUCAUUUUCUUCAUUUUUCUUUUUUCUGAAGAAGAUAUUUGAUAAUUUAUUGAUCUAAAGAAUAUAAAAAGUAAAAUUUAAAAUAUUGAAUAUCUUUUCCUUUGAUGUUUUUAAUCUUUUAUUAUUUUUAUUUGAACAUAUUUUUCAUAUCCAGAUUUUUUAUUAAUUAUUUUAAUUAGAAAAAUAAAUAUUAAUUGGAGUUAUGACUGAAAAAUUAAUAAUUUUUAUGAAAGUUUCUUUAAUUCUUUCUCAUACUAAUUUUUCUCUUAACAUUUUUUAAUCAUGAAUUAGGUUUUUUGUCUUAUAUACACAAUCUUCAAGCUUGUUAUAACAUCAUGUCCUCUCAUAUUAGUAGUUGAAAACAUUUUUAUAUUUUGUUACUAAAAUUUUAUUUUAUAUAAUUGAGAUGAAAUUUAAUGGACAUUGUUAUUUCACAAAAUGAACAUUAAAAAAAUAUUGAAAUUUAAAAAAUCCUUCCAAGAAAUAAAAAAAUAUAUAAAAAGAAUUAAAUGUUAAAAAUGAUUUUUAAAAGCACAAUGAAUUAUAAAAUAAAAAAAAAUUUAAAAAGUGCAUAUUUUUAAGUGGAAGAUUACUAUUUUCUAAAAUUUUAGAUUUAUUUUUUGAUUUUCUAGUUUUGCUUUAUUUUUUAUUUUCUUGAAUUGUUUUUAUUUGAGUUCAAAUGUGAUUGCUUUGUUAUGAGAUUCAUUAAAGAGAUAAUUGUUGAUUCUACAAUUAUUGUAUUAAAGGUUUUACUCAUUUAAUGAAUUGUACUUAGUUUCAUACUUCCAAUUAUUAUGAUAUUAAUGUUAUUCUCAUUUGAUUUCAGUUUUAUGAUAUAAAAAAAAAAACAUAUUCUCAGGUAGAAUUUGAUGAAAUUAGAGGAGAAUUAACUUCUUUUGUGUUAUAACUUAUCAUAUUGAUAAAUCAUGAUCAUGCAUGGUGAGUCCCUUAGUUGUUAUAUGAAUUUUCCAUUGGUAUUGUAUAACAUUACUUAUUCUUUACAUACUAUUUUUAUAUCAAAAUGGGAAAAAGAAAAAAGAAAACAUUAGUACUUAGAUUUGUUUAUUUUUUAUAACAUCAAUUAAUUUUUAUUUUCAAUAAAACUCUAAAUCUCAUUAAACUAUGAAAUGCAGGUAUACACUCUUGGGAAGACAUUAUGAAGAAUAAAAAGAAAGGAGAAAGAAACAACAACAUUUUGGGUUUUUAGAUGUGACUCUUAUGCCAUACAUUAUAGGACAUCAAUGUUACUUUAUUUGGUAUUGAGAAUUUUGGGUUUUUGGAUGUAACUCUUGUGUCAUUUUAUGAUUAGCCGGUUUUAUGCAUAUGAAAUGCAGGUAUACAUGAAUGUUGGAAUGCUUAACAUUUCUAAAUCAUAUUUUAAUAUGUAUUCACUUUUCUUUUUUAGUUUCGGUGGGUUUGAUGUACUAUCAUUUUGUAAACAUUUGAUAUACAAAUAUCACUGGAUGAUGUAAUGUAUUAUAGGUUAAUCCAUAAGCAUUACGAAAAUAUAAGUUAAAUGUGAUAUGAUUAUUAUAUUUAUAGACAAAAUAUACACAAGUUGAUCUUAUUUGUUAAUAAACAUUACAAAAAUCAACAAGCUAAUUAAUAAAAAACAACCAUAUCUUCCAUAAUCAUUUACAAUGAUGUGACACCAUAACUAAAAGGUGAUGCAUUUAAUAUGACAUCUUAUAUAUCUCAUGCAACUCUAUAUCAAAUUAAGUAUAACUAAAAAUAUAUGAUGUCGCUUUUGAAUAUGUCACCAUUUAUUUGUUUUGGUGUCGCUUCCAAAUACGUCACCAAUUGGUACCCUCUAUGGUGUCGUGGAUAAGGUGACGCUAUGUUGUAGCGACACCCUAUGUUUAUAGUGACUCACUAUAAAUGUCACCAUAUAUUUUUUUUCUUGUAGUGAAUAUACAAGAUAAAAUCCAUUCCUUCGUUAAGAAGUCAGAUGGACGGUUCCCAUAAGUAUUGGUUCGGGCCUUGAAUGAUAAGAACGCUCAAUUCAUGAUUAGACCAUAAAUAUAUUAUUCAUUAGAGAACCAAUGGCACUUAAGGAGAAAGAUAUAAUUAAAGAGGUUAACGGAAAAACCUAGCUUUAAUUAUGAACCGUUUAUGGAGGAUUGACUCAUAUGUAGUGACUAUAUCAAUGGGCAAUUCAAAUCCUUUGAAUAUAUUUAAUUUUAUAAUUUUAAGAGUGCAAUUCCAAAUUUUUAGUGGAGUAAUUUUGGAAUUAAUAAUUUUGAUUUUUUUAAUUAAGUUGUUAAUUAAUUGUCAAAAUUAUUGGAGCUUAAAAUUAUAAUGUCCAUAGUUCCUCUCAACGGCUCCAUUAAAAUUAUAUGAACAUUUUUUUUAUGUUGGGUUGAUUUUAUUAGUUUGGAAUUUUGAAUUCUAAAUUAAUUUCACACAAUCUUGAUUUGAUUUAUUUAUUUUAUAAUUUGAUUAUUUAAAAUAUUUUUUAAUACAAUGUGGUGAAGACCACACUUACUUGUAUUCCCUAAGAAACACUUUUUAAGUGGGGAUCAUGGGGAGAGAUAUUCUCUCCCAUGUUUUUCAAAAUUCAAAAUAUGUCAAUUAUAUUAAAAAGUUUUUUUUCUCAAUGUUUUUCGGAUGAUGGGAUGAGAAUACAAGUUUUUCAAUAAAUUAAGUUGUGUGAUAUAAAAACCCAUAAAAGAUAAUAAUAAUAAAAAAAGAACGCCCACUCGUUUUGAGUUCAUCAUAAUUUGGAGAACGUUAGAGAAAGAUCCAUGGUGCUUUAGAGGAUUUGGAAUUCUAAGAUCUUUUUGGUGGAGUUCAAAUUUAUCUGCCUAAUCGCAAGGUACAAUUCUAAUUUACCUAUAUUUGUUAUUUCAUUAAAUUAAUACAAGUAUUGAUCAUUGAGAAAAAAUUUUGAGAAAAUUUUUCUAGCUUCCGUUUUUCUUUUAUUUAUCUGGUUUCAAAACCAACAUAUAGACCAGUGUUAGUGACCUUUGUUUCCCUUGGCCAUGAAUGCAGUUCCAAGAGCAAAUAUACGUCUCAGCCAGAUUCUCGCAUAAACAGUGGUCAACAGUUGGGUGUUUAGAUCCACCAUAUUGAAAAUACAUCCAAACUAUUUCUGUGCAUAUGGAUAGGGUAGACCAAAACUUUGAACCUUCUAACGGCAAGUGCUUCCCUGGUACUGCUUUGUGUUCUCAAAGUUUCAUCAAAUAGGAUCACUGAACUUUGUUGUAACAUGAUUGAAGUAACUUUGACCAAUCCUUGUAUCUGCAUCUGACACGAAGAGGUCCAAUGUAUGUAUUACUGCCCUUCUCAUGUAAUAUAACCUACUCAGAAUACAUUGCUUUUCUUUUAUAGGAUUACCGAUUACCUUGGAAGGAGAGUAGUCAUCCUUUGAAAUUAGAGCAAAAUGGUUCUUUAUAAAUUUUAAUACUUGUACAACGAUAAAUAUUUAUUAUGAUUAAUUUUAGUUGCUUGGUUUUGCUUGCUAAUUCCUGUGGGGCAGGUGCUUGGAAUUUUUCAGUAGUGGCCUUCUUUUGCAGGUCAGUUGCAGGGAGUUGAAGAGAGCUGAUCAUGUUGCUUUUCCUCUUAAAGGAUCCAAAAUGAAAGACAAAGCAAAUGAAAGUGUUUGGGCUGGUCUCUCCUAUAGCAUUGAAAUCAAGGAUGCUUACAUUCCACCGUGGAUAAUAUCAAGUAUAUGUGCAACCAUGGGUUCUGAAGGGAGGAGCUUUGAGGCAAGGUAUGACAAAUUUUGUCACUGUGCCUGAUUAGCCCUGAUCUCACCACAAAAAGCUGCAGUAAUGGUAGAAGAAUAAAUAUAUGUAACUGGGAGCUUUGGCUUUCAGUUAUUCAUCUUACUGGAAAUCAUGUCUUAGCUGGGAGCUAACUAAGAAGUGUAUUUAUAUACCUUGCUGUAAUCCUUCAUCUUUGGGUAAUGAGAAAUUAUUUUCUCUGUUGAGUUUUCUCAUAGUCCCAAGCGUGCUCCCAGUGGCCCUAUGUUUCUCCGAGAUCGAUAAAUUAAAUCCAAUCCACCUUAUUAAUUUUUACAUAUUAACAUUAAGAUUUGAACUAAUUGAACUCAAAGUGGGAAUCUAUCAAUGUGGUUUGUUUUGAGUUAAUUACAAUAAUCAAUCCUAUUUUUAUCUGUUUGAUUCUUCUAGGCAGCACAAAACAAUUUAUUUUCUUAUUAAUUCAAGUGGCACCAAACUACAUAUGCUUGGGUAUUAUAAAAGCACAUAAAUUCUAUUAUAUCUUUUAUAUUUGAUAUAUUAUAAAUGAAUUAAAAUAAAAUUAUUUUAAAUUAAUUAUUUUUAAUUAUCUUAUUAUUUAUGUUAUAAAAUAAUUAAAUACAAGGCAAAUAUAAAUUUUUAAAUAAAAUUAUAGAUAUUUUUAAAUAAAAAAAGCUAACAUAUAUUAUUAUUUAUUUUAUAUCCUUCAAUAUAUAUUAAUUUGUAUUAUUAUUUUUUCUAUCAUUUUUGGAGUUUUUUUUUCAAUAUUUCUAUGAUUUUUUUUUUAUCAAUUUUCGUUUCAUUGAUCUUUCCCAAUGUGUAUAUAUAUAUAUCCGUCAAAUCAGGUUGUCAAUAUAUCUGUUAUAAUCGAUAUUUUCAUCCUUGGUUUUUUAUGAGCUUAGGAACAUGCAAACCUAAUAUAAAAAAAAUUGCAUUUGAAUGUGGUUUUGUGACUAUGCUUCCAACCUAAUAUUCAACACCAAUAAUUGGACUUUUGGGUUAUGGUUAUUCUUUUAACAUAAUGUUGAAUUUCAACAACAAAAAACUUCGAUUAGUUGUUAGCAAUAUUUUUAGAAUUAAAUCAGACAUUAAACCGAAAACAUUAUUGGUUUACAGUUCAUUGGUCAAAUCGAUGGUCGAACUAUGAUCAAACCAGUGACAUCAUAAAUAUAUAAUUUAUAUUUUAAUAAAAUUUAAAAUAAAUAUAAUAAAUUUAUAUAUAUAUAUUAUUAAAAAUUUUAAUAAUAUUUUAUUUUUUAUGUGAAAUUAAAUGAUAAAUAUAAAUAUAAAUGUACCAAUAUAUUAAAAUUUAUUAAAUAGAAUAUGUAUAAUAUUUAAAUAUGAAAAUAUAUAUAAGAUGAAAAGAAAAUUAUAAUAUUUAAUUUAAUUAUAUAUCUAUGUAUUUUGUUAUUUUAAAAUUUUAAAAUUAUUAUAUUGAUUAAUUUAUAUUGUUUUCAUGUUUAUAAUUAAUAAUUAUUAUAAAAAUAAUAGUAGAUAAAAAUAUUUAUAUUUGUUUAAAUGUUUUAUAUGAUAAAAAUUUUAAAAACAGAUAAAUAGAUAUUUACCAAAUUAUUAAUCAAACAACUGCGUAGCAUGGUGGUGUGUUAUUUAUUUUGUUUAACCAUAAGUCACACAUUCAAUUCCCCACCAUGCAAAGCUCUUUUUAUUAUUAUCAAAGAUCCCAUAUCGGAAACCUAUAAACCACUUAUGUGGUAUCUAUAUCUGCAAACCUUGGGAAUGAGCAAACGGGGCUGGGAGUAAUGAAUCUGGGCCGGUAGAUGAGUAAAAACCCAUUUAGUAAAAGAUGGAUACAGUAAAAGGACUAAAACAUAUAUUAUUUUAUACAAUGGUUUAAGGAAAUAUAAAAUUUUCUUGAAAGAAUGAAACAAUUAAUAUAUUCGGAAAACUCCAUAGUAAAUCAUAUAUUAUUCCAUACAAAAUUAAUUAUUUUUUCAAAAAUUCAUGGUAAAUCAAUGUUUAAUUUUUUUUUUUUUUAUGUAAGUAUUAUGUUAAGGAGCCUAUUUAUUUUUAGAAUUUUUGUAUAUAAUUAAUUAAUGUGAUUAGUGUUAAAUUAUUGUGGAUGCAAUUUAGGAAAGUUGUAGGCCCUAAUUGUUCGACUCUUUAUAGGUUACAACUAAUUAAUUAUUUUAAAAAAUUUUAUUUAAAAUUGUUGGAUUAAUAUUGUAUAAUAUAUUGUCGUAAUAUCCCAAUAUAUUAAUUAUUAAAAUAUAAUCUUAGUUUGCUUUGAUUUUGUUAUUGUAAUAAAUGGAUAGACCAUAUUAAUUCAAUGAUGUUAUUUUAAUAGUCAAAACAUAGGAAAUAUAAUCUUAAUUUAAAACAUUAAUGUACAUAUUUUCUAAAUAAUAUAUAAUGAAAUUGUUCUUCUUAACAAUAAGUUCAAGAUACACUUAUUUUUCUAGGAAAUGUAAUUGUUUUUUUGGAAGGAUGUACUUAUUUAUAUUAUUACAAAUAAGUAAAAGUUUAUAAACAAUUUAUGGUAAAAAAAAAUUAAUGUAUAUAUAAUGUACUUUUUAAAGAAAAAUAAUUAAUUUUAUAAAGGAUCUAAUUAUUUUUAUAAGAGAUGUUUUUAUUUUUAUUUUUUAUAAUAUACUUAUUUUGUGAAGGAUGUAUUUAUUUAUAUUGAUACAAAUAAUUGAAAGUUCAUUAGUACUUUUACGAUAAACCGUUAAUAUAUAUAUAUAUAUAUAUAUAUAUAUAUAUAUAUAUAUAUAUAUAUAUAUAUAUAUAUAUAUAAAAUUUAUUCAUUUUUCACGAGAAUAUACAUAUUUUCUAAAUAAUGUAUAAUGAAAUUAUUCUUCUUAACAAUAAAUUUAUUUUCUUUCAAGAUACACUUAUUUUUCUAAGAAAUGUACUUUUUUUUUCAAAAUGUGAUUGUUUUUUGGAAGGAUGUACUUAUUUAUAUUAUUACAAAUAAGUGAAAAUUUAUAUAUAGUUUACCGUAAAAAAUUAAUGUAUAUAUAAUAUACUUUUUUAAAGAAAAAUAAUUAAUUUUAUAAAGGAUUUACUUAUUUUUAUAAUAGAUGUUUUUAUUUUUAUUUUUUUGUAAUAUACUUAUUUUAAGAAGGAUGUAUUUGUUUAUAUUGAUACAAAUAAUUGAAAGUUCAUUAGUACUUUUUAUGAUAAACCAUUAAUAUAUAUAUAAUUUAUCCAUUUUUUUAAAGAAUGUACUUAUUUUUUUAAAGAAUAUACUUAAUUUCUAAGCAUUUACUUAUUUUCCAAAUUAGGACAAAUGAGUCACGAUAUUGAUAUGAUGCAUUUAUUUUUUAAUAGGGUUUACUUAUUAUCCUUUAACGUAGAAUUUACAAAAUGGUUCUUUAUAAAUUUUAAUACUUGUACAAGGAUAAAUAUUUAUUAUGAUUAAUUUUAGUUGCUUGGUUUUGCUUGCUAAUUCCUGUGGGGUAGGUGCUUGGAAUUUUUCAGUAGUGGCCUUCUUUUGCAGGUCAGUUGCGGGGAGUUGAAGAGAGCUGAUCAUGUUGCUUUUCCUCUUAAAGGAUCCAAAAUGAAAGAUGAAGCAAAUGAAAUCAAGGAUGCUUACAUUCCACCAUGUGCAACCAUGGGUUCUAAAGGGAGGAGCUUUGAGGCAAGGUAUGACAAAUUUUGUCACUGUGCCUGAUUAGCCCUGAUCUCACCACAAAAAGCUGCAGUAAUGGUAGAAGAAUAA
rnacentral:lncRNA from 1 species